rnacentral:lncRNA from 1 species
UUUUUUUUUUUUUUUUUUUUUACAUAUCCAUACAGCGAUCGACAAUCUGAUUAACCUUUUGCUGCUAAAUUUCAGGGCACUUUUGUGGCAUCGAUUGAUGGGGAAAAAUGUUCUUGCUACCACAUAUGAGGGCUUCCCUUAUUUGCGUGUGUAUUCUCAUUGCUCAAAGACUAGCGUAAGAUCAUGUUUCACUUUCAGCACUUAGCAUUCCAACAUCAUAUUUUUUUAUAGAGCAUUCACAUAAUUUCAAGUUUCUAUUACUUGCUUCACCAGUUGUUUCUCAUCUUCUACUCACAUUUACUUCUGUUUUUUGCAGUCUGGCAUUGCAGUCCUGAUAAUGAACAUUUCAAAUUCGACCCGUUUUGAAGUUUCAAUUGUGAAUGACUACAAUAUGGGCGGCAAAUUUGAAGUUGGACAACAAAGAGAAGAGUACCACUUGACUCCAAAAGAUGGAAACAUCCAGAGUGAUGUAUUGCUGUUAAACGGGACUCCACUGAAGCUCACAGAGGCAUCUGAUAUCCCAGCUCUAGAACCGCAAAUAGUUGAUGCUUCUAAGCCUAUUACUGUUGUACCUCAUUCAUUUGUCUUUGUCAAUUUGCGAGGCUUUAAUGCCCCAGUUUGUGCAUAGAACUGAGGAUGUGCAUUUGCCUUAUUAAAGAUUUAAUCACUUUGGUCAUGCAAGAUCUCGUUAAAUAUGAGUUUGUUCAGUAUCCAGUGCGGAGAACUAAUCCAAGCUAGUUGUAGCCAGAGUUUCCUCUUGUUUAGUUAACUUCUUUUUCAUUCUGAUUCAUCACAGAUUUAGAAUGCAAGUUACAGCCAGUUUUCUAUCCUUUGAUUAGGCCUGUCAAUCGGACCUAAUGAGCAGGGGCUUUCAUAAGUUCAAACUCAAUUCAUUUAAUUUGUAACAUUUUCAGGUUUGGGUUAUGAGUUUCGGAUUAAUAAACGUGAAAUUUAUACUCAACUCAUAUAACAUUCGGGUUGUGAGCCUUAUUCAGAUUUAGGCCAAACUCACUUAUAUAUUACUCCAUAAUUUUCUUAACAUAAUUACUAUAACUAUUAAAUUGUAAAACUAAUUUAACAUUUACAAGACUACAACAUGAAAACUAAAUAUGAACAAGUAAUAGUUCUUAAUAUAGACCAAAAAUUUUCAAUAAUACUUAUAUCUAAUUCGUUCAAAAUAUAUGAAAAAUAGUAAUAAAACAUGCGGUUAUAAACCAAUACAUCUUCCAAAGUUGGAACUUCUUUAUAGUCUUGUGAUUUGAAUCCAAAUACGCUUGAUGAUUUGUAUUUAUAGACCAAAAAAAAAAUCAACCAAUAUUAUACCAACACAAAAAUUUACUCAACCAAUAAAAAAAGUUAGAAAUUCAGUUAUGCAUUACUAACAUUAUAUCUCAAGAAAGCUCGUAGAAGAAUUUUCAGAUGUAUGUUUGUGUUUUAAAAUUUGUAUAUAUUUAGUAUUUAGUAAUAAUAUAUUUGGAUAUAUAAUUAUAUAUAAUAUCAAAAUAUAAAUAUUAUAUAUAUAGGGUCCGGCCUAUAUCGGGUUUGAACCUAAUGAAACCCAAGUUCGAUUCAUAUUUAAUUCAGACCUAAUUUUUAAGCUCAAAUUCAGACUAGUUCACUAAAAGGUCAGGCUCAUCGAACUUUUUCUCGAGUCGAACGAGUCGAGUUCAGACUGACUCGACCCCAUUGACAGUCCUACCUUUGAUGUCGACUUGGUUUUCUCUUUUUAGUCAUACUAGUACUAUUCAAACAUUAUGCUUAAGAGCAAUGUUAUUAAACUCCGAUCGGAUAGCGACUCGACUAAAUUACUGGGUCAAAAGUCAAUUGAUCCAAUCGAUCCUACCGUUCUAAAAAACUCGCUAAUGUCGGCAUGAUGUCAUAAUUAUUUUAUGUUUUAUAUUGAAAUUAAGUUCUUGGUUACAUUCGACGAACUAUAGAAAAUGUUUCAAAAAUAUUAAACUUGCGAUCAAAUAUACACCGAGUAAUUAUAUAUAAAAAUGUAAAUUCAUGGAUUAAAUAUGUCUAUUCUCCAAAACUAUUUGAAAAACUAAAUUAAAGCAAAUUAAUGCAAGUUGGAAUCACUGAUGCUAAAUUGAUAAAAUCAUAGGAAUGAAAACAUUUUGAUUUAGAGAUUAUUCAAGAAAACAAGUUAUUUUAGUAUUUACACUAAGUGGAUGGCGUUUUCUUAUUCUUAUUAAUAAAUGAAAGUGUUACAAUUUAAGUAAUUCAAAUUAUUUUUGGGGAAAAGAAGAAAGAAAAGUUUGAAAAUCGGGUCAACCAAUCAAACUGGAUCACUGAUUUAACCGAUUUUUUAUCAUAGCGAUUUUGUGUUACAAACCAACUUGAAAAAAGAUCGAUUCACAAUCGGACCGGUUGAACCGGCCGAUCUGGUCCGGGUCUAAUAACACCAUUUAAGAGGAGAUAUCAUAGGAACCCAACAAAUCAUGUAUCCGAAUUUACCCCAACUUUCAGUUUUGGCACCCAAAUUUGGCUGAAAAGGAAUAUGAGUAAGAAAGAAGAUAAUGGCUAGUGCCUCUGAAAAUGGAAAGGAAGCAUCUCGGCCCCUUGAAGCAAAAUCACAUGACAUGGAAAAGAUUCUUGGAAGAAUUUUUUUUGCAAUUCUUUUCUUCCAGCUUUUGACCCGAGACUUUGAGAGGUAAAAGGCUUAAAAAGUUUUUAAUUGUCUAGCUAGAAAGGGUUUGAUAAAAGUUUAAUUGUCUAGCUAGAAAUGGUUUGAUAAAAAUUUAGUUGUCUAGCUAGAAUGGAUUUGAAAAAUUGCAAGAAGCAAGGAAUGCCUUCAUGGUGAGGCAUGCCAUCGUUGUUUAACAUCCAAAACCAGUCUUUGAAUGGAAAUGUAUUAAACUUUGCUCGUCUCCUCGCCCCUGAAGAGCCUGUAUUCAACUCUUUUAACUUAUAAAACUUUUCUCUUUCCUUUGCUUCUCCUUUCAAAUAAGUGCCAAGGCAUGAAGCAAUCAAACAAAAGUCUCAGAGAUGUACUGAAUUUUGUAAUCGCCGGUUGCGACACCACAAACACAACUCUUUCUUGGGCUAUAUACAUGACAAUGACUCAUGAAGAUGUAGCAGAGAAAGAUUUACACAGAACUAAAAAAAACUAGAGGAAUCCAGGGCAAAAGAAGAAAACAUCACAUUGCACAAAGGAGAGAUGAUUCUGAUUCUGAUUCUGAAUCAUUCAGUAAGAGCGUAAUGUAAUUUGCAGGACUCCUCAAUUAUGAGUUCUCAGGCAGGCUAAUUUACUUGCAUGCUGUGAUCAGAGAAACACUAGUCGAUUAUAUCCAGCUAUUCCUAAGCUUAGCCCACUUCUAAAUUUGGUCAGUGUAGACCGAGAAAAUCAUGGUCUAUUUUCCUUAUCAAUAUAUGCAGGAUCCCAAGGGCAUCCUGGAAGAUGAAAUUUUACUAAAUGGAGCCAAACUAAAUGCAGGAGGAAUGGUAAGGGCGCAAUUUACUUCUAUAGUCUAUGACUAUUUUCGCUGACAAAAAUUAACCAAAAGCUUUACAUUCAUCAUGGCUUAUCCCUAAACAUUUAUAAGCAUAAACAAUAAGAGUUCAAAAAAUCCUUUUAGUCUCUUAUAUCAUUUGAUUGUUACCUGUCACCUGCAGGCUAAGCCGAGAAUAUAUAUGCCUUGGGAAGGAUUCAGCAUAUUUACAGAUGAAGUUGGCACUGGCCAUCUUAUGCGGAUUCUACAGAUUCGAACUGGUGCCAGGGCACGUUGUGAAGUAUGGGAUGAUGACGAUCCUAUCCAAGGAACAUGGAUUAAAAGUUUCAGUUUCAAGAAAAGCUGAAGCAAAAACUUUCUAUCACUUAUAGCAUCCAAAGUCGAAGCAAAAACUAUCAGCACUCGACAGAAUUACCGACAAUUUAUUGAAUAUUUUACUGUCAGCCCAUGAUUCUACAGACCUUUUCUUGAUACAAAAGUUGCAAUGGGCAUAAUCGACUUAUUUAAAUUCCCAAAUAGUAUAAUUUAAGGUUACAACAUGCCAUAUCUGAAUUCUCACGCAAUAAUAGUUAAAGUUGCACCGAGUCAACUAAUUUUGCACUGGACAGGUAUCUUUCAAAUGUUUUGAGUUUUUCAGUUCAAGCCAUGGUUGUAAUUUGGUUAAGCAUGUACAAGGUUCAAUAUCAUCCAGUAUAUCAUAUAGUACGAAAUAAGUCUUUUUCGAAUGAUUUGUAACUCUUUGUUAAGCUGUAUAAUUUCGUAAUAUAAGCACAAUUAUUAUACAUAGGUCUCAUAUGAACAGCAACAGAAUAGGUAUUGUAAAAUCGUACAAAAUAUUAAUAAAACUUACUUUAAAAUUGUACAAAUUAUUAUAACUUAUUCAAACGAUGUUAUACUGUUCAGGAUCAGUCGUAUAUAGACAACUGUUGCUGCCCAUUGGCUGUAUAUAAAGCACAUUUGGCCACCGAACAAAUCAUCAGAAUUGCUAGACAAUAGCAUAGGUGUCUAUCUUUUAGAUUCUUGGGUUGAGACUUGAGACGUGAAAUACCUAAAUGGAAACCAUACAAUCUUCUGCAGGCUAGAAAAAAGUUCGAUUAUUUACUAUUAGAAGUAAGGAAUGCCUUUCUUGAUAGUUUAACAUCCAAAGCCAGACUUUCAGUGGAAAGGCAUCCAACUUUGCACCCCUCCGAAGCCUACAUUCAGCUGUUCGAAUAAGAAUACUUUUCUCUUUCUUUUGCUUGUCCUUCAAAUAAGCGCCAAGGCAUGAAACGAUCAAAUUCAUUUCUCCCGUAACUCGCUUCAGAUUUGGUGCUGUUGCAAAGAAUGGAUAUCUUGUUCAAGCAGUUGAGGUAACUUUGAGUAUACGAUCAUGCAUGCAAGCACUCAUGUAUCGGCAUGUUCUUUGAGAAAGUGUUGUUUUUAAACAGAGUUGUUAAAUAAGAGAGCAAACUAUCAAGACUUGAUAACUUGAUCUUCUCUUGUAUUUAAAUGAUCUGUCUGUUUCUGAACUCUACGAUCAUGUAUUGCACCUUACGUGUAUUAGCCAUCUCUCCUGGCGUUGCUGACUUGGAACUUCUUGACUAGGACGAAAUAUCCUAAUUUACCCCGGGGAAGCAAAGAAGGCAGCAGCUCGACAGCAAAAGAUGGCACAACGCCACCCCAGAAAACUCAAUCGUUCAAAGGAGGUAUAUCUUGAAAUCAAAUCCGUCCGUAUUUUUCUCAAUUAUGAGAGUUCCUAUUUUAUAUUCAGUUCUUUCUUUUCCCUCUUUUGCUUUCUGUUCAAUAGUUUUGGAACUUGAAAAAUAAGAAAACUAUUUGAGUUGAAAAUGACUCCUUUCUGUUGUGAAGACAAAAAUGACCCAUCUGGGAAUUUUGAAAGCAAAAUUAGAGGGAAAGGAAUCGCUGGUGUAUUAUGCUACAGUAAUAACUCAACCAACCGAGUCUUGCAGAGAGAAAAAGAAGUCAGAGCUGGUUGCGGAGGCAGUUUUCUCGAUCGAUGAGCAGAGGCAAUGAGUCAGCCAACGAAGAGGAGUAUCAUACUGCAGUUGCAGCAGCUGCCUUUGCUGUUAAAUCUCAUGAAGAAUCAAGAACAAGAGAUGAGAGAAGGGGACUUAGCAUUCGAGAUGCAGCCCUUCCUCAGAUCAAGAGCAGCACAGAAGACAAAGCUCCUGUGCCUGACAGUCGCACAAAAUCCAUAAAAUUCUCAGGUGGGUUGGAAGACAUUAGGGGAAAACUAAAGGGUACAAUAUUUGCAACGUAAAAGAUUUGAGUACCAAGAAUGUUUUUACUUACGGAGGCAAGAUUCAGGACUAAAUUUGUGUGAAUUUAAGGGGAAAGAGUAUCUCCUACCAUUCCUUAACUAUGUCUUGUGCAACAGGUGAAGUUGCAAUGCCAAACUUGGAUGAUCCUGACAGGAGGGUUCAGAUAAGCACAGAAGCAAGUGAAAAAAUGCCCGAAAAAGCAGUUGUCCCUGUCCCACCAAUCAAGAAGAAGCUGUCCUUUGCGGAUACUCAACCUGAAGCUGCAUUGCCUGGCAGGGAGGCCAUUAAACCCACUAAAAAAGCUUCAAGUUUCGACAGAACAUUCAGUAGAAAGCCAGAGAUCAAAGAGCCAAAGCUGGAAGUUCCUGCACCUGUUCUGCCACCAUUUCUACCUGGUGACACCACCAUUAGGCAGAGUCCAAAGAAGCCAGGAAAAGGAGAUACUCGGGCAGAUGUUUGGGAGGAGGACGAAAUGGCUAGGAUAAAUGAAAAGUAUGUAAAUCAUUUCUUCUAAUUAAUAGGAAAAGAAAAGGAAAAAAAAAAAGAAGAAAAAGAAAUUAACUCCAUCUUUAGAGUACCUUGGGAAGUUCCUUUAAUAGGUAUCCAUUUAGAUAGGUAUCAGUUUGUCAGCUAAUAAACCUUUUCAGGUAUGAGAAGAAGAGGGUCAAAAUUCUCGAGUUGGAGGAGGAGGAGAAGAAGGCGGCAAAACGUCGAUUAGAAAGAACAGAGGUUCUAAUUUCAGUCCAACACCUAUUUUGCCAGAAAACAAGUAAUACUGAUGAAAUGGAUCUAAGCUAUGAACUAAAAUGUUUCAGGCUGAAUUGGACAAAAGAAGAGCGAGAGCAACGCACCACUACCGUAGUGAACUUGAGAGAAUUGAAAGCAUUGCCAGAGGAGCAAGGUCUCAUGCUACAGAAAAUCAAAGAUAUGAAGAGUCCAAGGUGAAAGAAAAAGCAAGCAAGUUCAGAAUGACAGGAAAACUUCCGGCAGCAUUUUGGUGCUUCUAAAGAUUUAGCACUAAAAAUUUAACACAGCAACUGAAUAUUCUUUGGACAAAGUUUCUAACGAUUGAUCUAUAUUUCACAUCCUUUUAUUUUCUUAUGAAAUUGUGUGAAUCCUGGGCUUGGAUUCUUAUGUUUACCUGUUCAUCAGUGAGUAUAUUCGUUUUUGGUCAUAUACAAAACUUCAAAGACAUGGAAUUUACAGUGGCAAUGUAUAUGAACGCUGAAUACUGAUUCGUUUCUUUGUUGGCAAUUAUAGCGAUAACUUAGUUCGAGAAUGGAAAACUCUAAAAUUUGUUAUCAGCAUUACACAAGUGUCCUGUCUGUCAAAGAAAAUAAGGAAACUCUGGAUGUAUAACUUAAAAUAUAUACAUAUAUAUAUAUACACAUAUAUAUACAAUGUACUUUACCAACACUACGGGAUCACCAUUAUGGGGUAAGAACAGCAAGAUAUGGCAAAUGCUUGGAUGAAGGUAAAAGGUCCACAAGGAAUGGCUGUCCAAUCCAGAAAAGAUCAUCUACCAAAUGCUGAGUUAUUUUUUGAUAACCAAGGAGACAUUUGGUAUUAUAAAUCUCAAGCACAUCCACUACGAACCAACAGAAAGAAACUUUUGGGGGGGGGGGGGGGGUGUUUAACUCCUUACCAAGCAGCUGCAUCCGAAAUGUCUUUUGCGUAUGUCCUCUGAUCAAUAAUCCUUCAUGUGAUCAAUAUCCACUAUGCUAUCCGACUAAAUAUCUUCUGUAAGAAUGGCAGAAAGAAAGUUUUCGCAACUCCAUCCCUAGUAUAUUACAUCAGAAAUGUCUUUUGCAUAUGUCCUCUUAUGAAAAACUCUUUUUCUGAUCACUACCCACCAUUAUAGUGGGGGCAAUGGGGAAGAAGUCCUUGAAUUAAAUCAGUCGGUUCAAAUGUUCAACAGAAAAAUCGGCCUCAACCCACUGUUGUCCAACUCAUUAUAGGAAUAGAAAUAUCGAGUCAAGAAACGGGUUCCUCACUUUCCUUUUAAACAGGAACCAACCAAUAUCAUAUCUAAAAUUACACAAUAAAAACUCUUCAGAAAAUCCCUUCAUUACACAAACAACAGAUAUUUCCAGCACCCAACACUAAACUCAAAUCCAAGCAAAGACUCUGAUAAGCCUACACAUAAUGGGCAGAAGACACAUUAACAAACAGCCAUGGCAGUAUGGAAUUACACAAUCAAAGAAACAAACUAAGCAAAAGAGUUCCAUAAACAACAGAAGGAUUGAUAAAUAAAAAUCAUGAGGUAAUUUCUCUUGCCAGCCAAUCCAAAGCAGGAUACGCAAAAUAUAACACUAGAAAAGCUGGAAGAGCGAAGACAAUUGUGAUCAGCAGGUAAAGCAUCAGGAUGGCAGCACUAGAGGGUAAUGCAAAUAGAACAAUCAGAAGGAAAACGAUGACCAAUGGAAACUUUGCCGAAAACUGAAGGAAGUAAUCUAGAGAUUUUUGAAAGGAAAACUGGGGCCUUUCCAGAUUGUUGGUGUUGCCCACAGGAUCAUCAUUGCUGUUAGACCCUGAAAUGCCCAGACGGUGGAACCUUCUAUGCACAAUAUUGGAUGUGGGAUUUCCCAUCACUGAAGUACAUCUUGGAGACCAUACCUGAGGAUCUGCACAAAUGGAGGAAGAGGUCUUCACCCUGUCACCAUUUCUGCUUUCAACCAUCCAAAGGAGAAAGAAAUUUUUGCUGGGAAAUUUCAGAUUCCCCUUAUAAAUCAGUCGAAAUGUCAACAGAUUGCACCACGGGCAGGAAAUGAACAAUGGAAUCUGAAUCUGUUGAGUGGAGAAUUUCAAAGCAGCCCACUUAAGUCCUAGGACACAAUUCUUGCAUAGCGUGUGGCCACACCAUAAGACAUAAGGAACAUUCUCCACAAUGUUAAAAGACUCCCAGCAUAUUGGACAUUCCAGCCCUUCUUCAGCACUGGAAUUGGAACAGACCUCAUCAUCUGAGGAAUCUUCUAUGCAUACCAGACUCUCACUCGAAGUAACCUUCUUCUGCCCAAAGCUUCCAAAGGCAUUUGCAAGAGAUUUCCACAUAAUGGCAAAACGCAACCCUGACAGAUGAUAAGUAAUUACUAUCAAAGGCUUCUACUGUAAAAUGAGGCAAAAUCCAUAAUUUCUAAGUAGAAAAUAUGGAUCAGAUCCUAGCAAUAGACCUGCACCACAAAGUCAACCACUUAUUACGUAGACAAGAGUGGCUCUCCCCAUGCUUCUUCAAGCAAACAUGCAACAAAUGCCAGAGCAAAGAGUGACUACUAAAAAGUUUCUCGUAAUAUAAAAAACAAAUUUUACAAGUAGGAAAAAGCCUGCACAAAUGACCGGAAAUUGACUGCAAAACAGCAAAUGCAACAUCAUUUACGAGUUGAUCACUAAGAUGGUAAAUAAUGAGCACAUUUACAAGGAAAGACAAGUUUUUUGAGUUAAAAGUCAACGUAAAAAGACUUCCAUGAUUUUGCUACCAUACAUCUUGUACAAUUUUCAGAUAACAUAGAAUACAAACCUACUAAUUUUACUUUCACACACUUGUGAUACACAAUAAAAUAAACCUAUCAGAGCUUGCAAGUAGAACAAGCUAGUCUACAACUUCUUCUUUCGUAUCUUAAGGUAAGAUAAAUGAAACUAAGGCCUAAAACUUAAAUCAAAACAAUACAACUCAAGGUCAAAUAAUACCUUCACAAGGCAAUUUGACAUGUAAAAAUAUUAGUAAACCAUCAUGGGAAGGCCAAAGGAUAAACUUGUUUUAAUAACUCAAAGUAUUUCUUCGCUGUGACAGAACUAAUGAAUUAUGAUUGUGCAACAAAAAUCUAUAGCCAUACCGAUACUCGACUCGUAAUGUCCAAAUGCAUCUUAAUUAUGUCAAUGGCUUCAAACAUGGGCUCUGCUAAAGAUUCAUAAUUCGAGGUACUGUUUUCUCUCCGUACUAUGUCUUCGUAGGCUUACAAUAAUCAAUCCAAAUGUCCCUUAUACACAAUACUGACAUUUCCAUCCGAAAGCUUAAGGGAAUGAACAGUCAGUUAUCAAGCGAAAGCUCAAAUUAACAUUCCAAGGAAACCCCAGAAGACAAUGCAAAACCAAAACAUACGUCUUAAGCAAAAAUACAGUAAAACGCAGAAUUUCUCAAGCAAAAAGCCCUUAGCAUUAUAUGAACUCCAUCACCCAAAAGAGCAACCCUUACAACUGUCCUAGCUUGAAACACAUUUCUGCUAUCUCACAUUCUUUCUUCUCCCCAACUUGAUAAUUUCUUUACCUUUCACCUCAUGGGCAAAAAGAAAAAAAGACACAAAAUAAAACAAUAAUCAACCUGCAUGUACGCAUAUAACAGAGAAAAUCCUAUAGGUCAAGACCCUUUGUCUUUUUUGGGGAAUCAUCUAGUGUCCCAGAUUAAAAUAACACAAAGGAGCAAAAAAUGCAGAUGAAAAAAUGGGCUAAUGGCCAAGCAGAAAAAUCCUCACUUGGGUAAAAGCUAUGAGAAAUUGUAAUCAUCGCUGACAAAUGAGCACCGCAACAAUAGCUAUCCGUAUGUGAAUAAAAAGGUGAAAAAUGAACAAAAACUUACUGGGAUGCGACGAUCUCGAGGAAAAACUGAAAAAAGAGAAGAGAGAUCAGAAGAGAAAGCAACUCUCUUCGUCUCUUCUCUCCUCCCCUCUCUCCCUCUCUCUGUCGCUGUCGUAUGCGAACCGGGAGAGAUUUUUAUUUUUGCGGAAUUAUUUAGUCGAGGGAUUAAUUGUAGAAGCUCCGGACGGCGUCGUUAAGUGAUGUUUUCACAGUGUUGUCAUUUGCUAACGAUGUCGUUUGGUCCGUGUGAAGUCAACGAUGGUAAAAGAGCGGUGAAUCAGGGGUCCGGUCCUGCCCGCUGCCCACCUGGGCCCAUGAUGACUUUAUGAGCCAGUAGUUACUCCGUUUGGUAUAGUUAAAGGAUUUCACUAAUCUCUAAUUUAUUUCUGUCUUUGAUAAGAAUUUUUUACUAACGUUAGAUACGUUGAAUAUGUACCAGAAUUGGAAGCUACCCAUUUAUAUUACUAUUUUUAAGAUUUUUUUUAAAAAAAAAUUGUAGUAUAACAAUUUAAUAUAUGUGAGAAUCAAAAAAAUGAUCAAGAAAUAUAUUAGUAAAAAAUGUAAAAUUUUUUCUGCAAAAAACUAUAAUCCAAACGAGGAUUAAUAGAAAAAUUUAGCCAAAAAAAAAAAAGAAAAUAAUUUUAGGGCCUCAAAAUCCCCCUGAUUACUUUGGAAUUGUUACUUCUUUGAUGCUUAACAAACAUGAUGCUUUUGGUUAACUUCUUGGAAAAAUUUUACACUAAAUAAAAGCUAGGCUUUGCAUUAAGUAGAUUACCAAAAACUACUAGGUAGGGAAGUCUUCUUGUGCGCUAGUCUUACUGGUCUCAACAGAUGAAGUUGCAACUACUGCAAAGAUUAUUAGACUUGCAAAUUGAAAAAACCAAGAAACAGAUAACCAAAAGGUUGGGGAGGAAAGUUGCACGAUAUAUUACAAGUUACCAUUGAAGAUUGGCUUAGAUGGAAGAUCUGUCGGAAAAAUCCCAGAGAUGGAAAAUGAAUCCAAUUUGUAGUUUAGCUUAAGGGGGGAAGCAUCUCCUAUAAUCCAUUUCUUCCUUGUUUAUGAUCACAAGUUUCAAACCUUGCCAGGUUGUCUGAAUUAAGAGAUUCUUUGGACCAUCUACCUGAUUGAUUGAUUUUAGUUGCCUCCUUUUCGAUCAUUACCAAAAGAAGAUAAGGCUGGAAGUGAAGAGAAACGAAACAUCAAGCUAGCUAAAUAGGAUAGCUAGCAUGCAGCUGUGCAGCGUCAAGGCCCUUCAUCACUACACAAAUUCUAAAUCUGGAAGAUGCAUGGAAAAUACUACAAAUUUAGUAAAACAAUUACAACAACAGGCCAUCUGCUUCACAAAUCGCAUUUACACACAUACAUUACACAUCACACCAAUUGAUUUUACUUUGGUUUCAAUACACUCAUGAGAAUUGCAAAGAAAAACACGCACACAUAAUAAACAUAUAUGACACCACCAUCAAACUUGAAAGAUAAAAAUCCAAGGACAAAAGCUGGCAUGCUUGCUACUAUAAACAGAUGGCUUUGAUCAGGUGAUAUAUAACUGGCUGAAAUCAUCAGUUUUUCCCCAAGAAACCUCCAGCCAUCUUCAGUAAAUCUCCUCCAUCAGUUUUGCUGCCUUCAGAAUCAGAUGGUUUGCUCAAGUAUCCCUCAGCCAAUUUAGCAUACUGCCCAAUCCCUCCAGAUUCUCCUUUCUCACCUUCAGCUGAUUCUCCCUCUUUCUUCAAGAAUCCCCCAGCAGCCUUAGCAUAGUCUCCUAACCCACCCGUCUUCUCCUCUGAAUCAGUGGUGGGCUUUGCUGACUCACUCGGCUCUUCUUCCUUUUUAGGCUCUUCAGUAGUAGUGCGCGCGGGAGCUGAUUCACUAGCCGGCUCUUCAACUUCUUCUUUCUCAGCUGUAGGCUUAGGCUCUUCAGAAGUAACUGGCUCUUUAGUUUCUUCUUUCUCAGGUGUAGCUUUAGGCUCUUCUUCUAGUUUCUCAGCCUUAGGCUCGUCAGAAGUGGGCUUGGCUGAUUCAACCGGCUCUUCUUCUUUCUCAGAUGAGGGUUUAGGUUGUUCAGAAGCUUUUGGCUUUGUAGAAUGAGAAGUUUCAUAUUCAUGAAGAUAAUUCCCAGCUUUGUCAACGUAGCUUCCAACUCCACUAGUCUUGUCAAGCUUCCCAUAAUUUUGGGCAGCAUCAAGAAGAUCAGCAGCUGCCCCAGCAACCUCAGCAUUAUCAUGUUUUUUCUCUGCAGGUUCAUUCUGAACGGUGGAUCUUGCUGCAUCAGCCACCACCUUAGCACUUGAAAGCAGACUGCUGUUUUCUUCGGAUGCUGGGGCUGAUUUGUCAGUAGUUUCAGCCUUGGUUUGGGGGGUGGCCGAGUCAGUAAAUUUCUUCAAAAAAUCCAUCUUGGGAUGGCUUGUUUUUCGGGUGAUGGUGCACAGAAGAUGAGCUUAAUUUGCCCAAAAAGGGAGAGUUGGCUUUUUUUUUUUUGGCGAAGGAACAGAAUGAUGGACAGAAAUAGAACUAUUCAAAGUUAGUUGCUUCGUAUGGGAAUCUGUAAGUAUUAUUGGGGUUUAUAUAGAGGGCUACCAAUCAAGAUGAUGGUUCAGUUUUAGUGAAUCAGUGUUCAGUACGUGUACUGGUGUCAGUGUUGCCAAACGGGUUUAGAUUAUUAGAUAUGAAUACGUGUUCCUGCAGUCUCUGCUACAAUCAAUAUUAGUUCUGAGAUAUUUGUUGGAUCAGUAGCCUUUCUUUUAUUUCUGAUUUCUACUACUUUUUUUUUUUUGGGUCCAUGACAUUAAUCAAGAGAAGAUGUUCUGUCGGCAAAAGAAAAGGUGUGGUUCGAUUAUUGCCCACUUGUGAAGGGAAGGGAAGCCAAGUUGUCCAAAAGCUAGUUGCAGCAAAAGCAGUGGAGCCCUCCUUGCUGUUUCUACUUCUGAUGUGUUCUCCUUCCAUCCAUGAAUUCUCAAGAUCAUUUAAUUGUUUCAUUUUCCCACACCAGAUCUCCAUAUUUUAUAUGAUCGCGAUUCCCUUGACUUUUAUCAGUUCAAUUUUUUGAAGUGGUAUUUUCCUAUUCUAGUCACUUUUGUUUCUUUCCUCUGAUUUGGUGCUGAAGAUCAACAGGUGCAUUAUUGUCUCAAGAAACUCACAAAGAAAAGAACAGACCUGAAAUGGACGGCCAAGUUCGCUGUGUAUUUGGACGUGUUAUUACUUGUUAAUUCGGUCCAGAUCAUAGUGAUGACACAUCAGAAUUUCAGUAAGCAUGCUGCCAAGAGAAAAAAGACACCAUGAUUGUAUCAAAGUGCCACGACUUUGAUCGAUGAUGACCUCUGUAUCUGCAUGGACAUCUCAGGACACCAUAACCCACCUCCUUCACUAGUGCCACAUUUCAUCCCCAAGAGAAAUUUGAGAAAAUAUAUAAAAGAGAUUUGAGCAAACACAAAGAAAUUAUUAAGGUUAAUUGUUUUCCAAUUCUGCUUGUUAACUCUGAAGAGAAAACGGUGCAGAGAAAGAUUGGAAAUUCUUUUUUAGAAUGAAGAGAUGAUAUUCAGCAGAUUCUGGUUUGUUUGGAUUGUAUUUUUCUGGACUUUUUGUAGAAAAACUACUGUAGUGAUUUGAUAUAUAUGAAAUAAAAAGAUAAUUGAAAGAUAUGUUUACGGAAAACGUAGUUAUUUUUCUUUGAAAAUCUGCAAUCCAAACACUUGUACUUAUGUUAAUUGUUGGUAUAGUUUAUGCAUGGCGAAUUGAAUUACUAAUGGGAAAAGUGAUUAGAGCGAUUAAAGCCGGGCAAAUUGUAAUGUGACGACCAAAAAUAUCACAUUUUUUACAACUGAACCCAAGGCAGUUUUAUGUCCUUGGACUGGGCCACUAGGCAAAUUGUAAAGAUCGGAUUUGUUUUUCUUUUGCCAUUUGUUUGGCAGUAAGAGGAAAUUCUUUCACGUAUUUGUUAAUAGAAUGAAAAAAGUAAUUAGAUCAGGGACGGUUGGAUUGGAUAACAACGUAUGAGGGAUUAUAAGUAAGAUUCUAGAUUCGAAAUCUACCACUAAUAAAAAAGGAGAAAGUACUAAAUCGAUUAAAGUCAUGCAAAUUGUAAUACGACAACGUCGACAAGGAUUUAGUACAAUUACAUUUGAAUGAUUUCGUUCCGUCAUUAUAUAUAUUAAAAUUUUUGACAUGCAAAUGCAUCAUAAUAUUAUACUAAAUAUAUGUCAAAUAUUUUAUCUAUAUACAUUGCUUUUAGUUCGAAUAUAAUAUAAUGUAAUUACACAUUAACUAAUAUAAAAAAGUAUAACAAUCGAACUGAACUGCACCAAGCUCCAAGCGCAUUGACCCCUCUCUCGACAAUAUCAUAUUUUUUUACGACUGAACCAGGCAGCGUUCGGUUCUUGGACCGGACCAUUAGGCAUAUUCUCUCUCUCACUCUCUUUUGGGUAGGAAAAUUCUCUUUAAAAGUCAAAAUAAGGAAAAGAAAAUUAGGCUGACCCAGACGUGGGGGUUCCGGGAAUCCAAUAAAGCUGGGCCUUUGUAAGGUGGAUAUCAGUUUUAGAUGCUCACAUUAUGACAUAGGAUAUCUACUUCAAUAGUUUGUCAUAUCAGUUAAAAUAUUUAGGGGCGGCUUGGUUUAGAGGUUUGGAUACUUGACAUUACAAUAAUUACAAUAUUGUGCGUUUGAUCGAGUGCAAUGGAUAUUGAAAUAUUGGAAUCAUGAUUCCCAACCAAAUUAGGAGGAUUUGACCAGAAUCGUCGUUAGUGGAUCCUCUAGAAAUUAUUCCAUUUCCCUUUCAAAUUCCAAAGCAAGAACCAAGCAGCACCCUUGCUUCUUUUGUUCCCAAUGGAUGUAUUGUUUAACUUUCGGGUAAGAAUGAGCAUAUAAAGAAAAAGGAGACAUUUGUCCAAUAUUUUACACUCGUUUAGUCAUUUACGAGUAACUCGUAGAGGGUUUUUUUUUUUCUUUCUGGCUUUUCUUUUCUUGAUCAAAAUUGUAAUUCAUUUGAAAACCAUCCCUUGAUUUUGAUUUGUCAAGAAAUAAAUUUCAUAUUACUGUACAUAAAAUCCAAUCAAUUAUAUACUAUUCCCACUAAAGAUGAGAAAAGGCAAUUGUAAUUUUUCAUGGAAAAGUCAAAAGGUAAAUUUGAUCCAUCUGCAAACAGCUGUAGGAGCCCGUGGGAAUAAAUUUGUCACUGCUGUCAAACUGUCUGUCAUAAAUGAAUUCUUUACUUCUUUUUGGACCUCAAUCGUCACAUUAUGCAAGAUAUGCAGUUGCAAUGUACCCAGGCAGACAAAUAAAUCUAAGAUACCAACCACCAUUAACUGAUAUAAAUUCAAGUAAUUUAUUGCUAAUAACUUCUCACUUACAUAGACAGAUUGAUUUUUUUUUUUAAAAAAAAAAAGCUAUGAACAACAAAACAAGAAAAAAAAAUCAGUACAUUAGAAGUUCAACCUUCUAAUUUUAUUGAAACUCGGAUGGACCUAAUGUUGAAGGUCAGUGAUCUAUUUCUUCAAGAAAUCUCCAGCCAUCUUCAUAUAAUCUCCAUAGCCACCACUUCCAGAACUAUGACCAUGACCAUGACCAUGUCCACCCCCUUCCCCAACCGAACCACCACUUCCUGAGUGAUUCUUCAACAUCCCCUCGGCCAUUUUGAUAUACUCUCCAUACUUGCCCCCAGACUGGCCCUCAUGAUCACCGCCACCGCCACCGGAGGAAUGCUUAUUCAUAAGCCCUUCAGCCAUUUUGAUAUAAUCCCCAUAUCCACCACCGGAAUGGCCAUGAUGAUCCUUCCCAGGCUUGGUAUGGAAGGUCUCAGUAGUGGUGGUGGUGGUGGUUGAACUUGAAUGAUCCUUCCCAGGCUUGGUAGUUGUGGUGGUGGGGGACUGAGAGGAGUGAUAUUGGUGGAGAUAAUUCUCAGCUUGUCCCACAAUUUUCCCCAUGGCACCGCCCUUUUCAUCUAGCUUCCCGUAAUGUGAGGCUGCGUGCAUAAUGUUUUCAGCUGCGUCGGCAACCUCAUCCUUGUCAAACUUGUAAUUUGGGUCGUUUUGGAAUUUGGCCUUGGCUGCGUUGGCUACAAUUUUGGCACUUGACAAUAAUUCAGAGCUGGAUGGGGUGGAAUGAUGCUGGUUAUGGGAUUCAUGACCACGGUGAUCACCAGUCCUAUCACUUGUGGGCUUGCUGGAUUUGUGAUGUUCUUCUUUAUCAUAAGAAUAAUCCAUCUCGAUUGAUUCUUGAGUCGAGUGAAUUUUUGGGACACGAUUGAAAAUUGGAUCUGAAGUGGAGUGGAAAGAAACAGAUGGAAGCUGAGGAGCGGAUUAAUUUGUGGGAAAUUUAAAGGGCUGUGAUGGAUGUUGGAUUUGGUGAGGGGGUUGAAGAUUGAAGAAUAAUGAAUGGAGCAACUGUGAAGGUUCGUGCUUGUUAAUGAAUGUCAACUGUCGCUGUCGACGCGGUGGUGGGGAUUGGGGAUUGGGGAUGGGCUAUAACCAUAGAAAGGAAGUUUGUGGAUAAGGAAGCAGCACUCGUUUAAGCGGUCAUAUCGCGUCCUCGUACAGGCAAACACGUCUAAGACUUUCAGUGGUGGAUUGGCUCUUCAAUUCUUAGAUUUUUCUUUAUCCUUUUUUUUCUUAAUUUAAUGUCCAAUUGUGAUAAAUUCAACUUCGAGUACAUUAUGAGCAUAAAUAAUUUUUUUUUGAAGACCAUAAAAACUAGUUGGUCGUUAAUUAUUACUCUAAUACAUGUAUAGUCAAGUAUGAUGCGGUGACUAAACGAGAAUAAUAAACUUAAAAGAGUAAAAAUUUUGAAGAGCCCUUAAACUAUCACUCUUAUCCACUUUUAGGUCUUGAUCUAGAUUUUGUUUUUGAUUGAUUUCUGAACAAUUAAAGGUGCAUAGUUUAAGGAUUUCUAACUAUUUUAGAUGUAAGUCGAUGCGCAAUUGAAGGGCAUUGUUGACCAAUCAUAAUCAAAAAGUGUUGGGAGUCUUAGAGAAUCGAAAAUUUUUCAAAGAUUUGUAGAGAAAUCUAAUAGUGCGUUUAAGAAAAAUGAAGGAUUUUCUCUUCUUUAGACUCUGUUUGAUAACUCAAUUCAGCACUUAAUUUUAAUAGAUUCAGAUCUUAACAUAUUCAUACCGUUUGAUAAUUACAAAUUGAACAUAUGAAUUAAUUAAGUGGCACUGAAUUUUCUAGACAAAACUUACUCUCAAAAUUAAAUGAUAAGCUAUUCACGUAUCACUAAAUGUAAUACGCACUCAAAUAUAUUAGACUUAAUAUUUAACAAUUCAAUAUUAAUAGAUUCAAAUUUCAGACAUCGAUUUUCAAAUUUCAAAUUUAUCAAACGAACCCUUAGAUUUCUACUCCAUCUCUUAAUACUUUGGAUUAAGUUUCCAAUACUUGGACAAAAAUGCCCUUCGAUUCAAGGCAGACUUAUGUCUAAAAUAGCCAGAAGUCCUUCAACUAUAUGUACUUUUAAUUAUUUAGGGGCCAAUGAAGACAAAAUUUAGAUUUAGGGGUUAAAAGAGUACAAUGAUAAUAGUUUAGGGACUCCCCAUAUCUUUUACUCAAACUUAAAUGUUUUAAGUUUUAACCUAGGUAAGAAAGUUGAAAUUAUCAACUUGUAUGACUAUUCAUGGAAACAUACAUUUUAUUUGUUAAUCCUGCUUUACUAACGUAAAUGAGUAUACAAGGAUACUAAGAAUACCUCCAACCUUACUAUAAUUAAUAAUGGCCCUAAUUAGCACUCCAAAAUUUUGUCAUGCUUUUAAUAGAUGGGUAUAUAUAUAUAUAUAUAUAUAUAUAGGGAGAACUGCAUCAAUCGUCCCUCACAUAUUAUAGAUGUGAAAAUUUAGUCCCUCAGAACAAAAAUGAUCAGAUUUAGUGCCUAACAAAUAAAAAAUGAUCAUCUUUAAUCCUUUUUCACUUUUCCGAACAAAUUUUGGCCGGAACUCAUUGGAUCCACAUGCAAUGCCCAAUUUUUAAAGGGUAAAAAUGACAAAUCACUGACCAAUUAUGCGAAGGACCAAUUUUGCAAACUUUUAGUUAAACAUUCAUUAAAAAAAAAAAACAUAAAAACUAACCCACCAUUAUUUGCAAUUCAUCUCAACCCAAAACAAACCCGAAUUGCAAACUCCCAACUGAUUGAAAUUCAUCUGAAGGAAAUUGAUGAUUGAAGACUUGUAAGAGAAAGGCUAACCAAGCUAAUGAAUGAAGAAGACAACACCAGAAUUCCAGAUUACGAUAUGUAUUUUUUAAUCCUAAACCAAAGAAUUUGCAGCAAUGGUUGUAAUUGAAGCAGCAACAUUUUUCAUACUUUCUUCUUCCUCUUCCUUCCCGUCAACUUCCCCUAAAUGCUCUUUACACUUCCUUAAACUUCCCAUUUUCACCUGUGCCUUUUCUUUUUUCUUAAAACGUUCACUAUUUCCCCUCCCUCCACUGCACUCACGAUAAAACCAAGAUUCCAAAUAUACUCAACCUCUACAGUUGAAGAAGUUGUUACAGUAGAAGAAAAAACAGAGCCAACCGAAGGAAAAAUAGAGUCAAUCCCACAAACCAAUCAGAAAAGAAAGCUUUUUGUGCUAAAUUUGCCAUGGUCUUUCACCGUUGCAAAUAUCAAGAACCUCUUUGCUGAAUGCGGCACUGUUACUGAUGUUGAGGUACUUCCAUGAGUUUGGUAUUUCUAUUAAAGAAUUUACUUUGGAUACUUUUGUUGAAGUUGAAGAAAUGAUUUUAGUUGGUUGUUCUUUUUUCUUUUGGGUCUGAAUUUGUUAUUGAAGUGACAUUAAAUCGUGGGUUUUGUUUGUCCUACAUAAUUUGUUAAUGAAGUGAUUUUUAAAUGGUGGGUCUUGUUUAUCUCGAUGAAUUUGUUAAAGGAGUCAUUUUGAAUCAUGUUUUCUAUUUUUUUUCUUGGAUGAAUUUGUUGAAGAAGUGAUUUUGAGGGGUGGUUUUUGUUUUUCUUGGAUGUGGCAAAUUAUAAAGCAAAAAGAUGAUAAAAACAAGGGCUUUGCAUUUGUGAUAAUGGCUUCUGGGAAGAAGCUCAGGCGGCCAUUAAGAAAUGAAAGCGGUGGAUAAAUUUGAACGGCAAGGACUUUAUACUAGUGCUAGUAUCAGUACAUGCUUUUUUAUCAGAGAUUGAUUUUAGUAAAUUACUUAUUUACUUGAGCACAAUGGUGAGAUUUAUUAAGGCCAAUGCUAUACUGUUUGAAUUGCUUGGUAUUAAGAUUUUGGGUUGAGAUGAAUUGCAAAUAAUGGUGGGUUAAUUUUUAUGUUUUUUUUAAUGAAUGUUUAACUAAAGUUUUGCAAAGUUGGUCCUUCGCAUAAUUGGUCAACGGUGAUUUGUCAAAUUUACCCUUUAAAAAUUGGGCAUUGCAAGUGGACCCAAUGAAUUCCGGCCAAAAUUUGUUCGGAAAAGUGAAAAAGGAUUAAUGGUAAUCAUUUUUUAUUUGUUAGGCACUAAAUCUGAUCAUUUUUGUUUUGAGGGACUAAAUUUUCACAUCUGUAAUAUGUGAGGGACGAUUGGUGCAGUUCUCCCUAUAUAUAUAUAACUUUAUCUACAGUAAUCCUUUAAAUAUAUUCCAAAGCUUUUAAUAUACACACCUUGGUGGGAGCGGCUAGAGGCCGGCGGUGAAGAGGGAGGAAGGAAAAGGAAACAAUAAAAAUAAAAACAAGAAACUUUUUCUUCAAUGUCUCAAAUACACAACAGUUUUUCUACAAUUUUUACAGUAAAAUUUAUAUAAACACCAAAAAAAAACUCACCAUUCAAUUAGUUUCCCUAAGAAGUUAAAAAGAGACGCUAGUACUAGUUGGAAGGGGCGGAUUUAGGAGACAAAAGCGUCAGAGAAAUGAGUUGUAGUAUAUGUCGGAGCGAUGACAACAUCUUCAUCUUAAUGUCAAUAAGAUGACAACAUCACACAGAAUAUAAAAGGGGAAUCGAGGCAUGCACUUUUCUGGAAGAUUGAGCUUCCUUUCUCUCCUUCAUCGUCCAAACGAAGAUCCUCGCUUCUUUCUUUCUUUUGACCAACAACGGCAUAUCCCUAAAGGGAUGGAACCUGAGAACACCGGUGGACAUUGGGUGCUGCAGGUUGCUUAUAGAUUCCAUGCAAGCAUCAAUAUGCUGCACUUGUGUUCUCAGGUCACCCCUUUGGGGCAACCCCGUUUUGCUACUGUGAAAUUCAUCUGUAUGUAGUAAUCAAAUUCAGCACUAAUUCCCCUUUUUAUAUUUCAUUAUUUCUUUCUUUUUUACUUAUUUGUCUUCUUCCUUUUUUUUUUUUUACAAUUUUCUUGUUUAAUUACAUGGCAGCAAUUCAAACUGCAGAUGAUGACUUUAAUGGGUUUCUAAGUCUCAGUUUAAUUUCAUCCCAACUUUGAAGAUUUGUUCGCAAAAUGAUUUCUCCUCAUGACUAGUUUUGGAUCUAUUAUUUGUAUUUUUUAUUUUUUUAUUUUUUUUUGUCAGCACAGUGGGUAUCUAGAUCCGUGAACUGGUUAUCGUACGAUCCAACAAAUUUCACUGCGUGAUCGGGAGAGGCUGCUCAACAUCACCGAUCAGGUAAACCCGGAGACUCGAUCCCUGGACGUGGCUCUCCCCCAACUGGGACUACAACCACAGAACAGAACCAUAGUUUUUGGAUCUAUUAUUUAUGUUUAUUCUCUUAAAAAGUGUUGAGAAUUGUACACACAUUCUUCAUCCUUGGUUAAGUGAGUCUCAAGAUGACUCUUGAUGUGAUAAUUAAAAACAAAGAACUUGUUUAUGACGCAAUAAUGACAAACACACUACCAUAUUAUAAUUAUUAUUGUAGACGACCCCAAAAAAAAACACACACACACACACGCUACCAUAUGAUCUGUAAUUGCCAAAGUACUCUUCUACCCUUUCUUCUUCGGUAGACUACCAAGAUACCCUUUCUUCCUUAACGGAUUCCGGCCUUUAGGACUGACCGACUGCAAAACCCUAAGUUUACUACCGAACCAGACUGAAAUUCGAAACUCGAAUAGUAUAGCAAAAUAGCACUGGACAUAUGGAGAUGGAAAUCGACAAUCCAAAGCCCAAUUUCAAAGCUAACAACACCCAAAUCAAAGACGAAGACCUCUUCAAAGCCGCUGAGAACGGCGACGUUUCCGUCUUCGAAUCCCUCUCCGACGGACAGCUCCUCAAAGCCCUCUCUCUCCGCAACGAAGAUGGCCGUUCUCUCCUUCACGUUGCCGUCUCCUUUGCCCAAACCCAGGUGCACAUUGAUGUUUCGUCCUUCUAAUGUUACCUUUUCACCUCGUUCUUUCAUUGUUCAUCUUUUUUUGAAUUUCUGUAGUUUUUAAUAUUUAUUUAUGAUGAUUCUACGCAUAAGUUCAUUAGUUCCAUUUGAAUAAGCUUAAUGCGUUUAAUAGCUAUUGAAAGUGUAGAGUUUGUUUUGUUUUUGUCAUACAAUCAACUGCCGACUUAAGCUUGGCUAGAUAAAAGCUCAGUUUGCUCACAGCCCGAGCACAUUUUUGGUUCAAGCUCAUAAAAAUGGUGAAACCAACUAGAUUCUCAGCGCCAUUUUUAUGAGUUCCUCAGCUAGGUUCCAGCUUUGUUAAUCUUGUCCGCAUUACCCCCUCUUUUUUUUUUGGUGGCCGGAGUUGGGGGGAGGUUAAAUUUGCAAGUUGUAGGAGUGGACUAUUUGUUUUGAUCUUAAAGCUAAGUAUGUGUUGGUGAAUGGUUCAGGUGGUGAAGAUUCUAUCAGCAGCAGAACCGUCUGUAAGUGGUGUAAAUAGUACCGAUGAGGAAGGCUGGGCUCCUCUCCAUUCUGCAGCAAGCAGCGGGAGUGUCGAGAUUGUGGAGAUGUUGCUGAGCAGAGGUGAUGAUCGAGCUUCUCUCACGCUUUAUCCUUGCAUUAAAUCAUUAAUGCAUUUUUGUGGUGUUCUGUUCUGCUUAGUUAGUUAUCGAAAGUGAUUUCGUGCCUAAUGUUUUUAUUGCAAGAGAAUGUACUCUGGUUUGAGCUAGAAUGCUGAAGGAAAUUUCAAGGCAACAAGGAAUAAUAUCUAUUUGUGAAUAGGGCUCUUGUAUUGAUUAAAUAUUGGAAUAAAUUAACGGGCAUACCAUGAAAUGGUUGGUUUUUAGUUUUAAGUUUGAUGGGAUUAUCUACUGGAUGUCAUGGAGAUUUACAGAUUUACAGGCUAACGGAGGAUUCACAGUAGUUGAUUGAUGUGAGGUCUAGAUGGUUAUUGAUUUUUUUAGGGGGAAAUGGCAUUUUACUUUUUGGGGGCAAACUGCACAUCUGAUAGGAUGCUGAAUAUUAUUAUAUGUCAUGUCUCUUCAUCAGUAAAUUUCUUCCUUUAAAAGAAAAUAAAGCAACAGUUAGAAAUGUUGUGUGCUUCUAAAAUUGCUUGCCCUGAAUGUUUUCAGUUCUUGUCAGCAGGAGCUGAUGUUAAUCAGAAGAAUGAUGGUGGUCGCACAGCUCUCCACUAUGCUGCUAGCAAGGGUCGGUUUAAAAUAGCUGAACUUUUACUCUCUCAUGGUGCAAAGCUCAACGCGAAGGACAAGGCUUGUGCUUACACCUUAACCUUUUUAUCCCUUAUUCAAAGAUUUUGUUGCACCAUGUUAUGCAACAUGUGGGCAUAGCUCUUGAAUGAAUGCAUCAGCACUCAGCAUAUUUUCAGAACAUGCAAAUUCUUUUCUGAUGAUCUUUUAUCAUUAUCAUUCAGGUUGGUUGUACCCCAUUACAUCGUGCAGCCAGCACAGGGAACUCAGAAGUGUCUGAACUCUUAAUUGAGGAAGGAGCUGAGGUUGAUGAUAUUGAUAAGGCGGGUCAAACUCCUCUUAUGAAUGCAGUGAUAUGCGGCAACAAAGAAGUAAAGUUUCUACAAUGUCCUUUGUGUGCUCCAACCAUUUCACUGUAGAUGCACCUAAUUACUCACGCACAUGCCAUGUAUAUGUAUCUUUUUUAGCUGUUAUUUAUUUUCAUAGCUUCAGAAAAUAAGUAUUUAUACAACAAAUUUAUUCACUUGUGAUUGGAAGUGUGACAGAGUAAUUACCAGUGACGGGAAUUCUGUUUAGAUGUGCUUACAAAGUAUCAAGUAUCCUGGUUUUUCAGAUUUUUUUCUCUUGCAAUUCAUCUGCCUAAUAUAUUUUGCGGAAAUAAAUGAAAAAAUAUGUAUGUUUGAAGUUUAUGAUAACCAUGCAAGGGAAUAAGAGAAUUCUCUUAUACUCUGUCUGAUCCUGUUAAUUGGGGAAUGUCUUUGCCAAUCCAUAGGUAAUCUCAUUCCGAUCUAAAUAUUUUGUUGACAGGUUGCUCUCCUACUAAUAAGACACGGAGCAAAUGUAGAUGUUGAGGACAAUGAAGGAUACACUGUACUCGGUCGAGCUUCUAAUGAUCUUCGACCAGCACUAGUUGAUGCAGCGAAGGCCAUGCUGGAAGAAUAAGAUAGCCAUGCUGGAAGAAUAAGAUAGAUUAUACAGAGGAAAGGAAAUUUCUUUAAAUGGCUGGGGCUAGUUUGAUGCAUUUGGGGUAACACACUAGGAUCUAUGCCAGUGAAAGUUUAAGGGGUAGAACGGCACUACUCUAGCUAUGUUUUGUUUUUCUUUUCGGGUUCAUCUGUUGGAUCAUCAAGUCAACUGGAAAGCCCAGAUUUUGAUCAGUUUCAUUUAAAUUGCUUAUUUUUCUCAGUUUGUUUGAUUCCUGGAUUUGGGAUGGUAACGCUCGAGCAUUUUUCCCCUCCAACUUUUUGCAUUAGCAGAUGGGGAUAAGAUGUUGGAGGACUCGAUCGCCUUACGGUCUUAGUGCAGGGUUUUAAAGUCCUUAACUGUGAUAGGAUCUCUCUUAGAUGAAAAGAAUUCGAUGGCAUAUGAGAAUUUAUUUAUUCGGGCCCCAAUUGUCUUCCAACAUGUAUUAGUUUGUUUUUGUAAAUGGUGAAAACAGAUGACUUUUAACUUUGGGUGCCUCAUUGAUCUCGCUGUCAAUCGAGAGCCCUAGAACGGGGUUAUCGUGGCAAUACAGAUUAAAUUGAAAUUAAACUAACUACUUGGUAUAGAAGAUCUCCCAACCGCAUCCGCUCUAGCUCGAGACUGUCCGUACUCCUUACAAAGAAAGCGUCUGUUGGGCAAAAAAAAUAUGUUCAUAAAUGAGAGGAAUUGAGAAAGGGGAAAAAAAAAGAGAGAGAACAUAGGGAUUGGAUUUUCUAGGCAUGAGUGACAUAAUAAAACCUAGACAUAAGUGCGAUCAUAUCAAUACUAAUGCAUCGGAUCCUAUCAGAACUUUAAACCUAAUAAUUAGUUCCUAUCAAAACUCAGAAACUAAUAGCUAGUUUGGGACAUAAGAUUUGAGCAGAAAAGAAAAAAAGGGAAGAGAAAGAUAGAUGUUUCCAAUGUUUGGGAGAUUUAUAGCUAGUUUGGAAGAGCAGAUUUGGUGAGAAAAGAAAAGAUUACAAAGGAAAGUUGAAUCUUUCUCACAUUUGGGACUUUGGAUAGGAAAGAAUUGAAAAGAAACGGAAGGAUGUCAGCUCCCUUCCACGUCAGAAAAACUUUCUGCCCAAAAUCGGCGGAAAACGUGAGAAAGUGGAGUGAGUUAAAUGAAUUAUACCAUAUGUCAUUUUUACCCUUAAAAGAUUAAAAUAUAACUAUAUAACCUAAUAAAAUUCUCAUGGUAUCUUAAGAUUUAAGGGUUUUUACGUAAAAUUGAAUCUUGUCUUUUCAAUUCUCUCCCUUCCAAACAAAGGAAAGUUAUUUCAUCUCCUUUCUUCUCCAAAACUCCCAAAUAACAUGAAAAGAUAUUAUAAUCUUUUCUUUUCUUUUCUAACUUAAGGUUUCUGUUCUUUUCUUUUCUUUCCUAAACUCCCAAACUAGCUAUUAGUGAAAUAGAAAAGAAAAGAAAGCAACUGAUUUGAAAAAAAAUACACCGUUAAAAAAAUUUUCCAUCCCAAAUUGGGCAGAAAGCAAAGGAAAGUUGAGGAGGGUCUACAAAAAAUUUAAAAAUUAUCCAUUCUAUCUUAUCCUUAAAAAGUUAUUGAAUAAAAUUUUUAUUAACCAAUAUAUCCAAAAUAAUUUCUUUCCUUUCAUAAACUUCCAAACAACAUUAAAAUCUCCUCAUUUCUUUUCUCUCAUAACUUAACUUCUCUUCUUUUCUUUUCUAUCCUCAACUCCCAAACUAGCUAUAAGUGUGCUUGUGCUUGGACUUGUGAAACUAAAAAUUGGUUCUCAUUUGUCUUUCAUCUAUUACGGGCUUCCUAAUCUUCUUCCCUUUCAAGAGAGAGAAAAAAAAUGUGAAAAUACAUGUUUGUCUUCUGCAAGAUAACGGAAAUCAAUAAUCAAUGGAGCUGAAGGAUUAACAAUUUGCCGAAAAAAAUUGAUGUUUAAUUAUUAACCAUAGGACCCUGAAAUCCGAGUACUUGUCUACCUGAUUGCCACGACACACUGAAGUCAGCAAAACACUGCAGAGGCAGGACUGAGGAGAGGAUGGGGGUUUGCUUGGUAGAAAUAAAUAACAACCGUUAAUUCUUGUAACUGGCGACUGCCUGGUUCCUAGGAUCCCAUCAUCGUCUACCUUUACACAUGCUGCAAGGGCAAGUCUUGUUCUAGUUCUGGUUGAGCUUGGCAGAAAGAUAGAGAGGAAGUACGAGAUAGAAACAUAACCAAUCAUCAUGGCCUCAUCUUUAAUCUGGGCUUCACUGGACCCAUCUGCCAUCAAGCCAAGAUCACUUUUUCCUUCUAAAGUUCCAUCUCUACCUUCCAAACAGUUUCAGCAAUCAGAAGCAGUAGUUGGUUUUAGGAAUAAUAGAGUAAAAGAAGCUGCUGCGGCUUCCAUCAGAAAAGUUCAACUAGUUUCUUUCGCUGCCUCUGCUGCCCUCUUGCUAUGCUCCAGUCCCGGUAAUUGACUAAGCACCUUAUCAUCUCAGUGUAUUUUGGUGGUUGCUUCUGAAAUGUUUUUAUUUUCUGAAUUCUUGUAGUAAUUACUAGUGCUAAUCAGUAAUGAAAUACGCAUUUACAGAUUUGAUACGAGGUGUUAUUUUUGGGUAAAAUAUCUGAAUCCCUUUUUUUUUUUCCUUUGGGGUAGCUAAUGCUGGAUUUUUCUCGGGCUUCUCUGGGAUAGAGUCAGUUCCUGGUCCUGAGUUACCUCAGAUUGACUUUCUGUCACGCUGGAAUGGUAUGUUAGCAACUGAAUUAUAUAAUUCUGCUGAUCUCUCCUUAAAAUUUGUUAACUCAGAAAUGAUACAUGUUGCCGGCUUUUAGGGUUAAAUCUGGGAUUAGGUUUAAUUAACUAACGUCAAAAGUCUAAGGAAAAAAAAAGAAAUGAUACAUGUUGGAAUUUUCAGAAGAAAACCAGAAGAAGUAUGCUGAAGCUGAUGCAAAAUUCAAGGAGUCCCCCCUGCUCAAAAAGUUGCUUGAGCAAACUAGGUUAAACAAAGAGAAGUACGUUUUUCCUUCUCUAACUAUUCAUAGUCUUGUAGGAAGAGUUGCCAUUCAACGCCCUGGGCGUCAGAAAAGUGAAUUGAGCUUUUUAUGACUUUCCUUGCUAUAUAUCUAUCAAAGUGGAGUCAAAUUGAUCAUCUUGAUCAGAUUUGGAGGCUUUGCAUAAACUAUUUGUUCUUAAAAUGUCUUGAUAACCUGCUUAUUUAACAGAAAAAAAAAAAUGAAAGAUGAGAAGUAAUUAGAAUUUGGGCUUACCAGGGACCAGACGUCAAGAUGCAGUGACAUUUUAUUUGUGACUUUGCCUGCCUUUCUUUACUUGUUCCAAGUAAUUGACUGUUAGUUCGUACGUCUAUUAAUGUGGAGGCUGUGUUGUAAAAAAUAUGAGCUCCAGAACAAAAUAUGACAACUACUUUCCCCAAGACAAACAACUUGCCACCGCUUACAGUAUAUUCAUUCAUGUGCACCUUCAGAAAUCGACAAGCUACUUUAGACAAGUAUUGCAUCCGAGGAGCUGAAUGGGGUGUAGGAGAUUGUUCAGCGGAUGGAAUGUCACCUCAAGACAGGGAUAACUUCAUCUCCAUGCUGAAGAAAAAGGCUGGGAUAGAAGAAUGAAGAAAGGAGCCAGAGAGACCUUCUGGUUCGAUCAAGUCUGUAAGAAGAUUUAUAAUCAGGUACGUACGUUAACCUACCUGGGACGGUACGUACCUUUUUCUUGGAUCAGAUGUGGUCCUGAUGGCAAAAAACACUGUCUUGAUUCCUAGUAGUAACAAUUGCUUUGCAUGUUUUGACACAUUUGAUAUCUCCUUUGCUCUUUCCUGAAGGUAAACAAUGAUGUUAGGAUCGAAAGCGGGCUGGUAAGUUCAAUAAUUGAGCAGCAUGAAGAUCCACUUGGUUAGAGACUUAGAGCUAGAGGAGAGCAAUAAAUAGAGAAGCCCAUGAGCUCCUCCUAUCUUAAAAUGAAGAUUAGAUUCUGGAACCUGAAAAAUGCUGAUAAAGCAAUCUUUAGGCAGACAGAUGGUGGUUGCAGAGUCAUUAGUGGUGGUGAAUUGGCUCUACUUUCUAAUCCUUAAUUAGUACAUCAACUAGAUUUCUUCCUUUGAUUCAGGUGCUUGUGCUUGCAGCACGUUAUGCUUCUGGAGCCAGGUUGUUGUCGUAAGAGAUCCUUCAUACUUCAUUUUUCAAAGCCCAAUGCACAUGACAGUAAGAAUGAGAUUUUUGUUUCUGUCCUAAUUAAUAUGAUAUUUGGCUUUUUAUUUUCUUUUUUUAAAAAAAAAAAAAAAAAACAGAUUUUAGAAAAGGUAUGCAAAAGAAACUACUACUAGUUUUCGAUCUGGAGACUGGAACACAAGGGCUCAGAUUGUAUACGUCUUCAUGAUGAAGUUUAAUAAUGCUUCAAGAAACUUCUUUAUUAGUCGUAAAAUGUAUUAUCUACGAGUAGUUUCUCUUGAAACUAGUAAGAAAAAAAUGCUCACCUGUGGUCAUGGAUCAAGCUGCAUUCUCCCUGAGUGCAGUUUCUUUACCUUUUAUCAGAACAUGAUACAAACAGAUGUUGCUAAAUGCUAAUGCACAUUUAGCAAAUGACGUAUUCAUCAUUGGCUUCACUACUAAAAUAUAUAUCCUUUUUAUAAUAGUAGUUGAUUGCGGCAUUGAAAACUUAUAGUUUUAUACCACAUGCAGUAGAAAACUUAAUAUAGUAUUAGACUGUCUAUCAUUUUUCUUUUUCUUUUUUUGGCUAGUUUAGGUAGACAAUAUAUUUCGAGCUAAAAGAUAAAUCAAAGUACUUGAUACUCGAAUCGAGUUCGGAUCGAUAAGAACUCCUUCAACCUUGGUGGUUCGCCAGCUAGUUGAGUCGAAUUUGAACAGUAUUUUAUAUUCAAUAACAUUCAAAUUCGAUAAAAAAAAAAAAAAAAAAACUCGUUCAACCUCAGUUCGAUAGAUAAACAAGUUAAGUUUGAACAAAAUUUCAAAUUCGUUAAAAUAAUCAAACAAAUUUGAACAUUAAAGUGUUCGACUUGAUUAUAUUCGUUUACCCUAACUUGUUUGGAAUGUGCUUUUCGAUGAAAAAUUUUUACGUUUUUCGUAAAUACAUUUUUCAAUCAUUUUUUUACCUCAUCAAAUCGUCACAAUAUUUUUUUAAAUUACAAAAACUCUUAAAAUUAACAAUCCAAACAAACAGAAUUAUUGGUUGAAAGAAUCCGUGGUUCAACGGGAUCUCUUGCUUUAUAAGGACGGCACCAAACAAUAUAUUGAAUUUGCAAAGGGCAAAAUCGUUGUCUAAAGCCAAAAAAUUGUCAGAUAGUACUUAGAAUUUUGUCCGCACCGUCUAUGACUGAAGGAAGGAUGGGACGAGAAAUCUGUUCUUCUGUGUCCCUAAAGGCGUGAAUGUGUCAACGAGUCUUCAACUCUUCCUAAACCACAGAAAAAAAUUACAAAAUCCAACCGUAAUCAUUUAACCCCAAAAGCAGGAAGAAAAAAUGGGAAAAGAAAAGAAAAUUUCCGUAAGAUCCCGCAGGCGCAGCAGCCAAAACAACAGAUAACGGUACUGCCCAGCCUCAACCUUCUCAACGUCUUCAGCUUGUCCAACUGAGCUCCGUUUCGUCACCCGACCCGCCCCGACCUCAUCAGGUAAACUUUUAAAAGAUUUCCGAAAUAUUUAAUUAUAUUAUUGUUUUCUGCUAUUUCUCUCAAUCAUGCAAGUCAAUUGCCUCGCUUCCCAAAUCUGAAGUCCAUAUUAUUCAGGUACAUAAGCAAAUCAUUGUUAUUAACAUGCUUCCCUGUCAUAUGUUUGACAAUUUUACGGAGAACAAGGUAAAUUUCUUGUUUGCAGAAACCUUAAAUUUGAUUUCAUUCAUAUAAAGUCUCCAAUAGAGGUUUACACGCAUGAAAUUACUAGUCGAUGCCUGCAUUAUUUUGUUCAAUCCUAAUUAAGCUAAGGAUUUUUUUUAAUAUUCUUUUGCGUUUUUCAGGCCCAUUGAUUAAUCAGUUACUUUAAGAUUUUUUUUUUUUGCAUGAAAGUUUCAAUCUUUAUGUUGAUGUUGUUGUUGGUAUACCUAUAUGUAUGAGGUCAAGUACGUUUAUUAGAUGGUAAAAGAUUAGUUUAAUUUUGAUGUAUAGCUUCUCUUAUUUCCUGGUUUUUGCAGGAGGAUCUUUUUUUCUCCUGGUGAAAAUUCAUGUGGGAAUUUUGAAGCUUCCUUAUGUGUUUUGUGUGUUGGUGAGAAUUUAGGUGUAACUUGUGGGAUACAAAAGGAAGAAGUUUGUUGGGGAGCUGUAAAGUAUGUAUAGGCCUGGGGCUGCAACCCCAAAUCGUGGUGGACUGCCUAUGGAUAGUGGAGAUUCUGUGGUGACAUUGGAUCAAGUUCCCCGUUGGAGUGAUGGGGAGUAUAGAUAUGCAUAUGAGAAUGAAGAUGGGCCUUUUCCAAAUUCUUAUUUUGCUGACCCUUUGACAUCUGCAUCUGAGGCUGGGAGUAGUGGAAAUGGAAUGGUUUCUAGGUUUCCUGUCGAUCAUGAAAUUAACUCAAAGAUAUAUUUGUGGAGAGGGAAUCCUUGGAAUCUUGAGGUGGAUGCAGUUGUAAACUCGACUAACGAGGUAAACUUUGAUUACUUGCCCAGGUACUUUUUCUGUGGCACGAUGAAUGAUUCCUAUCAUUGUGUUAUGAUAAAAGAUUUUUGGUGCAUAUUGCUUUGUAUGAUCUAUCAAUUAAAGGAUGGAAAAAACACUGUUCAUUCUCAUCAUAUAGGGACCAGGAAAUUAUCAAUCCAAUUUUUAGGUUUGAGUCCUGGCUUUUUUUUGUACCUAAAGCAUAUUGUGAAUGUCUCCUUCAUUUUCCAGCUUUAUUAAUCCUUUAUCUGAUCGAAAAUGUUGCACUCGCUUGUUUCUGUUUUUGUUGCUGAAGUUUGAAUUGGGUUUUGGAAAUUUAAUUUUCUCACAUAAAUAAAUUUUGGAAAUUUGUUGUCUCUUACUAUUAGCUUGUGUAUAAAUUUUGCUGGUUUCUUUUUACUAGAUGUUGCAAGAAUGGAUAUUCUUCUGGGUACUAUUGCCAUGGCUUUUGCAUUGUUGUUGGAGUUUCUGUUAACGAGAUCUUUGACCCCACACAUGCUGUUGAAUUCAUACCUGCCAAAACUCAUAACACGUAUAUUAAUUUACAAAGUAAUGAUUCAAGAUACAUCUUGGACUCAUGUAUCCAUCAUUCAAGUAAAACCUUGGGCAAUGUGAUUUUGUUUCCUCUGGAAUGGAUACCCAAGGCUAUUCUGCUGCUGUAACCUGGGGAGUGCGAAUCCAUUAUUGCUCUUGUCAUGUUAUAUUGCAUCAAAGAAGAUGUGAAAAUUAUUCAUUGCAACAUUUGAGAGUAACUACUUAAGCACAUUACUAUGGUUAUGUUGCAUCUGACAUCAUGUGCUCAUAUGUGGUUGGCAGAACUUGGAUGAAGCACAUAGCAGCCCAGGGUUGCAUGCUGCAGCUGGACCUGGUCUUGCAGAAGAAUGUGCAACUUUGGUGAGUUUUACUUGUAUACAUGUCUCUGUGUGCAUUAAUUUUUUGUGCUGCAUAAGCAUGUUAUUGGUUCUUUUUGAUGGUCUAUUAUGCAGAUCUUUUAGUACAAAUUUUUUUCAUUUUUUGUAAAUAAAUUUAUCUGCCUCAUUCUAGGGUGGCUGUCGAACAGGAAUGGCAAAAGUUACCAAUGCAUACGAUCUUCCUGCAAGGUGGGGUUAUCAGUUGUUUCACUAGAACAAAUCAAUGUACUUCUGUAUAGCUGCAAAGAGGAAAGCCUUGUGCCACUAAUGCUUCAGUCGCUAAUUGUUUUUAUUGUGACACUUCACAGGAGGAUUAUACAUACUGUUGGUCCCAAGUAUGCAGUAAAGUAUCACACUGCUGCAGAGAAUGCGCUGAGUCACUGCUACAGGUCUUGUCUUGAACUUCUCAUUGAAAAUGGACUGCAAAGGUUGGUAGCAUAGUUAUUUUCACUUUCUUUUCUAGCUUAUCUAUUGGGUGUUAUUCAUUUAUGUGGAACUUAUCUAUCUGCAUUAAAAUGUGAGUGCAGUAUUGCUGUGGGCUGUAUAUAUACAGAAGCCAAAAAUUAUCCACGAGAACCAGCUGCACAUGUUGCAAUAAGUAAGAUACUUUUUACACCAUUCAGAUUUCAUUAUUCAGGCAUUUUAAUACCUUAAGUGCAGAGAUUUUCUUGGAGUGGCAUUUGAAUCACAUGCGUGGAAUACCCCAUGUUUUAAGAGUUCUAUCCUCAUUCCUCAGCAGCUGGAAAACAAAUGAAAUUAAUAAAUUUGUUUACGGAUCGUAUUACUGAAUUUGCUUGACGUCAGGGUGAUUGGGAUGAACUUAUUACUGUUCCUUCAAUUUUUUGUUUGCUUUUUUCAUUAGGAACUGUGAGACGGUUUCUUGAGAAGCAGAAAGAUAAAAUCAACGCCGUUGUAUUCUGUACAGCUACAUCAACUGAUACUGAGAUAUAUAAAAGGUAUUCUUAGAGACCUGUCUUUAGAUAGUGUUGUUACUAACUUUGUUGACAUUGUGUAAUGCAGUGUACUGGCAAUGCUUGCUGUGGUCAAUUGGCAUGUCCUAUUCAUGUUCCGAAUAUUGGGAAUUUUAAACCCUUCUACCAUUUGCACGCAGAUUGCUUCCACUUUAUUUUCCACGUGACAAACAGGAAGAGGAGAUAGCUAUUUCAAAACUACCUGCAGAUGUUGGCGAUGAAAAUGGUGAGACAGUUAUAGAUGAGCGAAAAAUCAGAAUAAAGUCUCUGCCCAAUGUGAAGAAGAGUAUUCCAAAACCUCCACAACCUUCCAAUGAUCUCCCUGUCAGUGAUCUUGGGUUGACAAGGAGGUUGGCUUACUAUGUCAUUCUUCUUCUUCUCCUUGCUCUUCUUUUUCUUUACUUUUUCCCCCCAUGUCAGUCUCUAAGCUAAGAUGAGCUCAAUGAACAUCUUGUGCUGGCAGGAUAAUACUGUAUUUGCAUUUUGAAUUUUCUCACUCCUGGUACCUUGGUGUGGAUGCUGCAUUUAUCUGUCUUAUCUAAUACUCCUUUUUGCUGUUCCUUCAAUAGGAGUUCUUCAUAUUUGGAUUCAUACUUGGAUCCUGCCUUUAUGUCGUUGAUAAAGGACCCAGACCAGCGACGUAAAGAACAGUGGGAAAAAACUGCUCAAGCUCAGAGUGGUUGGAACUGUUGUAAAAUGCUUGGAUAUGGUGACCUCGGGGGACCUCCUUUAUCUGCUGCAGAAGAAUAUUCUCUCCAUUCCCGAUACCUUGCAAAAGCAAAUUCUCUCAAUCUUUCUGAAAUUGCAGAAAUGAAAAUUGUGUAAGCAAUUAUUGGCUUUUGUUGGGGGUGUUAACAGUCCAUUCACUUUUUCCAUCACUUUCGUAUUGUCAUUAUUGCAUUCAGUUCAUUUUUGUAUAGUCUUCUAGAGUGCCUCAUGUUCCACAAAGUCCCAUUCAUGCUGGUAAUGGAUCCUAAUGCCUUUGGUACAUACCAAGAUUUGCUGUUGAAGUUUGUUUCAUUUAAAGUAAUGGAGGCAUUUGACUGCAAACUACAUGAUAUUUCUUCUUUUUACCCCUUUUGGUUCGUACCAUUUACCAAGUCUCACAAUGUUCGUCUUUCAACAAAUAUUAAUCACACACACACCCGGAAAGUCUCACAAUGCUCAUCUUGCUGUAGUCUUUUGUGAAGCUGUUUCUUUUUUAUUUUUAGUGUUUUGCUUUCUUCCUUUUCUCCCAUUUCGCAUUUCAUACUUUCUAAUAUACAGAUUGAAAGUGUCAUUUCAUACUUUCAUAUGUUAGUGACUCUGUCUCAGCAUUGGUUUUGUGUGUGUGUGUGAGAGAGAGAGAGAGAGAGAGAGAGAGAGAUAAACCACUGUUGUGCUUGCCACUAUUGAUCAACUUUAUGGGAAAAUGGACUUGAGUUCUGCUAUUGGAGUGGGUUAUUGCGAUAAUUGCAAACUGACAUCUGAUUUAUUGCUUAUAUUUCAGCUAUCGAGGUGGGGUUGAUAGUGAGGGUAGACCAGUUAUGGUCAUUGUGGGUGCACAUUUCCUUUUACGCUGUCUUGAUCUAGAGCGUUUUAUACUUUAUGUGGUUAAGGUAAAUAAUUAUUGCUUGCUUUCUUCAUUAUAUUUUCCUCAGGUAUAUGAUAAAUUAACUCCUGCAUCAUGUUUGCAAUAUGACUCACUGUUCCUGGGUAUUUGAUCCUUCUGGACUUUUCAAAUGUAAUAUUUCCAAAUUUCUAGUAAUAACUUGACUGUAAGAGAAUUUAUAUGCAUUUCAGGAGUUUGAGCCCUUGAUACAGAAGCCUUACUCCAUUGUUUACUUCCAUUCUGCUGCAUCUUUACAAGCGUGAGUAUUCCUUUAUCAACCUGUCAUCAACUUAGUUGAUCUUCUUUCUGUUGACUUGUGCAAGUGGGUAAAAUGUCUUUAAGAAAACAAAAAGAACGUGUUUAUGAGUCCUUAUUGUACUUUAGCAGUGUGUACUUUGCAUCAAGGCACUAGUACACCUUAGAGAAAGAUGCAAAAGUCUGUUUUCAAGGGGCCUAGCUUGUUGCUGAAUUUGGCCCAUUUCAAUGUUGUCCAGUUAGAGGUACAACGUAUGCUCGAAUUUUAUUUUAUUUUAUUUAUUGAAGCUUAGAUACCCAACUGGAAACGAGUAAGACUACAGUGUCAAAACAAAAAGUUGGAAGUUUUAUGAUGGUUGAGUUAGUAGGUUUUACAUGAAAUGCACCCGCUCAAACUGGCUUGUGGUUUCUCACAUGUGGAACUGUAUUAUUGUACAAAUAGGCAACCAGACCUGGGAUGGAUGAGAAGACUACAGCAAAUACUUGGUCGAAAACACCAGCGUAAUCUUCAUGUAUGUGUUGUUCCCCUCUUGGCAUUUUCGUUUGAGCAGCCACCAUAGGUGAUAUUUACUGUUCUCUUAUCCAUGAGAAGACAUUUGGUUUGAAAUUUUCAUUUUGCAGGCUAUAUAUGUCCUACACCCCACCUUUGGCUUGAAAGCAGCUAUUUUCGCAAUGCAAUUAUUUGUUGAUAAUGUGGUAUGUAUUACUAAGAACUGAUGCUCUUUAUACCCCAUCCCACUAGCCCAGGAACAAGGACUAAUCAAUCUGGUAUCUACUCUAUUAUUCUUUCUUCAAUAAUUGGUUAUUUUUAUUCCGCUUGCUUGCUCAGUUUCUUUAAGGAUGUAUACUCCAUGAUGGCCCUAGUUAGCUAUUAUAACGAAGUGGGUCUCUCAAGGUUGAGUGUGAAAGCUUUUUCAUUGUAGUUAUUGAGGAAAUAUGUCAUCAAAAGGAGCUAAAUCCUCAGCUCCUCGAUCUUGUUUUGUAACAUUAGAGAGCUGAUUACUCUGCGGAAAUCAUCUCAGGUGUGGAAAAAGGUGGUAUAUGUAGAUCGGCUUCUUCAGCUAUUUAGAUAUGUCCCCCGAGAGCAGCUUACAAUUCCGGAUUUUGUGUUCCAGUUGAGUUUUGAUACCCUUUUGAUAUCUUGUUCAUUGUUUUCAUGAAGUUGGGAUAGGUGCUAGAGAAGCAAGUGAUUUUUAUCACGGAGGCAUUCCAUUAGUCAUUUCCCCUCUUUUAGUGGCCAUGCUUUAUAGUUUUAUCAGAGGCAAAAGUUUUCAGCCUUUCUUUUAACUUUUCAAUCACUUUGCUGAUGCAGGCACGAUCUAGAAGUGAAUGGUGGGAAGGGCGUCAUUGUCGAUCCACGCACCAAAUAUGUAUAUCAGCGUCCAUGAGCAUUGUACUUGCACACUUCCGUCAUAUACAGUUUUUGAUCAAGUGUCCAGAAAGUCUGUGAAUCUGUAUUCUUUUUCAUUUUUUCAGAUUUUGAGUGUACCUUUUUUUUUUUUGUUUCAAAUUCACUUCUUGUCCCAUAUCCAUGUAUUUAUCCUUUUUGAGAAAAUUGAGAGUUCUUUGUGUAUGCAAACACUGACAAUUUUUCUUGUCGUGUUGUAAUUUGAUAUUCUGUGGAUACCACAUUUGUAAAAACGCUCAAUUUGCCCCCUUGGAAGUUUGCCUUUCAUCCUGCCUGGUUUUGGGCCACUUCUGCUGCUGCUACUCAAAAGAGUUUUUCUGCUUGUAUGUUUGUAGCGAGUCCUUCUCAAAACAUCCAAUUCCAAAUCCAUCGUACCAUUGAAUAUGCAGACUCGGAAAAAUCUAAAAUGGGGUGGUCAAAAUACGCUUAAAUCGCUCGUGAAUUCACACCGUCCAAUAAUCAACCCACGCUAGAAGCACUUGGCCAGAAAUUUAUAUCUGCCUAACUGCCUUUUGUUAUUGAGAAGAUGACCAAGGAAGGCUUUAGUUACUUACUUGCAAAAAUUUAUCUGCCUGUGUCGUUAAUAUAUUUUUCACUCAUCAUUUAAUUGCUAUCGAAACAUGUCCACAAUUUCUUAAAAUACGCUCACCUCUAUCCAUUCUACAUGCACAGCCAAUCUUAUCUAGUGGAACGCUUUUACCUGAAUUUGAACUUUUAUUCUAGAAUUGUAAAAGUUUAUUUUGAAAAGGGUGAAUAUUAUUAUUGAUACUUUUAUUGUCAUUCUUCCUAUUCUUGCUAACAGAAAUGGUCAUACAUAUAUAAGGGAAAGUGGCAAAAAACGAUCGUAAGUGUAAAAAGUAAUUUUGUUUAUGUGGUAUAACAACACUUGUAAUUCACUGCUGUACAAGUAGUUAACAAUAAAUUAUAAUUUAUUAACAAUAUGGUAACACCGUUUAUUAAAUAAUCGCAGUAACAAUAAUCUUUUACCCAUAAAUCUAAUCCUAUUGCCCAUCUUUGCAGUGUACGGGGUGUCUAAAUAAUGAGCAGGGGGUAUCUUUUAGCCUGUUAGCCUUUUAGGGUGAAUUAAUUAACUAAACAAUAAUUGGAGUGUCAAUAACAAAUUUUACAACUGCCAAUAGCCAUGUCCUCCACAAUUUCACUUUGCACUUUGCCAAUAGUCAUUUUCACUUUGCACCUCUUGUAGGCACAAUUGUUUUGAAUCUUUAACACUAGAGUUUUCAAAUAUCCUAAAUCACCCCUAUUCUACUAUCACUAUCAAAUGUAUUAAUCUACGGAGGGUAAAAAGAAAAAAAAAUCAUUUUUUUCUGGGACUCUGAUAACUGAAGUGUAUUUGUUCAUGACUUUUUAAAUCCAAUAUGUUUCGAGUAUCGAAGAAAGUCCCAGAAAGAGAAAUAUCAAAGUGAACUUGAAAAGGGCUGCAUUCAUUUACGACUUUGCUCAAUUAUCAAUUAAGGUAAGGCCCAACACAGAAGCUAUAUUUUGUUUCUUUCUUGUCUUGUGUUUUUGCUGGAUCAGCUGUGAAUUUUUGUGUUUUUGGUUUGGUGAAUUUCUGCUUCAUUUUACUUCGGGGGUUCUCUUGGGCCAGAUUACUGAUAAUGAUUUCAGCAAGUGUUCAAUAUAGUUGUAGAAAAUUAUGGUGGACAGAUGAAUUAAAUGAAAUGCGUACAAAUUACCCCAAAAAAAACAUGAUUUUUAAGUGCUUUUUUUUUGGCGAUAUCUUUUAUGUAAUAUUUAUGGAGGGAAGACUAACAAAAGGGCCGUAUUUGUGUAGCUGCUGUGUGUUUACUUUUUCAAGCAAUGGUGCAAAGUAUGCCGGCAAACACCUUGGCUACCUCCAGAUAUGGUGGUUGUUUUGGUUCCUUCCCUGUUUGGAGGAAACCUUUUGGGCUAAUGAAAGAAUCCCAGAUGAGUUUUGGUGUUGAAAAACAGAAUCUUUGGCAUCAUUUCAGCCAAAGCUUACUGUUUAUUGGUCAGUCAGACUUAGGAGGGUGCCGAAAUGUGAGGGUUAAUGUUGGGUGGCCGUUUAAAGGAAAUAAUCAGGGGCUGAAUGCAGCUUCUGAGCGUAGUGAUAGCGCCAAUGAGGAUAUAUUGAUGUUCUUUUUCCAACUGGACUUGGCAACUCGAGUACAGGUUUUUAACGCCUCUUUUCUCCAGCUGAUAUUUAUAGUUCAUUUAUUGUACUCCCAUCUGACUAAGAAAAAUUGCACAAAUGAAUUUCUUGUUGUAUGUAUCUGCAGUAUGCUUUGAACUUGGAGCAGUAUGACAUUGCGAAACAAUUGAGAGACAAGCUUAAUGAGGUAAAUUUUACAUCUCUGCUGUUGACUUCUUCUUGGAUUGCAAACAAGGACGUCACAACUUUGCAACACCUAAUUAUGGAAUUUAAUACUGUGAAAGCAAGUUCUCUUGCCAGUGUACCUGAUUCCUGCAGGCUGCAACCAUUACAACAGUGAAAGGGAAAAAAAGAAAAUCUUUAGUGCAAGCAUUUCUUUUGACCAUGUAUGAAUUUGAAAAUUGGUGUGGUAACUGAAACCUCUGCAUCUCCAUCUGAUUUUCUGAAGGUUGAAGAAGAGGUCAUCAGACAGCAAGAAACAAGAAAGGGUACAACCUCAAAAAGUGAAGUUCAAGACAUGGCUAUAAGCAUCUUACGCCUAAAGUGCGUCUCUUAUAGUGUUUCCCUGUUAUAGGCUUAUGCUUUUCAUAACUGCGCCUUCAAGUCCAGUUAUGAAUCUUGUGCUUUGCCUUCCUAAUUUGCUAAUUUCUAAUAUUCUUUAUUUCAUAUGUCAAUCUGUCUCUCUUGUUCCUCCAGAGCAGAUCUGCAGAAUGCAAUUGAAAGUGAAAACUACAGUUUGGCAGCUGAAUUAAGAGAUGAAAUUUCAAAAUUUGAGUCAGAGUCCUUAGCUGCAUCGGUGAAAGCGCAAGCAUAUCAGAAUGCUCAGUAUGCAUUUCGUUUGGGGCAGAAAGUCAGGCAUAAGACAUUUGGUAAAAAUGUGACCUGGCUUUUUUAUUCAUUUCAUUCUUUCUUCCUUAGAUAUUUGACAAUCUCAAGAAAUCGAUAUCACUCUCUUCAUCUUAUCAGCAACUUCAACAAAAUGCUGGGUUUUGAUGACACAACACAUUCCAAAAAGCAGACGGUUUAGUUCAGGAGCAAACUAUCAUAGGUUAUCCACCAGCGAGAUGGCUUUACAAAAUAUCAGGAUGUAGAGACAAAUUUAUCUAAUUUCUCUACUUGAUAUAGCUAAAAAAUUAUUAUAAUGAUAUGUAUUCAUGUCAGCCUAAUACAGUAUCUUGUAGCAUAAUUUGUCCAAAAACUUUUGUCAACUAAAGCAGGGAGCUAGGCUGGACUAUUGAUAAGUGUGGAGAAAACAUGUUGACAUGGUAAACAAGACGAUAGGGUGAUGCAUUUGGUGGGGGAGUGUGUAGUAAUUGUCUUUUAUGCUAGUUGUAAGCUAUAUCGAACUGGGAAUUAAAUUUUCUGUUUGGCAUGAAGGAAAAAAUGCACGUGUUUAGCUUCUCAGGAAUCUGUGGUUCAUUUGGUUUUAGAUGGGAAAUUGAUCUUUUCUGUUUUGAACCUGCUUUACAAAUGACAGAAUAUCGAGCAGUAAUCUGUGGUAUGGAUCCAGUCUGCUGUGAAACAAAAUCAUGGAUGGAGACCGCAAAUGUUUAUAAGUUGACUCGUGGUCCAGAUCAACCAUUUUACCAGGUUUUACAAUUGAUUGGACUUUUAGCUGUAUAGCAUGCUGUGGGAAAUUUCUACAGAAUACUUUCUUCUUCCACCGGAGGUUGCCAUAUCUUUUUUCUCACAUCCUAACUGACUAUGUUGUUGAAAAACAUGAGAUUUUCUGAAUGUAGUUUUAUUAAUGGCUCAUGGGGAUAUCUUUCUCAUUCCAAGAGUUGAGAAACUUGUACCUGAUAAUCAGAAAAGUUCCCUUAUUGAAGAAACGUGGCAGAGUUCUUUUAUCAUAUUAAAUGGCACACAAAGAUCAGAGUUCUAGUUGAUUUGGCAGUCUUUAUUUGUGUAUGAUAGCAAGAUUUGCUUUUACGAACAUGAGAUUUUCUAUUCAAGCUCGUCUAUUGUUCCACAGGUUUUGGUUGAUGUGUACAUGGACCCCAAUCUGUUAGUUGCAUAUGGUAAGUUCUCAUCCCUGACGGUUGACUUUUUUCCUGUUUAUCGUUCAACAAAAUCUUACUAGUCCACUUCUUAGGUUUCUAUCUCUUUUAUGUCCAAUUUCUGUUUCUCUAAUUGAUUUUGCAUAUUUUGUCUUAUUCUGCAGUUCCGGAGGAGAAUUUAUGUGCUCCAGAUAAACCAGACAUGGUGAGGAUAAUAAUCACCUCCUAAUAAAAGAGGGUUAUGUUCAUCUUGUAACUUGCUUUGAUAAAAUCCUGCUUGCCUAUGUGUAGGAAAGAUUUGACCAUCCCUAUGCGUCGUUCUUGUUUUAUGGGACGGAUGCUGCUGGAGACUUCAUCCCAAUCAAGCAGCUGAGGGAAAAAUGCAACAGGCCACGGCAUGAGAUUCCCUAUGAUCCGGACAAUGAGCAGAAUGGAGAUGACAUCUGAAUGGCAUAGUGCUAGAUGGGAGUCAAGGAGCUUCAGGAGAGGCAGAAACCAUUUUUUUGUACCAUUUUGCAAUAGAUAUUGACACAACUUCUUCAGUAUGAAACGCUCUUGAGCAGCUCGUCUGGAGCAUCUUUAACCAUGAGUUGUACAUUACCUCUGAUUAAUGCGUGUAACACAAGGAAAAGUAGUCAGUGGAGAUCUUGAGGGCCAAAUUCAAUGCUGCUUUUGUAAACUCGAGUAGUUUGUUUUACUGUACAGAAACAGAUGUCCUGAUUCUUUGUUGGACUGUAGGAUUUGCUACUGGAAUAAUUUAGCAUGUUGGCUUUGUUCAGAGAUUUAGUAUGCGGAUAUGUUAUCCUAUAAAUCAUGAAAAAACUAACGCAAGCUUAAAGGCAGAGCAUCCUGAAACCGCCCCUGAAAAAAUUGAGGCCGCAAAGGAGAUGCUCGUGGUAAAUGUACUGUCGCUGCUAACAUGUUCCAGUUUUAUGCUCAAGACAUCCAAAUCAAGAAGGUUGUACAGCUUCUUAGGGAAUGCUCCCUUAAAUUUUUCGUUGUGCAAGAAUGUCCAUCACUUGGGACUAGGUAGCGAACCACACCUCUUAUUUUAAUUGUAUAGCAAAAUUUAUUGAUGGGUUUGAUUCACCCCAUUUGACGUAACAUCUUGGGCACCAAUACGAGAUUAAAGUCCCUAAUAUGUAAUCAACGAAUUAGUCAUUUCUAGCAUGUUUUCAACUUAUUCUUUCACACAAAAGCAAUCAUUUUACUUAUUCUUUCAAUUAUUCCCUACUUCUUUCUUUUCUAAAAGAAUAGAAAUAAUCAAGACCUACUUCUUUUCUUUUCUUUUCCCUACUUCUUUCUUUUGUAUAUAGUACUAAUACUAUGUAGUAAUAAUCAAGACCUGAGUAGGAUUUAUGCGGAUGUCAAAACAUUUUCAUAGUUUGGAAAAAGUUUAUCAUUACAUAAUGAAAAAUCAAAUCGCGUACACCACGCAUUAGAUUGGCCUAAAAAUUUUUAAUCACAUUAAACUUUUUUUUUUCUAUGAAGUUUACUGUCAUUAAAUGGCGUUUAUGAAUUACGGGAGUAUAAAAUUGGAAAUUAUUUCUAUUGAGCGAAAGCAUAAAUUUGGAAUAAAGAAAAAUUAGAGGGAAACACAUAAAUGACAAGGGCUUCAAUAACAUAUUGAUAUUUGGAGUGUGAAUUUCAGGAUUGAAGAACAUGUAUUUAGCCAUUUCCUAUCUUUUAUGUUAAUCUAUACAACGUAGCUCUUAACUUUUAUCAGGUUAGUUCCAACUUUUGUCAAACAUGAUUCUCUAAAAACUGGAUUAUUGAAUUUUAUCAAACAUAACUUAUAUGUGAUCCCAAUUUUGAUGAACGCAAAACAUGGCUCCAAAAGCUCUGAGUUUAAUAUGGUUAAUCACCUUCCUGAUGAAAGCUUGUAAUUCUUGCUUCAUAUAAAAACUGCAGAGCGGUGAAAGUUGUUCUUCAUAGCAAGACGCUCUGUGCUCUUGAAUCCCGAUUGCUUUACCCCUUCGAGUCUAGUUUAAAACAAGAAACCUUGCCUCUGCUCUAUCCUCUAGCUUGGGUACCACAAUGAGAGAUUGAAACUUGUAUAUAUGACUUAGGCUGGGAUUUUUAGGCAGUUCAUAUACAGUAUUAAAAAAGAUGACAUUGUACAUGAGACUGUUUAGAGCUUGCUCAACCUCCACGACGCUCACCCAAAUACAUGCACACCUCAUAGUCACUGGACUGUACAUGGACCCUCUUGCUUCCACCAAGCUUAUAGAGUCCUAUGCACAAAUGGGCCCUUUUGAAUCUUCAAGACUUGUCUUUGAUCACUUUCAAAAUCCAGAUUCUUUCAUGUGGGGGGUAAUUGUCAAAUGCCAUGUUUGGAAUGGCUUCUUUCAAGAAUCUAUUUCUUUGUAUCACCGCAUGAUAUACAAAUCGGCACAAAUUAGCAGCUUUAUAUAUCCAUCAGUUUUAAGGGCUUGCUCUGCAAUUGGUGAUUUGGGUUUUGGCCAAAAGGUUCACGGGAGGAUUAUUAAAAGUGGGUUUGUGUCUGAUUUUGUCACUGACACCUCUUUGUUGAACAUGUAUGGUGAAAUGGGACGUUUAGAUAGUGCAAGGAAAGUGUUUGAUUAUAUGUCUGUGAGAGAUGUUGUUUCCUGGAGUUCGAUCAUAUCUAGCUACGUGCAGAAUGGAAGGGCUAGUCAAGGGCUGCAUAUUUUUGGUCAAAUGAUGAUGGAAAGUUCAGAAAUUGAUGAAGUCACCAUGCUCAGUGCAGCUGAGGCUUGUGGUGAGUUGGGUUUGUGGAGACUGGCAAGGUCACUUCAUGGUUUUGUUCUUAGAAGAAAUAUUCAAAUUGUUGGGGCGUUGGGUACUUCUCUUGUUGCAAUGUAUGGAAAAUGUGGUGAUAUGUGUAGUUCAGAGGGACUUUUUACCCAGGCUGCUUUCAAGAAUACAUCUCUAUGGACAGCAAUGAUUUCGUGCUAUCAUCAAAAUAGAUGCUACCAUGAGGCUUUAAGAACGUUUAUUGAGAUGCAAGGAUCAAAUGUGGAACCCAAUGCAGUCACUUUGAUGUCUACUGUAUGUUCCUGUUCUAGGUUAGGUCGGCUAAAAGAAGGAAAAUCAAUUCAUGGUUUUGUCAUUAGAACUGCUGUUGACACUGAGAAUGAUCUUAUGGGACCAGCAUUGAUAGAUCUAUAUGCUAAUUGUGGAAAGUUAAAGGAAUGCCACAAGGUUUUUGAAGUAACUCAAGACAGGCGUGUAGUGUCAUGGAACCUGCUCAUAUCAAAUUAUGCUCAGGAAGGAAUGACUAUUGAGGCUAUUAAGCUCUUUAAGCAAAUGCUUGUAGAAGGAAUUCAGCCAGAUUCAUUUACUCUAUCAACUGUAAUAUCAGCAUGUGGUGAUAUAGGAUUUUCUCUGCUUGGAUGUCAGAUACAUAGUAGUAUUCUAAAGACAGGAUUCUCAAGUGAGUUUGUCCAGAAUUCACUAAUUGACAUGUACGGUAAAUGUGGACUGCUUGGUUCAGCACACAUGACAUUUGAUGACACCAAACAAAGAGGUGUUGUAACAUGGAAUACUCUUAUAACUGGACUUUUGCAAAAUGGUAAAUCUGAAGAAGCCAUAGCUCUUUUUAGUGAAAUGUAUGCAUAUGCUCUUGAAAUGGAUGAAGUCACCUUCCUGAGUACAAUCCAAGCCUGCUCAAAUCUAGGAUAUAUAAGGAAAGGAAAAUGGAUUCACCAUAAGAUGAUUACAUCUGGUAUGAGAAAGGAUAUGUAUAUUGAUACAGCUCUAAUAGACAUGUAUGCAAAAUGUGGAGACCUUCAGAUAGCCAGAAAAGUUUUUGAUAGCAUGCUGGAAAGGAGUGUGGUGUCAUGGAGUACCUUACUAGGAGCUUAUGGGAUGCAUGGUCAAGUUGAUGCGGCCAUUUUAGUAUUCAAAGAAAUGGUAGAAUCAGGAAUAAGACCAAAUACUAUUACAUUCAUGAAUAUCUUGUCUGCUUGCAGCCAUGCUGGUAAUUUGGAAGAAGGGAAGAAGUUCUUUAAUUCAAUGAGAAAUGAUUUUGGCAUUGAACCUAACUCUGAACACUAUGCUUGUCUAGUUGAUCUUCUAAGUCGCGCUGGUGAUCUAAAUGGAGCAUACAGUGUCAUCCUUUCAAUGCCAUCCCCUGUAGAUGCAAGUAUUUGGGCUGCACUAGUGAAUGGCUGUAGAAUCCACCAACGAAUGGAUGUCAUAAAUAGUAUCAGAGAAAGUCUUUUAAAUAUAAGGACAGAUGAUACUGGAUACUAUACUUUAUUGUCCAACUUAUAUGCAGAAGGAGGAGAAUGGGGUAAAUUUAGGAUGAUAAGGUCAACCAUGAAAAGGAUAGGUCUAGAAAAGGUCCAAGGUUGCAGUAUGAUUGAGAUUGAUAAGAAAAUACAUAAAUUUGGAGCAAAUGACAAGUCGCAUUUGCAGAUAAAGGGUUGCAACUUGUUAGCCAAUUUUCUAAGUUCGGGUUUCAGUAAGAUUGUUGAAUUAGAUGCUUCUGUUACUUGAUUCAAGCAGGGUGCAGCAAGUAUAAUACUAAAUGAAUCACCAGCAAGAUUUGAAAUCUGGUUCUCAGUUCUGGGAACUUUGAUGCUGUCCAGACAACUACAUAAUUGGCGUGGUCAACAAAUUCAGGGGAAACUGGCUGAUAAUCAUUGACUGCUUUAAUGUCUUUGGUUUAGCCUUCUUGAUUAGUCAUCCAGCCCUCCGCGGAUAACUGGAUAUAGUGCACUUGUACCUGGGGCCUGUUUGAAUAAGGGUAUCAUCAAUAGGAGGUGGAGAUACAAUAAAUUGUGUGUGAGCUACAAUCUCCGUGAGCUGAGACAGUGACAGAGAUGAUUGACAAUCUGUAAGUAAUCGAGUUGGACACCAAAGUUAAACUCUGUUUAUCAGUGCAUCUCUUAUACUGUGCAUGUUAGCAUGUGCAGAUGGAAGUAGACUUGGGAUACCAUCACUUGCAUGCCAUAUCAUGACAAAUCAACGACCCAAUAAGAUUUUCGUAAGUUGUAAAUGUGCUGCAAAGAUUGAUUGCACCUGCUCUGAGCAAGGUAAGCCAUAUAUCAUGUUUAUUAAUUGGAGAAAUUAGAAAGUACAAGGCGCAAAGGAAUGACGUCACAAGUUCUGAAUAGCUAAGUCCUGGGUCUUGCAGAAACCUUGCGGGCUGAUAAACAUCUUCAUUAUCAAAAUGAGUGAUGUACAUUCAUCACAUUGUACAAGUACUUUUCAAUACAUGCGAGUUUGUUUCAUGCCAAAAUUUCUGCUAAAUGUUCCCAAAUUCGAACAAUGAUGAAGAUUUAUCCCAACUAUGUUCACAUUAGAUCCUGCAUAAUUUCAGGUACUUUCAAGGCUUGAGAGCAAACCCCGAGAGUUUUGGCCAUCCAAUUCAAACGGAGUCUGUAGAGUUGGACCUGUCAUCUCUUUCUAGUUUCUGCCUGCUCACUGAAUAUCAUUCCCUAGGAAAUUGACUUCCGCUCCAUAGAUGCCUGCAGAAGACUAAAAAGGCUAGGGUCAGCAUUCUACUUAUCUUGAAUGUGGAUUUUAAAUCUAAAGCCAUAAAAUAGCAGACAACAUUUGAUACUAAACAACUUUGUCAAAUGUCUACCUAAGUCAGCAAAUCGUUAUCCUGAAAUCUUUUGUACUUCAAAGUCGCAGCGUAUAUUUGUCUAAACCCUUCACUCAAAUCAAGUGCUUUGCCAUCUUGAAGGACUCAGAUGAAGCUGUACCAAGAGACUCUCAUGUAGUCUUUCACCACAAACUGUACCAUUCUAGGUAAUACUCAAAGAAAAAGAAUGUCAUUUAUCUGGGGGUUCCGGGAAUACUAUUAAUGUUCCUUCAAAUCUGCAACUAAGGAAGAGAUGCCACCUGCGGAGUAUAGAAGUCACUAUCAAAAUUCACAUUGAAGUUGCUAAACCCAGGGGAUUUCUUCACACCCUUUAUCCUCAUCAUGUUUCUCAUCUGAUGAGCCUGAUUCCACCUCCCAUCAGAAGCAUACAGAUUGGCCAUAAGUACAUAGUAGCAAGCAUCACGAGGAUGCAACUCUAGCAUUCUCCUUACUGCCAACUCCCCCAGAUCAAACCUAGAGUAAAUACUACAUCCAUUGAGAAAAGCUCCAAACAGAGAAACAUCAGGUUGAAUAGGCAUUUUGUUCAUGAAAUCAAAGGCUUCCUCAAGCCUGCCUGCACGAGCCAACAGGUCAAUCAUGCAUGCAUAAUGCUUAAUUGUGGGAACAAACUUAUAAUUCUCACACAUAUUAGCAAAAAAGCUCCACCCUUCAAGUAUCAUCCCAGUAUGGCUGCAAGCUGACAAUAUUGCUGUGAAUAUUAUGUCAUUUGGUUCCAGAUUUUCUCCCAUCAUAUCAUUCAAAAUUGCCAACGAAUUGUUGAAGUCGCCCUGCAUUCCAUAACCACCGAUCAUCGCGCUCCAUGUAACUCUGCUCUUUUCUACCAUCCUGUCAAAAAUUGCACGUGCAGAUUUUGCAUCGCCACAUUUAGCAUAAAAAUUUAGGAGUGCAGUGCCAAUAUAGGUAGAUGACAAGAGUCCUCCUUUGAUACAGUAAGCAUGAAGGGAAUAACCAAUUAUCAGAGCUCCAUGGGAUGCACAAGCUGUGAGCACAGACACCAUUGUAGUUGCAUCUGGCUGCAAACAUUCUGAUCUCAUUUGGUGAAAUAAUGCAAUUGCAUCAUGUGCAGAAUCAUUCGAAGAAUAUCCAGAUAUAAUUGAAUUCCAAGCAAUCACAUCCUUAUGUGAAACAUUCUCAAAUAGAUAACGGGCAUCUCUCUUCAUACCACACUUUCCAUACAUAUGUACCAGAGCAUUUAUCACAGCAGCAUCAUCUAAUCUAAGUUUAAUACCAAGCCCAUGAAUUGAUGUACCCAAGUUCAAAUUAUCCAAUUGAGCACAUGCAGAAACCACACUUGAAACAGUAACUGAAUUGGGCAAAACAGCUUCCCAUUUCUUGUGUACAAAUAAAUCUAAUGCCUCAUCUGGGUAGCCAUUCUGUGUAUACCCAACAAUCAUUGCUGUCCAUGACACAAGAUCCGCUUCGGAGAACUCAAAUAAAAUUGAACGAGCAUCGGUCAAAUCCCCGCACUUUACAUACAUAUCCACAAGAGCGGAAACCAAGUAGGAGUUAAAUUCUCCCUGCUUCUUGAUGAUAUAUCCAUGAAUCCAUUUCCCCUGAUGCAAAGCCGCCAAUUUAGCACAUGCAGUCACUAUACUCCCCAAAGUGUACUCAUUGCCUUCAACUGCUCCAUCUCUCAUCCUAUUAAACAAAACGAGCGCUUCUUCAGCACAACCAUUCUGCAUGUACCCAACAAUCAUCGAGGUCCAGCAAACUACAUUCCUCUGGGCAAUCCCCUCAAACACUUCACAUGAAGAUUCAACCUCCCCACACUUAGCAUACAUAUCCACGAGUCCAGUUAGAACAAAGCUAUCAGCAUUACCAACCUUAACUAUAUGACAAUGCACUUUCCUGCCUUCAACAAAAUCGUGCAGUCCACUACACGCCUUCAACACUAUCGAGAACACAACAUUGUCAAAUAUAUUUACAGUUUUCCUAAAACAAUUAAAGAACCCAAUAACAUCCGCAUACUUAUCAUUCAUAAAGUACCAUCUAAUCAUCACUUUACAGGAAGAAAGAUCCGGGUUGGGAAUAUCAUCGAACAGUACACGGGCGGUUGUCACCUGCCCAAAUAAGCCAUAUAAACCAAGUAAUUUGGUUUUAACCAAAAUAUUAUUGGUUUGGCCGUAAGUUAUCACGAGGGCAUGGAUUUUUUUGAGUGAAGAGAUGGUUUUGCAGAAGCCCAGAAGAGGAAAAAAAGGAUCUGAAUAGAUGGAAUUUAAAGAAGCAAAAUUUGAUUCAAUCUGUCUGUAGGUUGGUGUUGACGUUACGGUUCUGGCUUUUAGAUGGGUUUUUGAGAUAAGUAAACGAGAGGAUUUGAUGUUUAAGUUUGGUAAAGAGAAAAGUUUCAUUCUGUUUCCUUCAUCUGGGUUGUUAUAAAUUUGCCAUUGCUGGAGAGAAAUCCAAGGAAAAUGGCUCCCGCCAAAUUGAUGUGAAGGAGCCAGGGAGGUGGUUUGUUGACCGUUAAGGAAGUUGCUGUAGGGGUAAAAAGGGAAACGGGAAUAUACAUACUUACAUACAUAUAUAUAUACACACACACACUAAAUUAAAAAAAAUUAAAAUUGGACUAUGGUACUAAUAAUUUAUAGAUUUUUUGGGAGAAAUACACAAUUACCGUAGUAUAUCAGUAUAUUGUGCUUAUUUAACAAAUUUCUUGUGAGGUAGCUUUAUCAAUUAUCAACAAAAGCAAUUUUGGACCAACUUUCAGACUUAUGUUGACGUGACCUCCGUUCUCCAACCAACACAAAAGUAGUACUCCAAAUGCUACUAUACAUUUGAAUUGACCACUCUCUCACAGCCUUUUGAUGAAUCUUUUUUUUUUUUCUUAAAAAAAAAAAAGCUACAUAUUUAGGAUUCAAGAAGUAAUCAAAUAGUAUGAUAUUUAUGUACGUGGGAUAAAACCUUGCUGAAAAAAUCAUAAAAUGUUGCUGAAGAAAUACAGUCAAAAUUAUCCAUUCGAUCAGUAGUGCUUGGAUUGCAUUUUUCUGGAUUUUUUGUCGAAAAGUUAUUGUAGUGAUUUGAUAAACGUGAGGUAAAAAGGUGAUUGAAAAAUAUAUUCAUGAAAAAUAUAGCAAUUUUUCUUUAGAAAUUUGCAAUCCAAAUUGAAUUAUUUGGAAACAAACUUUGGUGUUAUUCAUUUUAACAGUUAGUAUAGAUACGUGUGAAUUGAAAAUAUGAAAAGAUAAAAUAGAAAAUAUAUUUAGAGAAUAAUGAAAUGAAUUAUGUGAUUUAUGAGUAGCAAAGUUCAUUCCCUGGAAACUUACUUCUACCAUACAGUUAGGAUAAAAAUAGAUUUAAAAAAAAAUGAUCUCUCCCUCAAAAAUUAAUCUUUUCUACGCUAUCAAAUGCAUACACCAAUCGACCUUGAAGCAUGUCUAUCAUUUUAUUUUGAAUUUAGAUACUAAAUUUUGCAUAUAUAUCAUACAUUAGAGUCGCUAAUAUAUACAUUGUCAAUAUGUAUAAAAGAUUUAUCCCUCUCUCAAUCUCAAUGCAUAAUAGAUUUUUUUUUUUUUUUAGCACCGUAAAUGGAGGUCUUUUUUGCUCAUCAAAAAAAAAAAUUUCUUCGCAAGAACAGUGGUGAAAAGAUAAAGAAGUCAAGAGGGGAAAAGAUAGUGAAAAGUGAAAAGGGGCCACCAGUCCAAAAUGUCGAAUGAUGGGGAAAAAGACAGUGCACACAAAAGUUGGAUGAAACACUUAGGUACUGCACUGUGCUGCCCGAUGUGGCCCUCCAUGAUUGACUAAUAGCACAAGGAAAAAAAGCGAAAAAAAAAGGUACUGCUCUAGUUCUGCUUUUUAUUUUUAUUUAAAAUAGUAAGAAAAACAAACAAACCUCAAAAAACAAAAACAAAAAUAAAAAAUGUCCUAAGGUUCCCUUCCUAAGAAGCCUUUUUUGUUGGGUGUAGCUUCCCGGGGCUGUGAUUGGUGGGUUCAGUAUCUAAGGCGAGCCGAAUAUUGUACACAAAAUAAAGAAGAUCCAAAGUCAGAGAGACAACCGACAGCAGACGCAUGUCAUCAUCCAGACAGGCGUACUCAUCAAGGACACUCACUCAGUAUCUUUUCUCUCAUUCUUAAGUCACUUGUCCCAAUUCCUCACUCUCCCACGCGCCUUCUAACCGCGUGCGUGCCUCUCCCCUACUCUUUUCCUCUUUUUUUUUUUUUUUUCCAUUAUAUUGUUCAGUAAUCCCUCUCAUCUUACUUCCUCCAAACACAUUAUAGUAUCAAAUUAUAUGAAAUUUCAGCUUCAACAUAAUGGUUAACUAUUUUAUUUUUUGACCAAGAGGGGACUCCAAGCCUUAUGAGCGGAGAGAAGGAAGGAAAAGGGGAAAGUUCGAAAUUCGAAUCAGCAACUUCACGAUUACGUGACUAAUGCUCAUGUAAUUUAUAAAAUCUCUUUUGCAUUAUUUUUCAAGAGGAUAAAUUCUUUCAUUCUGUCCACAAUUAAUCAUUUCUUUUAGAAGGGCAAGCAAUAUUUCAAGUUAUUAAAAAAAGGUAAAACUGCAAUCUAAUAGCUUAAUCUGGAUUCCAUUGUUUUUCAAGAACCAAUAAUGGCACAAAACCAACAAGUAAAUUUAUAUUCACAAAGGUUUUUCCUUCAUUUUCUUUUCUCUUGGCGAUAAGAAUGGCUUGAAUAUAAUAUUGCAGUAGUAACUUUUACCGUUCUCUAGUGUUAGAGCAUUAGAGUUAGAGGUCAUGUUUUCCCCAAUGAAUAUAAAUAAAUAAAUACGAGGACCACCAAUCCCCAGCAUAGCAGGCUCAAAAGUGCAUCUUCAACCAUGCAAGCCUCCACAUAAUAAGUUAUCUUUCGAGGCACAGAUUGCUACGAAUAAAAGUAAAACUUCACGGCUUUCCGGGAAGUCGUACAAGUUUCUUAUCGUUUUUUUAUUCUCAUUGCAGGGUAGGACUAAUUUUUAAUUUUCUAGUUAGUCAGUUCUUUUUUUUUUUUUUUUAGGCUUUGAAGUUAAAAGAAUUGUAAAUAAGUAUACUUUUUCUUUGUAUGGCUAACCCAGAAAUUCUUCUUUACAAUUGCCACAACGUUUUGAGUGUUUUUUUUUUCUUGCUAAGAAAAACAAAAUGCAAUUGUACAAUUAGAAUGAAUUAUUUAUUUAACAAUAAAAUAUAUGAACCAUACUCGUAUCAAAUUUCGCAUGAACAUUUAAUUAUUCUACUUUAUAUCAUUCCAGUUGAACUUUUCAAAAUUCUUUUUAUGAAUCAUUAUUGAGUUUUCAUAUCUUUUCUAAGUGUUGUUAAGGCUAAUAAAGAAUGUAAAUGAUUUAUACCGCUCAAUUAUCUUAAAUUGGCUACUCAGUUAUCAAGAUUGUCUAAAUGAAUAUGGGUUCUUUUCUUUUUAUAUAUUUCUCUUUUGUUCUAAGAGCAUCUAUUUUUCGAUACUAAUAUUUUUUACUAUCUUAAAACUAAUGGCUAAUGCAAUUGGUCACACUAUUGUCAGUAACAAAUUGAUUUGGGUGAUUAACUUUGACACACAUAAGAAUUGGAGAUAGAGUGCAAGGGUCACUAAAUAGUUUUAAUAGGGAGUUUUUCAUUUUAAUUACCAAGAUUAUUGAAAUUUAAUCAUUUGAAAUGUUUUAUAUUUUUAAUUACUACCACAAUUAAAGUGCAAUAGCUCUAAUUGAAAGACAAGAGAAUAAUAUAGGCACAACAAAAUUAAGACAAAAAAAAAGUGCUUACACUCUAAAAUGCCAAGACUCAUCAUACUUUUAGCAGGGUAAUAAUAUAAUAUAAUGUAGUAAUAGAUAGACAGUAGAUUAAACGAACCCAACCAUAAAAAUAAUACUCCACAUAGCAACUUUUUUGGGCGUGCACUGGUAUAAAUUUCACUUAUUUUAACUAGUAGAAAUGUUUUAUAUUUUGACUCGACAAUUGUGAGAAUUAUUACUCCCAUAAUUACCUUUGAGAAGAAGUUCAACAAUUAGCCGCCUUUGGGGAUAUUAGUUUGCGUUUGACACUGACAGAUGACCUUUCUUCUUUCUCUCUUCCUUUUUCCUUUGUUUCUGGUGAUUUAACAUGCUUCCAGGGAUUUGCAGAGCUAGAUGUCUAGAUAAUUAGCUAUUCACCCGUUGGACGAUUAUUGAGAUUAGUUUCCACCUUUCUUGAGAACAGCCGGAUAAACUAAUUUCCUUUCUUUCAUGGAAAAUGAGAAAUUUUUACCAUAUUCUAGAGUCAACAGAGAAAAGUACCCUUGCUCCACUAGCCUCACAAAAGGUAGCCUAUCAUGCUCAUUACCAGUAAAGGUUCCAAGAUUCAAAUGCGGGAUUUAACAAAAAUAUUGAUCUGAUUUGAAGGAAUGACUUAUAUAGCCAAGAAAUCAGGUGCCAUUAUUUUUUAACAUUACAAAGUUGGUAGCUCAAAGACACAAUAACCAGGGGGGUCCAAAUUAUGGGCUACAAGACAUGUACAAAGACAAAUCCCCAGCUAGAACAACCUCAACCCAGGAGAGUCAUCAAACAGAUGCCUUCGUAUGGCUUCUCUGUAUAAUUUCUUUAAUUCGUAAUAGAGCCUCUUGCCAUUAUUACGUUAACGUCGCAGGAGUAGGAUUACCAGCAGGGCAUCUUUGACGGCGGGGGCGUCUGGUUGUCUUGCCCCACCCUGUUAGACUUCGGUCCUCCAAACCAGCUUCAAUAUUGUUAAGCUGCUGCAUCAGAGGAGUGCAAGUUGCAGUCGCAACAACAGUGGAUACAGCUUCAACAACCACUGCUCGUCGUCUUCCCCUGCCACCUCCAUUCCUUGUACCGUUCCUCCUUGUCAACCCCGAACUCCAAGGAUGGCCUGUAGCUCUCAUUAGCCCUCCAAAUGUCUGAAGGUCUUCAGUUACCUCAUGCCUCGACAAAGAAGCCAGGCCAGGAAGGAUAUCCCUUUGAAAGUCCCUCCGCUGCCUGCCUCUCCUUGUCUGUCCCUUCCUAGAUCGAUUUGGUACUGAAUUUGGUCCAGAUUCUUCAAUUUUUUGAACUUCUGGAACAAAAGGUUUAGGCAUGUAAUCUUCUUCUUUAGUUUCCUGCAGCUGCAAAGUCAUGACCUCAAAAUCAUCCAUCUCAUCAGAAGAGUAAUUGCCAAUUACUAAACUAUCAGGGCCUCUUAUUUCUUUGCUCACAGGGCCAUUGUGUUUAUCUGCACAAGAAGACACUGCAUCAGCGAACCAUAACAGGCAUUCUGCCAAAGGAUCUUCAGUUGGUUGGCACGUGUUCUCUUCAAUAGGAAGCAGAUGAUUAGAAGAAGAAAGAGAAACUAUAGCUUCUGCAGCUAUCCUGAUAACUUCAUCAUUUGCUUCCUCCACUUCUGGUUCUGGUGGUUGAAGAGAUGCCUCGCACAGCUUAUCGUCUUCCCCAGCCAGAACAUCAUCCUCAGUCUCCAGAACUGGAGCUUCCAGAUCUAUCUCCACAGCAAUCUUCACACUCUCACUGUUGCUCACGCCAGAGGGUGCCAAUAGCUCUUCAUCCUCAGUGACACAGGAGUUCAAAUCAAUGACAUUCCUAACACGAGCAACCUUUGUGUCCAUUACCUUCUCAACAGCCAAAUCUUCUGAAGCAAGCUGCUCAUCAAAAGCCAAAUUAAUAUCAAUCAGUCUAUUUUUCGCUUCCAUUUCCACUUUUUCUCCUGAAAGAGUGCGAGGAAGGCUAACUGAAGUUGAGAGAGAUGAGGAUGACUCAUUUUUCAAAUUUGAAGGUUUUUCAAAAAUGGGAACCCCAAGAAUCUUUUUUAUACCCUGGGUCUCCCUACUCUCUUUCUUUAUACCGACCUCACAGUCACUUGAAUUUGCUCUCUCUUUCUGAGUCAACAUUUCAUUGAGAUCUUUUAAUGGUUCACCCUCACAAAAUAAUAUACUUGGAGAAGACUGAAAGAAGCUGAAGCUCUCUGAGUUUGAAUCUCUCCUGACAUUGGCAGUCUCACUCUUGCCACAUGGCUUAGCUCGAAGCCAAGGCAAUGCUGCUAGAUGGUCUCCAGGCUUACUUUUAUCAUUUAUAAUCACAACAUCUUCACUGGAAGAACACUUUGUUUGGACCGCAUUCAAGUCCAUGUCUUUUGCAGGCUUUGUACAGCCGUUUGAUAACUCCCCAGGUCCAUGAUCUAAGCAGCAUAUAGAUGCCAUGUUAUCACUUUUAUUGCAGUCCAGAUGACUAAUGUUAACUGAAGGGUAACGAGCCAGCACCUCCUUAGACCCUGAGGAAGACCCGUGAUAAAACCCAUUUAUGGUCGGUACAUCACUUCUCAUGCCUGGAGUCAAACAAGAACGCUCAUUAUUGUGCCACUUGUCCACCAAACCACCAUGACUUUGAGCAGAUGACUGUGAACUCUUACUCAAAAUUGACGAUGCCUGUAUUGAUGGGUAUGGAUGAAAAGAAUUUAGCUUCUGAGGGAAGCUACUUGUUGGCUUUCCCCAUGAUAAUGCAGAGUGCGACCAGGAACUGGCAAAAUCUGAGGAAUUACCAAAGGUGUAUGGUUUGGGCACCUGGGAAGUCAUAACUGAUUCAAGAUGGUUAUAAUCCGAGUUAUUGUGAACCCUGUCAAGGUUUUCCAAACCACAGGUAGCUCUCUCUUUCCACCUUUCUUCCCUUUCACAGUCAAUUGGAAGAAUUCCCACAGGUUGGCAAGUGUUGUUAACCCUCAAUUGUGCUGGUUGGGAAGGCAUGGGCAACUUAUCUUUCUGGAACCCUUGAGGUAUCGAGUUAUUCUUUCUCUGACCUGCAACAGAAUAGCAACCAUCACCUGAAAAUAUGACAACCAACAACUCAUAAACUACAUUUGAACAAAAAAUAUGGUUUGACCAUAUCAUUUAUUAUACAAAAGAGGUGAUAAAAAUUAUUAAGUCCAAAAAUAAUAAGGAAGAUUGGCCUCACAAGUAACCAACAAGACACUAAAAAUAAGCAUUAAUAUUGAAGAUAAGGACAGAAAAUCAACAAGAUGCUAAAGUUUUUAUUGACAUAAUUGUAACUGUUGAUUUUCCUGCCAAUAAUCUCAGAAAUCUUAUGCUUAUCUAGUGCUUAAUAUAUAAGAUGAAGCACUGCAUGAGCUUGAGAAGAAUUGCAUCAUCACACAAUCUUGGAAUUUGCAAGAAUAUCAAAGAAGAAAGAGGUUGAGAGAAAGAAGACCUUUAAGUCUAAAUUUAACAAAUAUUUAUGAAAACACUACCUGAUUCAUACACUCCAGAAAGCCAGUCUCUCUCAUUGCCUCUACUUCCAACAGAAGUCAUAGUUACAUUAUGAUUUCCAGAAUACGCAUUAUUCAUUAUUUCUUUUUGCAGGCCAUGAAUUCCUGAACUUGGUUUAGCAGACAGAUUUAGGCCUCUGCUCUCUCCAUGAUUAGCAGAUUUACCAAGAAAUUCAACAGAAGAGGCAACAGCUAUGUCUUCGAGCUGAACAGGCUCAUUCAGAUCAGCCAAUCUGACGGUGCCUCUAGUACAUGAGUCCGAUGCUGAAGCAUUGCUUUGAUAACCCAAUUUCUCACCAACACCACCAUUAGGAAAAAAUUUGUCAUGAUUCUCAGGGGCUUUUCUGUGAUUCCCAUUAGGUAGAGAACUUGACACCUCAAUUAUCUUACCGUCAUUUAACUGUUCCCCAUCUUCAGUAUCAAUAUAUUCAUCAGCAGGGAGUUGAAGAUCAAACAACUUUUUCCUCACCUUGGAGGGCCUAGCCUCUAGCACUUCGCAGUCCUUUGACGCACAACCAUUAACUCGACCAGCUGGCACGGUGUUCCCUUUUGUACAACUCAAAGGUGAAUUAACGAUUUCAGCACCUGACACAGAAGGUCUUGGAUAGCCAGAAUUUGCCAAAGGAAAACUAGCUAUAUGCCAUUUCCCAGCAUCUUCAGAUGGCCUUUGGGAACCUAGGAGGCUUGAUGAAGAUGACGGUUCCAUAGACAUCUGACGCUUAUUUAGUUCCUUCCUUCUGAAUUCAUCCAUCAUGUCCCUUUGAAUUCUGUAAAGCCGGUGGAGCUCAUAAACCUAGGGAAAAGAAAAACAGAAAGAGAAAGCAAUAAUCAGGCAUCUGCGAAAUCCAUCACUUAAGCACAAUAACAACAAGUCAUCUUAUUUUCCAAAUUAAAGGGAGAGAGUUAUUUGAGAAAGAAAUAUGCAAGAUAGUGUACAAACUGAGUGAAAUAAGGACCAGCUAGGAACCUAAUCUACUUCUUGUUUUCUAUACAUAGUAAAGUUAAAAUAGUUGGACCCAAAAACUUUUAUGUUGAUAAAAAAUGAGAAUCGUUUUUCCAGUGUCUGACAUCAUUCCAAAAUACAUCAACAAAGAAUUGUGGAUAUUCAAUUUGAAGGUCAUAAGUGACUAAACAGCCAAAUGAAAUAGAAGAGGUACACAUACUCCAACAUGUAAACCAAAGCAGUUUACCUGCUUCUUGAAUACGGCCUCAUGCUCAAGCAUUUUCUGUUUUAAUUGAUCCUUAUCAUACCCUAGAUAUGCAUCUGUUAUAGUCCUUGGAAUGUAUCCAUUAUAGUAUUGUGCACUUGUUAAGGUCUUGUCUCCAUAAAACAGAGGCCAGCUACUACUGUUAGAAUCGUCAUUAAGGUCCCUCAUGGAAUAAUAACCUGGCAAGUAGCUUUUGCAAUGUACUUGCGUUCCCAUUCCUGCAAACAAUAAAGCAUGAAAUCACAUUUUUCAUCCUAAAGCCAAAAGUCUUAUUCUGCAUCAAUUUUAGUGAUAACUAUACGAUUAGUGGAGUAGUAUGGUAAACGUACAGCAACUGAUGCAGUACUUUACAAUAUGCAUUUUACAGCCCUGGAAAUCCAGAUGUAACAAUAAGAAGGCAAAGUCACAUAUUACUUGUUUAUGAACCAGAAACCUUUGCUCAAAAGCUUCUUUGUCCUAUGAGAGUGGUAAUCUAUCCCCACAUUAAAUUCCAUAGACAGAUAAAAAAACACAUGAAACGCAAAAGCAGGAACAUCCCAUCCACAGAACAGGGCAAUACUGGUGCAGAAGCUCCAGCUGCUAGAUUAGGAAAUUCUAAUGCACCCCGCAAAAAGACCAUGCAAACAGUAAAAUAUGUUAAAGUAGCAUCUGAUUACAUGUUAUGGGAGUGUAGACCAUAAGAAUACUAAACUCAUGUCAUAUCAGAAUACUAAACUCAUGUCAACGAGGCUGCAUUUUUAUGUGACAAAAUGAGGAUAGACAGAGAUACUCCCGCAAGUUAGCAGCAUAGUUGUUUGAUGCAUCUAUCAAACCAAUCAGCAAAGCAGUUGAACUUGAUACCCUUUCUUACCCACAAACAAAAAGGUAAAUGGAAAAAAAUGCAAAGAUCGAUUUUGUUUAUCAGUAACAUAAUUAGGUUUUCAGAAAAUUUGGAGCCCAAGACACUAUUUCUCAAAAUAAGGUGUUGGUUUAAAAUACCUUCAAUGGGGUGACGUGGAUAAAAUGAGAUCACUUGAUCUUGACAUUACCAGAAAUUAGAAAGUUUAGCAGUAACAAAUAAGGAACUAAACAUAUGUAAGCAAAAGUCAGGAGUUCAUUGAAAUUCAACGGUGAGAUUUCUGUUGAUGGACAUGUAUGUAUAUGCAAACUUGGAGUAAGAAAAGACAAAAUUGAAGGCCACUCUUGAAUGGUUCCUACAAGAAAGCUAAGACCAGCAUUUACCACUUUCCACCCAAUAUAGAAUGUUACCAGUCCCUUGAUAACAACAAAACAAUACAAGAAGACACCCAGAUUUCCUGCUGGUUCUUUCUGAUCUUUUUGCAACAAUAAAUACACAACCGCUUGCUUUACAUAAAAAUACUGCAAUAAUGUACUCUCCAAGAAACCCAAAUCAAUUAUGCGAAGAAGUGCCAUGAAUCAUAUACAUUCACCGCAUUGAAGACACAAAUUCAGAGUCAUACAAACAAUUCAAGUAAUCAACAAGACAAAACUAAAAUAGUUUGGCACUGUAAAGGAAAACACACGCACAUGGCUUUGUAAAGUAACAAGCAAAAUAAAAAUUUUUUCAAAUGAAACUCUGAAAGCAGCACAGAAAAAUAAGGAGGAGAAAUAUCAUCUAGGUCAGGUAGAGGCAACUUGUUCUGCAUAAAUAAUUCAAAUAGGUACUCUUUCACCAAAUUAAAAUGUUAUCAGCAUAGCAUUACCAUGCUCGAUAGUGAAAAUGAAGUCUCACAGUACCACCAAAGGAAAUAUUGGUCAUCAUGUCAAAUUUGUGAUCACUGACUUCUAGAAUGUCAUAUUGACCCAUGAAGCUGAUUGAUUUCUAUGCUGAACAUAAAGUUGGUCACAACCUUACCCGUUUCAGUCACACUGCAUAUUUUUCUGCUAAAACUCCAUGCCAUUCUUAAAGAUAUCAAGAAAACUCCUUUUCAUUGUCCCCUUGGCAAAAUUAUGUUGAUUUUCAAAAGAAAAAACUAUCCCAUAAAAAUUGUUAAUAAGAAGUUUGAUGCUGCAGUGUAGGUAAAACUGAAAGAACGGCAGAGAGAAAUCACGUAUACACUAGAUUCAAAAAUUGAAUUCCAAAAAGUUUUGAAAGGCACAAGAAGAAAAAUUGCUCUUCCAAGUUCAGCUGUUGGACACUAAAACAACAUGCAUUUGACAAGAAAAACAUCGGGUUGUGAUUGAACAACUUACUGAUUUUAACAAAUGCAAUUGACUAAUUAUUUAAAUUUAGAUGCAAUAUCCAAAUACAGAUUCAGUUGACCGGCAGCAGAGUAUAAAUAAAUAUCUACAAGCCAAAACAAGAAUUUAAUUUUGCAUUUAAAGAGUAAAUGAGAGAACAAAAAGAGCAAACACAGAAAGUUACAAUCUUUACCUUUUUUCAAGAGUUAACAAGGGAAAACUCAAAACAACCAGAAGCCAUAAUAGAUCCUGUACAAAAAGGAUCACAUACUAAAUCCAGGCAAUAAUCAAAUCAUCCCAUUAAGACAAAAGAAAAAACUUUAAGUAAUUGGCCUAAUAUGCAUACAAUAGCCAAUGCAGAAAUUCAAUAUAAAUCACCCAAAAAACCAAACAAACAACUCAAAUUCUAUUACAAAGAUAAGUCAAUUAUAAGUUACUAAAUUCACGAAAACAAGAACUUUUUAUUUUCCAUUUCUGUUUCCUAGUUUUGAGAAGGGUCUUGGUCAAAUACUAAUAAAUCCCAAUUCCCAAAUAGUAGAGGUUAAAUAAAAAAAGAAAAAGAUGUAGAGUUUACCUCAGACCCACAUCCUGGAACCACCUUUCAAGCAGCCCUCUAGGAUUGAAUCAUUGAAUUAGUACAACUAUUACUGCUUUCUUCUCUCAAGUACCAACCUCAAAAUCUCAGAAUCAUGGGAAAUUCAGGCUGGCACUAGCAAGACCCAAAAAGGGAAAAAAAAAUAGAAACAACAAAACCCAAUAACAAAACUAACAAUAAUUAAGUCAAAAUAAAUAAACUAAAAAGUGGGGGUUAUUAAGUGACUCCAUUGAAGAAGCAGCUCAGAUCCUCAUCAAACUCAACAAAAGAUUGCAGAUUUCGAUCUGCUGGGCCACUCUCCCCAGACCUUCCUCAAAGAAAGAAAGAAAGAAAGCAAAGAAAGAAAAGAAAGAAACUUUUUUUCCUCUCCUCCCAGUCCUACUAGUCCUAAUAGAGAUAGAAAGAGAAAGAAAGAAUGAAUGAAAAAGAAAAGAUUUUAGCAGCAAGUGCAAUAUAAUUUAUUGGUGUUAUUUUUUUACGAGAAAGAAAGAGAGAGAAAGAGAGAGAUCCCAGAUAAGAAAUCUUCACACAAACAAACGACCUUCUAAGAACAGUGACAUGAAAUUUGUCAACAUCCGGUCUCUUUUUAUUCUCUGCUUUUUCUUCACUUCUUCACUCCUCACACACACACUACUCUCUCUCUCUCUCUCCCCCCUCCGUCUUUCUCUCUCUUACUGUGAUGAUUUCUUUGCUGGAUAUUAAAUUCAUUUUCUUUUCUGGGUUUUUGAGGAAAAUGGAAAAACUCGCAAAGAGAUGGGGGCAUUUCUAGAUUCUCUCCACCUUCCUUGCUUUUUGUACUCAGGAUAUUAAUGAUAAUUUAUUAUCUUAACAUAAAACUGUCCCCUCCAACUAAUAUACUAGUAUUAUAGUAUAAUUAUAUGUAUCUAAAUGGAAAUUCAUUCACUCCACUGGCAGCAAGUGGCAACACGCCUGCAUCCCUCCCUCUGUUAGCAACCAACUUGGCAAUCUUCCCAGCAUUUAGCUGUUUAUCCACAAGAAUUUUUUUCACUUAAGCAGAAUCUUUUUUUUUUUUCACUUGCGAAUUUUUUAUAACCUGAAAAGCAAUAAUAAUUGUUUUCAAUGCCUUCUAACUUUUGCUAAAUAUAGGCAGAAUACACCACUACUGCUAUCACUACUGUAUGCUUUUUCAGAAUCAACGGUUGAUACUCAUGACAUUUCUCGAGUUUCCCUCUUUGUCCUUUCCUUUCUAGAUAAGAAGAAAAAAAAAAAAGGAAAAACUUCUUGCAGCCUUCUGUUUUUAUGGAGUACCGCGCAAAUGGCCUUUCUUUUUCCUGUUUUGGGAUACUACUCCUACAAGUCUUAUGGAUAAAUAAUAGACGAAUCUUACCUAAAUAUUUUCUUCUUUUUUUCUUGUUGAUCUUGAAAACUAGACUGUAGUAGUGAAAAUACAAUAAUAAUAGAUAGAUAAUAAGUACAGUAAUAAAAAUGUAGCACUAUCAAGUCUAUCAUACGGGCUGCCACUGGCCAUUUGGUCCAGUGGUCAUCACCAUUAAAGGUGAUGUUGAAGGUCAGGAGUUCAAUCCCUGCCUCCCACAAAUUUGUCACAAAUUGUGGCGGUCUUAAUUGACCUUCAUCGAUGGAGUCUGUACUCACAUCGAACCCCCUCCCCUUCCCCUUAGACUAGGCUAGAUUAGAUUAUAGGACAUCUAUCGUUUCGACAAAAAAAAAAAAAAAAAAAGUCUAUCAUACGGGCUUACUUACAUGUGUGUGUGUUUUACUGGCUAAAAAUACCUCAGACAGAAAAAAUGUUGGCCCCGCAUGUGUAAUGAAGGAUGAUGAUGAGGUUUAUUUUGGUCGAAAUUUUAGGGUUGUUAGGCUUACGGGACAAGUCUUUGAGUUGGUUAAAUUUACAAGAAUGGGACCGGAAAGAUGCCGCUUCUGACUCCAUUGUUGAUUGCCCAAUUUGGGAUUGGCUAAUGGCUCUGUUUCGUACAGAGGAAAAAGUGUGUAAUUUGUGCAGAUUUGAUGUUUGUACACAACUGUGCAAAAAGCAUAAUAGUAUGAGAUACUCCCUCCUACUUACUCACUUACUUACUUACCUAUUAUCAUCAGAUAGACUCUAGGGUACACGUGGCUUCCUCUGCAGCGCAUCAACACCACAUACGUUUUUAGUGUUAGUGCGGCUCAUUAAAACUUUGCAUCCUUUCCCCUUUGUAUCAGUUCUGCAGUACGUAUGACUUCCAAUUAGUACCACUCUCCAACUUUUACAUGGGACAACCGAUUCAUUGCAAUCACAUUUCUUUUUAUUAGUACUAUCACACAUCAUUAAUAAUAUGUUUAGUUAGUGAAAGAGUAAAUCACACCUAAAUUACCAUAUAUAUAUAUAAAUAUACACAGGUACUCAUAUUAAUUUAAUUGUAGGUGUCUGUAAGGCACAAGUUAAAAUAUAUUUUAGGUGUUAAGUAUAGUUUUGAAAAUAUCAGGUUAAUUAGGAAAAGGAAAUAAAUAUAAUGGACGAUAGGCAAGAUUAAAUAAGGAAAGUAUAUAAAUACAUGAAACAAUAAUAAUUGUUACUAUAUAUAGUAGAUUAGGUGAAUAUUUUAUUAUUAUUAAUUAUGUUUUACGAGUGAGUGUCCUAAGAGCACCCAUUAAAAAAACUCUUUCUAAAAAAAUGAACACAUGAGCCAUCUCUGUCUUAUCGCGGCAGCGCGUGUGAAUGACGUGCCUAAUACAUAAACUGUUUAAAUUAUACUUAACUUAUUAUUAUGUGAAUGCACGUUCGCAUUUAUUCGUCCCUUGUAUUUGAAAACCGUCCCUAAGUGGUUUUCACAUUUUUAAGAAAAAAAAUUAAUUCCUAAAUCUAUCUUAGCAAGUGUCCCGCCGGGCGUGGGAAAGGAUAUUCAACAUUUGGAUCUCGAAAUUCCUUGGUCGAAAUUCGUGGGACGGAUGAUCGCGUGCGAGUGUGGGGUAGAUAAAUCUGGAAUUUGUGCAGUUAUGAUAGGAACUAGGAAAUACACUAAAAAAAACUUCUUGCAUCGAUAAUUAGCUCUACUGUUUUGUCCUAUUUCAAACACUUAUCCACCAUGCUCUCUCUCUCCGGUUUUAUUUGCCACCUUUAUCUUCUAACUACAAAGAGAGAAUUUCAUUUAUAGUAGCUAUCUAUCAACAUUAAUCAAGCUCAAACACAUUUUACUUUUGGGGUCAUCUUCUAGAAAUUUGCAAACAAAUGAUGGGCAAAAGAAACUCAUAUGUGAAUACAUCUCAACAAAUGCUUCUUCUUCUUCUUUUUUUUAAUUGAAUCCCUAUAAGUUCAAAUUCCCUUUCUAAAUUCUCAUGAAAUCCAAGACCGAAAAGAGGAAGCUUACAAAAGGUCAAGAAUGGAAAAUUGUGGCGAUUAAAUUAGAUCUUGAUAUUUUUGGUCAAGUAACAGGAACUGAAGCUCCUGUAUGGAAAGAUCUAACAAGGUUGUUUGUUCCUUAAAUUUCAGCUCCAACGAGAAUUAUCUCUCCAAAAGGCGCUUCCAUUGUUGCUUCAGCCAAUGACUUCAUCAUUCACCCAACCAACAACCCUUGUCUCCCUCAUUCCUUGCGUACACUAUGAAAAACAUUUUUUUUUAUGUGAUGUACGUGAGAUAAAAAAAAUAGUUGAAAAUUGUGUUUAUAAUGCAAGCAGAUAAAUUUGUGUCAAUAAUUCGCAUGUCUCUGCCACAAAUUAUUUGAAUAGUUAAGUUUGUUUGUUUUCCACAUAUAGAGAUUGCUAUAAAAACGUUGGCCAUAAUUCAAGUUUUUCUUUGAUGCCUUUACCUAAUUAGAGAUAGAUAGAAGAUAUUCCCACAACAGCUGACAAAAAGUAGGGCAGGUGUACAUAACGUCUUUAACUUUAACUUGUCUCGUGAGGAAAUUAAAAAAUGUUAAGAACUCAAAAUUUACAAAUUACGCCAAAAAAGUAACUGCUUUUUUCAUUAAUUUAUGGCAGACCUUCAUAUGUUUGCUCCAAUAAUUGCACUUUAUUGGGGUAACAAGUGUUUUGAUUCAAUUGGCUUUUGUCCAAUUUGCUUCUUUUAGGCAAUGAUUUACUCCCUAUCUCUUUUUAUUUUUCGAGGAACAGAUGGGGAAACUGCUUAUGAUAUUUGGCUUGGGGCCUGGGCCAGUCUAGCUGUGUCCAGACAGUGAUAUGGGGAAACGGGUCGGGUACCAAGUGAGAGGGAAUUUAACCCAAACCACAAUUCAUCUCCAAAUACAACCUGCUGCACAAAGGAGACGGACUAUUGCAAAAGUAUUUAACCUAAAUUAAUUACUUUUCUGGGGAAGAAAGAAAAGUUUUGGCGCAUUAAUUUCACAGGGGAAAUGUAGAAAAAAAAAAAAGGGGGGGUUUCUUUGGAUGGGCCUGUGAAAGAAGUAAAUGUAAUAUUCUUGCUUUGUGCGUAUGAAUUGAAUGCGGUAUGAGUUUAUAAGCCAAUGAAGUUUAUUUAUUGACGACAGAAAAUAAAGCAAUCUUUCGUACAGUCAUAAUGUAUAUACUAUCGAGCCUGUGAGAUAUAUGUAUAAAUUUUGAAUUUGAACUCUAAAUAUUAUAUACGUGGCACGCAUCUAAACCGAACCUGCUUAUGUAUAUGGUGUCACGUGAAAAAAAUUUAAAAAUAAAUAAAUACUUGGCCCAAUUGGUUGCGCAAAUUAAAUUUACCCGCGGUCAAUUGUGCCCAUUUUCCAAACUAUUUACUAGGUGACUUGUGCAACUCUGAAUGAUUGACUAAAAGAUUCUGGGGAAUACUGGAAAGGGAGUGCAUAUGUCUGAUGGGCCAAACUGGUUUGAUUUUUUUGCUUUGGAGCUAAGACUUUCUUAAAAGUGUAAUUUUCACAUUUUCAAAGAUGUAACAAACACGGUCAAUGCCGAUAAUAACAUGGAGUUUGUGUGAAACCUCUAAUUGACUAACGAAUAUUAUUAUUCUUUUUUAAUUCAUCAUUAUAUUAUUUUUAUUGUAAACAAUGCCUGUACAAUGGGUUGAAUUACUAAAUCUCUUCGUGUAUGUCGAGAAAAUUUAAAAGAUCAUAAAUCAAAAGUCACUUUAGAAAAAAGAAAAGAUCUGCCUUCUAGACCAUGCUUUCCGUUGAUUAUAGAGAUUUGAACCCGUUUGGAUUGAUAUUUUCUAAGGUUUUUGUAAAAAGAAAAAUACUCUAACGAUUUGGUAUAUAUGAGAUAAAAAAAUAAGUUUUUUUGAAGGAAAAUGAUAAUCCAAACAAGGCCUUCUUUUUUUUUCUUUUUUUUUUAAAAAAGUGCAACAAUAACAUUUGUAUAACCUAAUUUAUCGUAUUCUACAAUGAGGGGAGCCUAAAAAUGCUGUAUAAGGGGCUAUCAGGUUUACCAAUUCAACUAGGUUUAUGAAUUCGAUUAAAUCAAAGAGGUGUUAUGACAACUAUUUUAAAUUUUUUUUAUUGUAGGUGAGAUUCGAAUCCUCGACGACCUACGGUCGAAAGACAGGCUUCAAAGCUCGGUGGUUCAAACAAGGCCUUCGGAUUACCGCAGAAUUUGACAAUCAAAUAGUCAAGCAGUCUCUGUUGUGACAGCAGUUGGUAGUGGAAAAUCAUGGGUAGAAUUUCAAUUUUUUUCCUUUCCUCCUAAUUGUGUCCAUCUGGCGACUGGCUUGGAAACUCUAGAAAAUGGACCGGCAUUUUGGUGUUAUUACCUAUCACAUGUCACAACAUUAGGUAUCCAUAUUUCCCCAUCAAACUUGUUCUCAUGUGGCGGGAGCAUUUAUGCAGAUUCCGAUGGUUUCUACUUUUUUGCCACUUAAUUUUUCAUUUACUAUUCUUGUUUUAUAGUGGGAUUUAAUUAAUCUGAGCCAUAUGCUUACCAAACUCUACUUUUUUUGGAUUCUUUUUUCCUCUAUUUUUUUUUUUUUGCCUUAGUUGGAAAGAUGAAACUCUUUCCACGAUUCAGGAAUCAUAAAUAAAGCAGGGUCUGGUUCUUUUUCGUAAUUGAAAAUGAUAGGUUGAAAUAUCUAUGCACUAUAUGUUAUAAAAAAAAAAUUCUCAUAUUAAAUAAUUAAAAGACAAGAUGAAUUCCCUCGUAUUGAAAUUAAAGAGACCAAAAAACAAAAAACAAAAAAAGAGAUCGCCACCACAGCCAUUCAUUGUAAAAUCAUCAAGAAAAUGCGGUAUCAUCUUGACUCAUUGUGGGAUGUCCCAGAUAUUAAAAAAAGUGGUUGUAGUGGUAUUCAAUUUUUAGCAGCAUUACUUAAUGACGAUUUACAAUGUUGGUAUGAUAGAUAUAAGAGCACUUGUCAUUAUCAGCUUACCAAUCCCAAAUCUUAAAAACUUUCACAGAUGGGAUGGAUUGCGGGUCAAUUAAGCUUAAUCAAUCUUGGAUUAGAUUAUUUGUUUUUCCGUUUAGUGAUUAAAUUAUUCCCUUUGUGAACUAAGACCGGAACGUGGUCCCUAAUAAAUCCAUUGUCAUUGUCAUGGAAAAUGUGUGAAACUUUCCAACUAGUGGAAGAUUUUACUAAGGGCCCCUCCUGAGUGUAUGGUGAGCUAAGUCUUUCAUUAUUAAUUGAUUACUCUGGACUCUAUCUCAUGGUUUGAUCUCGGAUUUUUCCAUUUAAUGAAGUCUUUAGAUCUUUUUUUUUUUUUUCUCCUCUAGUUAGAUUAGAUGGAAAAGAAGACUUUUAAAAAGACAAUAAUUAAUGUUCUUUCUUUCUUUCUUUCUUUUUUUCAAUGCCAUAUGUUGUAAUCUCUAGAAAAAAAAAAAGGAGAUUUUUCAUCCUAAAAGCCCUAUUCAGCAUUCCCAUAUGUGGUUGGAUAUUUGGCGUCUUAAAUCCUUUUCAAGCACCAGGAACCAUAAACUUCUUGGUCAAUGUGUCACACGUAGAAGUAAAAGAGAAUCUCCAACAAGAAACAAAAGCAAAAUACCCCUAUAUGUUUCCACUUCAAAAAAACCCAAAAAAAAAAAAAGAAAGAAAAAGAAGAAUAUUGUAGAUUGAAUGGGCCAUCAUUAGAGAAGAAAAGCAUCAUCUUGCUAGUAAUGAUCACUUAUAUUUAGAGAAGGGUUUUGAUUUUCUGACUUCUUUUUUCAAUUUUCAGAAAAAAGGGAGAGGGAAAUCAAGAAUCUUUUAAACUACUUUUGCAUGAUUAACUAUUCGGAGUCGUAUUAUUAUGGGGGCCAAAAGUGCAGUGGCAUCUGUAAAGGCACAAAGCUCCCUUGGGUACUUUCCUAAAAAAAAGGAAAAAGGGAAACAAUCCGGUUGAGUGAAUCGCAAUUAAAGCUAACCCAUUUUCAAUUCCUUAUUACAAAACCACUGAGCUUGGCUCCCUGGCCACCAGGGAGGGUCUUAAGUCCCUCAUUGGGCUGUAGGUGAAGGUUUAAAUCUCGCUUACAGCAAAAAAAAAAUCAAAGAUUGCGUCAAAGCACUCAUUUGGUCUUUGUAUCUGCUAGCCCCAAACGCAGCCUCUUUAGACUCUCCCUCCCGUAUAGUCUAAGAUAGAUAGAUACAACAGUUGUUGUCUUCGAGAAAAAAAAUUCCUUAUUACAAAAUUAAAAUUCAGUAAAUCUCAUAUAAUAUCAUGUUGAACCGCACUUUUUUAUAAGAUCAUAUUUUGUUAGUUCUGUAUUCCACGUUGGUAGUAUUCAUCCUUUUCUUUGCCACUAAGAUAUUUGAGUGCUCAAAUCUACCUCUUUUCCGAGGAAUUAGUAAGAUACUAGUAACUUUUUUUUGGGGCUUUGGGUGAAUUAUAUAAUAAUAACUAACUAAAAAGUAUUUUCACGUAAAAUUUUUGAGAGAAAAUUAUUGAUUAACAAUUAAUAUUUGUCAUGUCGUCCCACAUUCUCCUAUUCUGCAAUUUUGCAACAAUUUCACAUCUGACAAAAGAUCCUGGCCGCCGGUAUAUAUUGAUGGAUGAUGACACGCGCAAGAAAGAUGCAUGCGUAUCGUAUGGACAUUGGACUCACUUCUGUCCAAAUAUUCGUGUUGGAUUGUUAGUAUGUUAGCUUCUCUAUAUGGCCCAAGCCCAAACCAGUCAUGUUAGCUUCUAUAUAUGGUAUUAAAAAAAGAUUAAUUCUAUGGAGUACACUAUACUUGGUUGGCCCACUCCCUAUUUUACCACCAUAUUAAUCACAUCUUAAUGGUUUUACUAUAGUUGCAAUUUGGAAUACAAAAUGAGGGUCAGAUGAAUCUACUUAAUUGGUUGUCCUUGAAGAAAUACAUGCUUACUUAUCGAUAACUGAAUUGAACCGAACAAUGCUAACGAAGCCAGUUGAUAAUACGUUUUACUUGUAAUUUCACAGGUUAAAGCCAUCGAGAAGGAAAUUGAAUCAAACCUAACCACAUUAUCAAUGCCGUAUAUGGCAUCUAUAGCUGCAUCACAUGAGUACGUGAAUUGAUAACGUUAGAUUAACCUAGUUACAUAAGCUCCUGCAAAAAAAAAUUAGUGGUUAACGACUAUUUCUUUUGUCCUGCAUAGAAAAUGUAUUCAUAGAAACAUAAAAAUUUUUCUGUAAAAAAAUCACAAUCCAAACAAGUCAGUAAAAUAGGCGUUAGCAUGCAAGGGAAUCCAAAGGUGUUGCUGUAGAUUGGGAUCUUCUGAAGCGAACAGCUACGUUCUUGCUUCAUUUGAAAUAGCUGUGCGUAUAGUUGAACGGCUUGCACCGUAUUCUGAAGUGUAUCUUCCCACAUUUUCUUUUUUGUAGCUGUAUCCCAAAAAAGAAUUGUUGAAAGGAAAUAUAAGGCAACCAAGCCUCAUCAUGUCAGCCUCGAAUUUAAGUCAUAAAAUCUCGUUCUUCACGUUCCAUUAAAUGCUUUUGUCAGCCCGUUGAGAAUGCGUCAAAUUGACUGCCAUCUCUUUUUAUUUCAUUAAAACUCCACCACAUAAAUUAAAACCGAACAUAUCCUCGAAUGAACAACAAGGGCUCUAUUUGGAUUACUGAGCUUUUCAAAUACUAUUGCUCCGUUUGAAUUAGCUGUUUUUAGGAGUGUUUUUAAAAAAAUUUACUGUAGCAGAGUUUUUAAAUUAUAUUUUUGGAUAUUUUCAGAAAAUUAUUUUGAAAUAUUUAAGAGUAGAAGAGUUUCUAAAAUAUAUUUUGAGAUAUUUUUUAAAAAUUUAAACUAAUUUUUAGAUUACCUUUUAGAGUACUUUUUAAAAAUUUUAUUGUUUUUGAAAAACAGUCCCAUCCAAAAAUUACUCUAAAAAAUAGUUGAUAUCUUUUUAAAUAUUUAAAAAAUAUCCUAAAAUAUAUUCUAAAAACUCUUCUACUCUUAAAUAUUUCAAAAUAUUCCAAAAUAUACUAUAAAAACUCUACUGCAGUAAAAUUUUUCAAAAAUACAAAAAAAAAAAGCUAAUCCAAAUGGAUUCAUUUUUCCUUCUUACCUUGUUUUGGGGCUUUCGGGAGUACGGGUUCGGCGCAGACGGAGGAGGAGAGUCUUCGAAUGGGAUUUUGCCAACCCAAUAUUUUUUUCAAGGCUUCAAUCAAUACGGUUUGUCCCGUAACGUCGUGUUAUGUUUCCUAUUGUAAAGACCCUAAAUUUCCAAAUAUUUUCGUGCCCGCAUUUCUCACGAAUUUCCUCGACCGAAUUUCUGCCUUUUAAGUCAACCAAACUUUUUGAAAUUGAGAAUUCUUCUAGACGUCCCCUGAUAUUCCAUAAAGCAAAUUGUUCCUUCCCACUUCUUAAAUCUCAUAUCUUUUCUACCUGAAAUAAUUUUAAAAAAAAAUUGGUAAGAAAAAUUUUCAUGUCAUAAUCUCCCAAAAGUUACUUUGUGAUAAACAUUAGAGAUAAAAGAUUUGUGCAGACAAUUACGUCUUAAGCAAUUUUAAUACUACCAAUUGGCGGAGUAAAAGAAUUUGAGUUUUUUUUUAAAAAAAAAUUAUUAUGUGAAUGCUUACAUUACCAUUUUAUUGUUUCUUUAUAUUUAGACACUUUCUCAAAUUUAUUAUGUGAAUGCAUGCAAUAAUAUUUAUCUUUGUCUAAUUCUUCUUUUGAGGAUUUUUGUCCACUUUUUAAUGCUACAGCCAAUUUUGCUUGAAAUAACAAAUUUACCCUUUUCAGAGCGCAUUCAACAUUUGACUAUUGGAAGGCAUAAUUGUUAAUUUGGUGGAAAUUUGCUAUGGAAGUUUAAAUAAAUAAAAAAAAGUGCUGUGAAUGUAUCAUUUGCCUUUUGAAUUAGAACCUACACAAGGAAUGACAUUGUUUGGAUUGAAGUUUUCAUUAAAAAAAAAAUUUCUCUUGACACAUAUUUUAAUUAUUUUUUAUAGAGCUGGCAAUUUGUCCCAAGUCCCAAUGGGCUACCCAUGCCCAAAGGAACUUUGGGCGGGAUGGGUAUUAUAAUUUGGUAUUGGGUUUAAGUUGGGACACAUCCCAACUAUACCCAUUAAUGAAUGGGAAAGGAUGGGAAAUACUUGGGUACCCAUUGGGCUCAAAUGGCAAGGGCUCCGUUUGGAUUAGCUGUUUUUGAAAUAUUUUAUUGUACCAGUGUAUAUGAAAAAUUUUUACUAUAAAAUUUUUUUGAAAUAUUUGAUAUAUUAAUAUGGAUGGGAUGUUUCUUGAGUUAUUGUAUAUUACUGUAACAUUGUAUUUGAAAAACUUAUUUUUUUGAAAAAAAAGUCAAUCCAAACGGAAUCUUAGAUUCAAAAAUUAUCUUUAACAAUUUUUAUAGUCAUACCAGCGAAUAUAAUCUAGUAGUCUUCCGAGUCAUUAUCCACAAGAAUUUCCAGCAUUUUAGUUAGUUUAGACCUAUCAUCCUUGGACAAUGAUAAGGAUAAAUAUUCAACAUCCUAAGGACCUUGGCCAUCUUGAUAUAUGUUGGAAUAUGGUUGUAUAUCUAUCUUUUCCUUUAUUUGUUAAUCCAAUUUUUGGUGGGAAUCUUGAGUAUAAAGCACUUGCAUGUUUAUUUAAUAAAACUAAAAGAAAUUUAAUAAAUCAAAAAUAUUAAAAUUAUAUAAAAAUAAAAAAUGAAUUAAAGGAAAAAAAAUAUGUAGAAAAUGGAUUUGGGUAUUGGGCGGGAUCAAUCUAAACCCAUCCCAAAAUGAUCCCGCCCAAGUUAGUCCCAAAACACAUAUGGGUAAGGUUGGACCCAAACCCAUAUGACUCGGUUCCAUCUCAAACCCAAGCAAAUCCCGCCCAUCCCGCCCAUUUUGCCACCUCUAAUUUUUUAUUUCACAUACAUCACUGUAGUAUAGUUUUCUACCCAAAAAAAAAAUCCAAAAACUCACUAUUGAAAUGUAGUCUAAAUCGUCUGUUUGGAUUGUAAGUUAUUUGGGAUUAUUUGGGAUAUUUUUACUGUAGCACUUUUUGUGAUGUGAUGUAUGUGAGAUAAAAAGAUAUUGGGAAGAUAAAAAUGUGUAUUAAAAAUUGUAAAGAUGAUGUAAGCAAAUAAAAUUGGGGAAAUAUGAAGCAAUCCAAACAAACCAAAAUCUGUUGGAACAGCUUGUGACUUGUAACGUAAUACAAAAUGGAAAUUCCCAGUCAUGUGAACGAAUUUCUAAAUGAAGUGUUGGGAAGGUUAAGAUCGUAAAUUCGAAGUUCCCCGGAAUCUGAUAUUGUCCGUACGUAUCUUUCGCACAGCCGUGCUAACGGCCAAAAUUCGCAAUCUCCGCCUUCGUGGCUUUUCUCUCGCAAAUCCCAAUGUCGAUUACGUCCACGAAUCUUGGGCUUCCAAAUGGCAUUUCCUUCCCGGCAACAAAAACACCCUUGUUCUCACUCAAUCAACAAAAUUGCCCUUAAAAUGCCCCAUGACAAUAAUGUCCUUGCACAUUACCAAUCCAAUGUGGUCCCCAACAUUGACCAUCAUAAUUCCAAAAACGCCAAUCUGUCUGUCCUCUGGGGCUGUCCUGUACCUUUGAUCCCUCACUACUCCCAAAGAUCUAAUGCCAUCUGCUUUACCCACACCUUUUUUUUCUCGGAAAGUCCCACUUAAUUAAGCAAACCGUAAGUCUGCAGAUUCGUCUGUUGUGGACAUAAAUAACAGAGACCUAGCAUUUUGUUCACCAUUAUUUGAUCUUGGUGAUAAAACAAACAUUUGUCUAGGACCGAUGAAUCAUUAGAUGGAGGUUUAGGAAAGAAGUCUAGAAGGAAUGAAAGAUGAUGUACUUCAUGCCAUGAAAGAAGGCUAAUUUGUCUUGUCACGUGUUAGUAUUGGGUUUGAAAAGUAAAAAAAAGAAAGGAUUUUUUUGGCCAUUUCAACUUCUUUUUUCGUCGACAUGGUAAUUUUUAUUUUAUUCCGUCUCCUACUUUACGCUAAGAGGUGUCAACGGGGAUUCAAAAAGAAUUGAAUAAUCACCGGAUCAGAUGGAUGACUUGUGUAUGCACCCAUUGGUGAAUUUUUUUUUUUUUUAAAAACAAGGAUAAAAAUGCGAGCCAAGAAUUUGAUUACUUGACCUAUAUUUAAAGAGGAACUAGUGACCAACUCAGUUGACUUGAGUUGGUUUUAUGAUUGUUUCAACUUAUGGUAAUUGUUUCUUAAAGGACAUUUUUUGUCAGGAAUUUGAUUUCUUAACAUACAUUUAAAGAAAGUCUAGCGGUCAACUUAUCUGGCCUGAAUUGGUUCUAUGGCCAUUUCAACUCAUGGUAUUUGUUUCUUGAAAGGACAUUAUUAGGGAAUGUCUUCUUCAGUGACUUAAUCUUUCUUAGGUAAUAAUCCUGCCCAAGCAAAAAUAUACCGGGUAAUAAUCCCUUUUUUUUCCCCCAACUUCCACUUGGGUUCAUUUUUGGGUUUUGUCUCUGUUUUCAGACUCGGACCGGACCGGCCGGUCGAACCGGUCGAACCGGAAACCGGCCAGGUAGCCGGUCCGAGUCACAUUAGAAAACCGGAAAUUUAAAAUCCGGUCAAAGCCGGUCAAAAACCGGGUUUGACCGGGUUUGACCGGGAAAAAACCGGUUUUUCCGGUUCAACAGUAAAUUUUUUUUAAAAAAAUUCAAACUUUUUAAUAUUAUGUUUUGACCCCCUAAAUUGUUAAAACUUAUUGAUAUAGCUCAAAUAUUUGAUACUUUAUAAAUAUUGUCCUAAAAUUUGAUGUUAUUUUUCAAUUAAAUUCAUAAUUUUAAUUCUAAACUUGUUAAUAUUUAUUAAAUAAUAUAAAUUGCUACUUGAUUGUUCUAAUUUCUUUGUAUUUUCUUGUUAAAUAUAUUUGAAACAUCAAAUAUAUAUGAAUAUGCCUUUAUUAAUAUCAAUAUAUUAUUAGAUAUUAUAUAUAUAAUAUUUUAAUUUUUAAAUAAUUUUUAUUUAUGACGUCAUCCGGUUCGACCCCUAUCGACCCCCGGUCGAACCCAUUGACCCCUGACCCCUGACCUCGGCCGAGUCGCUAUCCGGUCCGGUUCUGAAAACAUAGGGUUUUGUUGGGUGUUGCAUUGUGCAACUAAAGAUAUGCCUUUUGGGGAUGGAAUUGAUCAAUGACAGUGACAGCAGUUUCGAUGAUGUGGGGACAAUACAAAAUGGUUGAUUGGCGCAAUCAGAUCAGUCCGAUCUAUCUACUACUGUUGUAUGAUGCCGCCUCUUAGGUAUGAUUUUGUUAGGUAUGAUGCAAUUUUCAGAACGCCACAUGCGAUAGUUCACAUCGUGCGGACCCAUUUUUUUUUUUUAUUAUUUUUCUAGAGGUCAAAUCUUUUUUUUUUUUUUUUUCCUUUUUCUUCAAGGGAGAUCUAUCUCUUUAUACUAGGAGAAUUCAUCAAACCCUUCAUUCUAAAGUGAGCAUGAAAUUUACAUAUUCCAUUGAUUUGAAUCUAGAUCUUAACUUGUGGAAAUGCAUAAAAAGCUCAAUCAUGAAUUUAUGACAUGAGCCACCAAAACAUAGGAGCAAAAAUCAUGGUCUUUGCAUAAUUUAUCUCUUAAAUAUGAGAAUCAAUUCCAAACUUUUUUCUUUUUAUCGUUUGACGAGAUAUUUUUAUUGCUAUUGUAAUAUAUUUUAAUCUUAUUUUUUCCCAUUUAAUUCAGCUAAAACAUUUGUUAUCGUGGACAAUAUAAAAAUGUCAACUGAGUGAUGGUAAAUUCAGUUCAGGGGCAAGCAAGUGGUAUUAAAAGCCAACGGUCAUUUGAUUUCUUGGUCACUAUCAAGACAUCAAGUUUUGGUUGUGAUUGUGGUUGUGGGUGGGUCACUAUUUGUGAUAUGUCACUUUUAGUAGCUUCCUCGAUAGUAUUUUCGAUCGGUUAGUCUCUCCCUCCCCUAAAAUAGGAUAUCGUAUAUUAUAAAAAUGUUAUCGUUGCGAUAAAAAAAGAAAAAAAAGAAUCAGUAGCACUCUUUUAGAGUUCUUUCGAAAAUUAUCUGCCUAUGGAUUCAGCAUAGAAUAUGUGUUCCUUCCAGAGAUAUUUUGCUUCCUGCGAUUGAACAUAAAUAGCAGGUAGAGUAGAUUACAAUACUCUCCAUGUGGUCCUCCUUAUUUUUCUAUCUUAAACACAUCAAAUCACUAUCGUACAUUUUUUUCUGUAAGAAUUCCAAAAAAUAGCAAUCCAGACGGGUUCCUAAAAGUGAUUAUGUUGCUCGUAAAAGAGAAGAUAAUAAUGUUAUCAUAUUUCGUCAUUUUGAAGCUCUGAAACAUCGGUGCCAGCAACACCAAUUCAAGUUAGUGUUUGUGUACUUGAAUGUUUAUAUGAAUAUGGUAUACUGCAAACCCCCCCCCCCCCCCCCUACCACCAUCCCUCACUUGACUGAACACGAAAUAGAGAAAUCUCUCACACAGACUAGAUUAACCAUAAACUUUGCACUAGAACCAUACGAGUAAAACUUCUCAUCACAUUUGAAAGAAUUGAAAACAAUUGGAAUUGCUCCUAGUUCCUGCCACCGACAGAACAAAAUUGGGGAUACUAAACACAGAAAUGGCCCAAUUGGGAAAUACAAAGCCCAGUAGUUUCCUUAUGGGCAUCAAGGAUAUAGGGCUGGACUUUCGGAGUUUAGCAAUUGGUCCUGGUCCUUCCAAAUUAGCAAAACCCAUUUAAAUUCGACAACUAGAGAGAACUGCUACCUGUGUUCACAAAGCCUCAAAAACUUGUCCCAACAUUCAACAAUUCAUAAAAUAAAUCAGUACACUGAACAAGUUAGCUUUUCAUAAUUUUUUUUUCUUUUAUUUUUUUUUUUAAGCAGGAGAGGGACGAAACUUAGGAAGCGAGGAGAGAAUAACAACGAGCUUUUCAUAAAAUUUAUGGGACAGAUAACUUCAUAUAUUAUACGAUUUUUUUUCAUAAAUCGCGUAGACUUUCUCAAAACUUUUUGAUCUUUCCUAGUGAAAUGAAAAUAGGGAGGGUUGUAGCCGUAGGAUUUAGAUAAUUAAAAAAAAAGUAAAGAAAGGAAAGUCUCUAUAGCAUUUGAAAAAUAAUACGUACCACCAAAUUCCCUCGCUUUUUCCUUGGGCUUUUGUCCGUGCAACCAUGUGCAGCGAGAAUUUUGACAUCAAUGCGUGUGUGGACGGUGGAAUAUAUUCCUCACAACCAACUUUCCAGCUGGAAAAAAUGCGAAAAUUUGACUAUCUAUUUUCACCCAUCAUUCAUCGCUUUUACCAAAAUGCAUUUUCUUUUCUUUUUCUUCGAGAAUAAAAAGAGCCAUCACCUUUUCCGCCCCCUCAGUUUUACUUGCAGAGUUCUUCUCAUAGCUUAGCUGAGUUGGUAUGAACAAAAUAGUGACUUAUGAAGAAAAAAAAAUUUUAGUGACUUUCUCUAAAUAAUUUAUUUAAGAAGCAUAAUAUAUACUAGCACACGUCUAGAAUAUUUAUAAGAGAGAAAUUUCAAUCCCAAGAUGUUCACCGCAUUAUCUAAUUUUGCAAAAAUAUUGCUAAAUGUUAUUUCCUAAGUUUUUUUAGUUGACAGACAAACUGAUAAUUUGCUGGAAUGAAACUAAUAAUUUUUGAAAAAUUGUACGGUCUUUUUCUGAGUAACAUAUUCUCAAAUUAAGAAGAACAAAUAAGUAUUUUUGACUCUUAGAUUAUAGUAAUAGUUUGAAUUGUAAAUUAUUUGAGAUAAUUUUGUGAAAAAGUACUGUAGCACUUUUUUUGAUAUGAUGUAUGUGAGAUAAAAAAUGUAUUGAUGAUAAUGAAAAUAAGUCAGCAUCUGCAUCUGUAAAUAAAGUGUACUACUCCCUCCGUCCCACUUUGAUAGUCCUGUUUUUCUUUUUCGUCUGUCCCAAAUCGUAGUCCACUUUCCAAUUGAAAAAUGUAGUUGUAUUUUAAUUUUUCUAAAAUACCCUUAUUCAAUGUAAGUUGUUGUUACUAUAAACCUACUCCAUUUAAUGAGAGUUUAUUCUUUUUUUACCAUCAAUUCAAGUUCCCAUAAAGUUGUACUCUAAUUAAUGUGAGGGUAUUUUAGAAAAAAAGCUACCUAAAUUGAUUGUUCCAAUAAAGUUAACUACUUUUUCUUAAACUGUGUGAAAAAAGAAUCAGGACUAUCAAAGUGGGACGGAGGGAGUAAUUUUUACAGUCCAAGAUCGUGAGAGGUUCCUUAAACAAUCAAUUAGAAUUUUCAAUAACUUUUUGUUUUGGGAAUCUUACUCGGUGGGCCGCAGGUAGAAUACCACUAAUACCCUUUACCAUUGUUUAAUGCCUUUUAUUGGGUAAAGUGAGCGCCGAUUUCAAGCAGAGCAGCUGCUUUCCUUGCUGAUUAGAUUAGACCGCUGCAUAUUUGUCUCUAUGCUCGCAUUUGGAAGGUUUGUUCCUCAGGGAUAUACACAGGAGGAAUAACAAGCCUCUCUGCUUGAUCAAUUAGCACUAUAAAAAGUAGAAAUCCCACACCACAUUCCUCUGAGAAAGAGUGUGUGGUUUUUUGAGUGUGAGCAUUGUAGAAUGGAGAAAGCUCUGGUUAAAGUUGGAAGCAUAAAAGCAGGAAGCUUUUGGCUUACGAAGAAGGCCAAAGAAGAAUUCAACAACAUAUCUGAAGAUCUCACUGUAAGCAAGAGAACCCCUUUAAUGCAUUCUAGGCUUCUGCUUCUGAUUUUUUUUUUUAAAUCUUUUUUGGCUAUUGGGAUGGGGAUUAUCUGUAAAGCUUUAGUCUUUCUGGGAAUUUUGCUGAUGUUUGAUUUCUGGUCUAUUUGGGCUGUGCCCACUUAAUUUUAUGCUGUCUUUAGUGGUGUGGCAAUUUGAUUUCUUGAUAAAAGAUGACUGAAUCAGCUUAUUUGAUCCCUAUUAGAGAGAGCAAACUACAAUGUCAGCAAGUCAGCAGGGUUGAAUGAACUGUUUCUGGGAAAUGGAAUAGAUCUUAGUCCUCCAGAGCCUUGAGGUUGAAGGCUUGAAGACCAUAGUUAGUAGUUUAUGCAGAUUGCAAAAUGUUAUCUGCUUUAUUUUAGUUAGCAUAGCAUGAAAAAAAUCAGUGAAGAAAGUCAUUUCCAUUCUGGCCUUCAAUUGAUUCAUUGUCACUGCCCUUUUUCUUAGUUCUUGCGUCUGACACACUUGAAAUCAGAUAAGAAUGUAAACGGGUUCCAACUUAACAAAAGACGACAAUUAGAAGAAGGGACAUGGUGAUCAAUAGAGGAGGUCUGGAGAUUCUGAUGCUUCUAAUAGAUAUUUAAUACUAUAAGAAAAAUAGUUUCUUUAUUCAGCAAAAAACACAAGCUUUUCCUUGCUACUUCAGGAUGGCCAACAUUAUAAGAUGGAUAUAAAGUACUGGUAGCUGAUCAUGCAACUAAAAAGAUACGCUUCUUGCAUUUUGAGUAUCUUAUAGAAAGCACGCGAUAGCAUUAUUAUAUUAACUUACUGAAGCUUUGUUGCAGACUUUCUCAAGUACUGUUGAAGAGAAGGCAAAAUGGAUUUUCAACAAGCUAAAAGGUGAACGCUUGUAAAUCUAUUUAUUUUGUAUCGGUUGCUGUGGCAACAAAAAGUUGAAACAGCGAUGAAACACGUUAAAACCAAUAAGUUUGUGUACUUAUUUCCUUUUGAGUACCUGGAUGCAUGCGCAUAGUUGCUACAUUUGAUCUGCAUACGGAUACGGAGUGAAGUGAUGUCUUGAUCUUUUCUGGUUGAUUCUCUGGACAUCUUUGAUCCCUUCAAGAUUAAGUGGAGCCCUCUUCCAUUUGAUUGCCAAUCUUCGGUCUAUAAAUGGAUUUGCUCUGUGUUCUUUCCUCUUCCUCGUAAAAUUUAACCAUCCUUAGUUAUCAUUCAUGCAAUGUUGUAUCUGCAGUGCUGCAAGUACUUUAAAUACUUGUCUUGCCAGUAAAAUAUUGUACAAAUCAUUGUAAUAUGUUUGAAGAUGGUCAAAACUCAGUUUUGUUCUUCUUCUCUGUAGGAAAGCCUCUGAAAAGCUUGCCAGAUCUUCUUCGAGAAUACAACUUACCACCCGGUCUGUUUCCUCAGAAUAUAUCAAGCUAUGAAUUUGAUGAGUCGAAGUCCAAGCUGACUAUUUACUUGCCAACAGCAUGCGAAGUGAGCUUCAAGGACUCCUCUGUGAUAAGGUAUGCCCCAAGGGUGAAAGGCAUCCUCACGAGGGGUAAACUAAUGGGCAUCGAAGGAAUGAAGACAAAAGUGGUGGUGUGGGUUAAGGUGACAAAUAUAGCUGUUGAGGGCUACAAAUCAGAUAAACUUUGGUUCACAGCUGGUGUGAAGAAAUCAAGGCCAAAGGUUGCCUAUGAUGUGCCUCAUGAUGCAAUUAGGAUUAAAGAAUUUUGAUACUAUAAUAUCUUAACGGGUCAUCAUUUCCUCCCUCCUCUUGACAACAUUGCCAGUGUUCUUUUCCCAUUUAUCAUGGGUUAGACUAGUUUAGUCAUGAAUGAUGCUAAGUAUUAGGUUCUGUAGCCCGUCAGUCCUUGGUACUUUUUAUGCUGAUAUUUGGAUGGAAAUAAAUGAUUGGGUCUAAAUGUAGCAAUGAUUUAGCUUCUGGAGAUGGUGAUUGGUUAAGCGGAUUCUGUUUUUAUUUGCAGAAGUUUCUGGCACAGAUGCGCUAGAAAAACCAGCGCCAAGUAAAUCUCGAACGUCUGGAAAACUCGAACACAAGUAAAUCUCACUCGGACUCAACUCGCCCGUUUACUAUUUUGAUCCAUCCUUAAUUUUUCUAACUUGUUGGAUUAAUAUCAAGAGAAUAACAGAUCCAGUCCGCAAUAACUCGUAUACAGUUUAAUUCAAAAACAAUGCAGCAAAUCAUCCUUUUUUGGCUAAAAAAGAUCCCUUCUGAUUGACAAGCUUCUCACAGGACCAAAAGAAAGAAACGAGCAAACAGCACAUUUGUGGCCAAAAAUCGAAUUUCAAUGCGACUUGUGUAGUGUUAAACGGCAGUGGACUCACGAAUUAUCUCGUAUACGGAUACAACAUUCUCUAUACUCAAUAAGACUAUAAUGACCCAUUCGAGCAAAUCGGACCUCCUAUUCUGCAGAACUUCUUGUAGAAAAUGAAUGUUAUGCUGCAAAAUAAAGAACCUCAUUCAGAAUCAGAACAAUGACAAUUCGCUAAAGAAAUUAACAUAUGAAAUGUUGCAACCAUAGACAUGCAUUGCUCAUUAAGUAGCAGGCUGAAAAAAUCUAACUGUAUCAGAAAUCUACAGCAAAUCACAUCAAUGCCUGUCUACAUUUAGAACAGAACAUUGAUCUCAUGCAUAAGUCUGGAGAUGGCAAACAGAGUGGAGAAAAAAGCAAUAGUGUAUCAGUAAGUGAUAACUAAAUAGGAACAAAGUAUCAAAAUGAAAUUCACCUCCACAAAUUUUAGCUUAAAAUUGAGGUUUCCAAAACGUUGUGUGACCUCGUAUUCUUCUCGAAGGUAUUCAUGUAUCUGAGCAUAUUUUGCGUCUCUCCAAGCAAUUUCUGAUCUGAAAAAUGACAAGUAGAAAAACAAUAAGCCAAAUCUUGCAUAAUAAACUGAACAAAGACUGGUAGUGCUAACAAACAUUACCUGUCAAAGAGACCGACUUUCAGAAUCACAUCUGCUAGAUUUGAGUUAGCCUUCCCAACAAGUUGAAAGAGCUUCUUACGGUCUAGCGUAAAAGUUCCGGUUUUUUCCAUUCCGCGAUUUAUUUCUGUGAAUUCUUCAACCAUACCAUCCACCUAACAGAAAUACAUCAUUUACAACAUUAAUAUCAAACACCAAGACAUGGUAGUAAAAACUAACUUAAUACAUUUUAAAAAAGUUUCCAACAUAUAGAAAAGUUAGUCAACUUUACAGCAGCUUACAAGGCCUGAAUUCUUUUGUUUCCAUUAGUAUAGACAGUCCCAAAAAGUUGAUUUUAAUGAUACAUCUCAAUUAGUUUACCUGUGAAACAAAAUGGUCCAAAGCAAUGCUUUGGCCAAGCACACUGCUAAUUAUGCGGAUGCUAUCAGUAUCCAGGUCUUUUAAAACAAUGCAAUCCAAACCUCCCUCCAUAUCCUUAUCCAUCAUCAGCUUCUCUUUUACAGCAUAAUCUAUUUUUGACAGGACAGGGGAACAAAUAUCAGAGAUUACUUUGCAAACUCAUUAGAUAUGCAGCAGCAAAGUACUAAGGUUAGCAGCAAUAGCAAAGGAAAUUGAUCAUAAAAAUGUGCUAAUGACUUGAGUUCAAAUCUUUCAAUCUAUUCUACAAUUCUAACAACUCAAUUGGAGGUACAGAGGGAAUAAUAUGUUGCGCGACACAGAAAUUGAUACACAUGAUUGCAUUGUACAUGGAGGAUUUUGCCCAAGACUUUCUAGGAAAUGGUCAUUCAGAUUAAGUUCCAGUCAUCAAGGUCCUAGGAAAUGUCUCAUAAACUAAUUAUAUGAUUUAAAGCCACAAGGUUGUCUGCAAAAUGAAGACAAAAUUAAUUAUAAGAGCAGAAAUAUAUUAGAAUUUAUUAAUAUAAAGUGAAAUUUUCCCAAGGAUGUAAUAUUCGUGGCAGAAAGCAGGAAACUGAUAACAUAAUUAAAUCUAGAUGUGGUCUUGUAUUUGCAAAAAGCCUCUUGUAUACCUCUUCCUCGAGUUGUUUGUGUUGACUAGGGCAAAAGAAGUCCCUGCAUGAAAUAACUUGAAGAUUUAUAGCGUAAUGGCUAUUGGAACACUGUUUUCUUAAUAAACUCUGUAAUUAGAUAGGCUUAAAGGUUUAUGACUUCUUAGUGUGCGCUCAUGGGUCUGGGUACUCCAAGAAUAGAGAUGGUCAAAGAAAGCACCUAGUGAUGAUAAAUUUAGCCCCGCACAGUAGAUAAGGAUGUCCUUUCUUAUCUGUCCCACGUAAGCAAUCUGCACUCCUGCAGAUGCGAGUCCCUCUCCCUCCCAAAGUGGCAUCCUUUACAUAACCUGCUGCUGCCUCAAGAGUAUCUUGACGUUACAAAAGUUAAGAAGGAAAAGAUAGCUCUCCUGGUAAGUGCUGCACUUUUAAAGAUUAUGAAGUGAAUAUCACCACUGCAUGACUAACAAAGGAAAAGGCUUUUUAGCAGAAACCUGAAACCCCAACCUUCAAGCUAGCUAACACUCUCGAUGAACUUCAGCUUUUAUUCAAACUAACCAGUCCGAAUUGCUAGCAACUCUUUGACCAUGUGAAGAAACUAGCACACAAUCAAAGUGGGUAUAGCCUCUUUGAGUGGAAGGAAGGGGACCCACCUACUACUAUAACCAUUACCACAGAAGCUGUGGGUCCUUUCUUUCUCUGUUUAGACUAAACACGUCUUUCAGCUGUGGACACAGUACCAUUGCCACAGAAGCUGUGGACACUUCAAUCUUGGCACUGUUAUUUCAGCUGCAGUGGAAUCAGAAAUGGCUAAAACACUAAGGCCUUGGAACUACUACAGCUUACAAUGGAUAACAUGUCAAAGACAUGGGUAUAUUUAUAAAUCAAGUAAAGAUGAUCUUUUAAUCUCAUAAUUACAUAUUUUGUGAAGCUUAGGAUUGCUGUAAUUAUAUUAUUGUAGUUUAAGCAACCUGUUAAAUUAAUUCCAAGGUUGUAACCCUAUGCAACUUUAAUUAUUCCAAGUUUACCAAAGAUCCCAAAAAGUUCACAAAGAAGGAAAAAGGCCAAGUGAAGCGUAGGAUGAUUUCUUCAACCACUUAACAGAACGAAGACAUUUCAUUUAGAGAUCUUACCAUCUUUUCUCAACUCAGGAAGCAAACCAGAAGCAUAUCUUCUCACCAUUUGCAGGUACUGUUCAGCUUCAUGAUCCUCCACAUUGAACAGAACAGCAGAACCAUACUGGAAUACAAUCAUGUACUGACAGCUACUUGUGAUCUCUCUGACUUUAAAGUCCUGAGCACCAAGGGUUAUGUGAUUCAAAUUCCAUCCAUAAAAGUCUGAAUUAGAUGGCUAUUCAUUUAUACUUGAGUUGCACAAUAGUAUCUCCUCCAGAAACCAUCAUAUAGUCAAAUAAAUGAUUUUAACAGUAAAAAUGGCAUAUUCUAUGUUAUACAAUAAAAUUAGGAAAAAUGUAAACUUCUUCACUCUCUUUGAAGGACACUUGCUCACUCGAUACCUUUAUUGCCCAGUGUCUAUACGACUUAGGGUCAAAUUUUGAAGUGUAGAACUACCAGCUAGAACUAUUUAUGUCACAACAAACAAGUAGGAGUUGAAUUAGUAUUCCCGUGCAUGUCAGGCAUUCUUUCGGGAGCAACCUGUAGAGGGACUCCUAAUUCUUCCUCUCAGGCAAUCAAAAGUUCUCUUGACAACCUCAGACUCCUAAUAUCAACUAAUCAAGGGAAAUAAUGUCCCUGCAGUGUAGGAGAGAUGCAGUCUCUUUAUCACUUCACUCAAAAAGAUUCACACCAUCAAUGGAACAGGCAAUAAUUAAAAGCGCCAAGAAGCCCAGGAAUAAAUAGGAUUGUGACACAUCAUUUAUCAGUUAACAACUCUUCUUACAGUCAUGUUAGAUUGAAAGUUGCAAAAUCUGAGGGCAAUGGAGUUCGUUGAGCGAGAGGUUGGAGGAACAAUAUAUCUGGAAUUCUCAGCUUGCAUGCUCUUCAGGUCAAUACUGCCAAAACCAUGAAUCUGAGAACCAGACAUUAAUAAGGAAAAACAUGCAAUUGCAUUAAUGAGAACAGAAGUGUCAGACCCAAAUAAAAUGUGCAGAGUAAUGCAAACAUUAGAGCCUCCACCAUAUUCACGAAAGCAAUAUCCAGAACACAGAAACUAAAAUCAAUUUGGAACGAAGAUAGGCAUAUGCUGAUUUAAAAGAGCAACCCAAUAAGACUCGCUUUGCUGAAGAUCGAUUAGAAAAUUAAAGAAACUGAAGAUGAAAAUAAUAAUACAAUCCAUCAGCAACUCAUCAACAAGCAACAAUAACAAAUACAAACAAAUCAUUGGUGCUAAAUACAAUAUAGUACCCUGGAUCCGUUUCACCCUAUCCAGUAGUCAAUGCAAAGUAUCUUAGCCCUUGAAAAAAAAAAAUGGAUAAAUGCAGGGUGACAGUCUACUACUAAGCAUGCUACCUAUGAUUAAAAUCCUGCCUGUAUGCAGUGUCAGCAACUUGAAUUUAGGAUUAUGCUCAUGCAAGUAUAUGCCAAGAUAGUUACGAAGUAAACAUAACCAACGACCACGCAGCAAUUACCUUCAAAAUAUCGAUGUACAUAAUCAAAACACAGUUCAACUUGGACAUGUUACUGAAAAAGCACAAACUUGAUAGUUGAUCCAUCAAAAUUAGAUCAAUCCUAUCCAUCUAUCACCAAAAAAAAAAAAAAAGAUGUUCUUUCAGUCAGUUAUCCUGAACUAAUAUGCUAUCUGCACCACUAAAUCUCCUAUAGCAAUAAAAUGGAUACUCUCCAUUCAUGCUCGCUGGUUGCCCUCCAACCCCCCCCCCCCCCCCCCCCCGAAAAAAAAACCAUACAGACACCCACCAAGGAAAGAAGGUCCAACAUUUAUAUAUCUCAUAAAUAAGAACCCAGGAACGUCUCGAAAACCAGCUAAUAACACACGAAAAAGUCUACAAAUCACGACAAACAUAACUAAAGCUCAAACUACAAUUGCUUAACAGAAAAUCAAGUUUAAAACUUUAGAUAGUGAACGGAACCUGGUGCAAAGAAAAUAAGCUUUGAUGGGGAUUUUCCCAAUGUCCACAUAUUCCAUGGAAUCAGAGGCGGAGUAAUCAUCAAGAUCUUGAUGGGCUUUGUAAUCCAGGUCGUCAGCAUAUUGGGCGGCUGCAGAUGAGGAGGCAGAAAAUGGCCUAAAAUCGAGAAUUCGAGCUCUGGAUUUUGGAAUAGAUGAAAAUCUAAAUAGUGGGUUCGGUCCUGAAUUCGUAAAUUUAGUCAAGGAGGCGAUUCGUAAGAAAUUAAAAGCAAGGGAAGCUCUCCAUCCUCCCAUUUACUACUUGAGAGGCGACGUUCCUCGGCCUUUUUUCUCGACUUGACUGUUGCUAUAUGUUAAAGUUUUUAUUCUUCUUUUUUUUUCUUUUUAAUGUAAUAAAGAGUUCGAAAAUUGCACUUAACCCCUCACUAGCCACAGAUUAUCUUAUAUGACCAACUUUAACGCUUUAUUAUCACAUUAAUCCGGUUGGUUUAAAUUGGUACAAAUGUUAUAGGCCAUCUGGCAUCUCAAUUUUUUGGCAAGUUUUUUUUGUUCUACAAAUUUUGUAAAAACUUAAACCACACAACUCCAACAAAUCCUCCAAAGUUUUAAAAUACAUGCAGAAAAAUAUCCAAAAAUACAUAAAAAAUUCCCUUCUAUCCUUCCUUUUUCCUCCUCCCACCUCAACCAACCGCUAUAGAAUGCUCCAUAUGGUGAUACAAAAUAUAAUGUGAUUUCAUUUAACACUCUUAAUCUCUUAAUUGUUAAGACAAAUUGGAGGAAGGAAAUACCAAAAAAAAAAAACCCUUACCUGAAACAUCAAUUUCCCAAAUAUACAAAGAUAUCAGAAUGCUCAUCUAAAACAUUUAAAUGUAAACAUGUCAACUUUUUUAUUCUUUGGACAAUCACAUGAUAUUUUAGUAGUCAUAUUAUAGUUAUGUUUGGUUUAGCUGCUUUUGGGAUAUUUUUUAAAAACUUUACCGUAAUUGUAUAUAUGCAAAAUUUUUAUUAUAAAUAUUUUUUGAAUUAUUUUUGGAGGUAUUUUUAAUAUAUAUUUUAGGACAUUUUUAUAAUUUAUAAUUUUUUGGGGCAUUUUUUUAAAAUUUUACACCACCCUCGCCACCAUCUCCUACUUUCUCCUCCCCCUCCUCCUCCUUUUUCUUUCCUCUCUUUUCUCCUCCUUUCUCCUCAACCCCAAACCCUCUCCUACUUGCGGGUGGUGGUUGCAACUUUAACCAUCACUCUAGUCGUGACCUUUUUGGUCCUAUGAGAAAGGUCGCGAGUAGAAGCCAUGAGUCGUGGCUUUUGUCCGCAACCUUCUGAUCGUGACCAAAAAGGUUGCGAUUAGUUGAGGGGAAGGGAGAUUGGGGGAUGGGGAAGGGGAAGCGAGAAGGGAGAGGAGAAGGAAGGAAGAAGGAGAGAGGAAGGAAAGAUGGGGGGAGAGAGAGAGGAGAGAGGAGGGAGUGUCCUGGGUGUGGGGGUGGUGGAGAGUGAUGGAUGGUUAUUUGUUUUUGUAUAUUUGAAAUUAUUUUUGAUAUAUUGUAUGGAUUAGGGAUGGCAACGGGGCGGGGUUGGGGUGGGGGUCCCCUCCCCCGCCCCCGCCCCGUUGCCUAUUAGUUCCCCCCGUCCCCCGCCCCGUCCCCCGUUUCCUGCUCCCCCCGCCUUGCCCCGUGGGGUUAAUAAAAUUUUAUUAUAUAAUUUUAUUAUAAUUAAAUUUUAAUAAAUAAUCAAGUACUAAAAUAUCAACACAUCACCAAAUUAUUAUUUAUUGUAAUUUUACAAUUGAAACUCAUAAAAACAAUCAAACAUAAGUUAUUUGAAUACAAUCCAAUAUGAUGAAAUAAAUAUAACUAAAAUAGUCAAGUUUUCACUUUUAGUACAAAUGCAAUCACUAAUUCUUUAUUGUGUUUGUGUUUUUUUUUUAGAAAAAAAGUGUUAUUCUAUUAAGUGUAAUUAGAAAUUUAGUAUAAAUGUAUUAGUAAAUUUAGUAUAACUAAUUAAUAAAUUCUAUUAGUAGACAUGCAUAAUUAUUCAUAUAAUUGAUAAUAUCAAUUAUAUAUUACAUAAACUAAUAUACAUUAUAUAAUACAUCUAACUAAUAAUAUCAUUAUCAUAAGUUUAUAACUAAUUAACUUACAUAUUAUAUAUAUUUAUAUAUAUAUAUUUUUUUUGUUUUACGGGUGGCGGGGCCCGCCCCCGCCCCGAGAGCUCCCCGCGGGCACCCGUCUCCAUUACCAUCCCUAGUAUGGAUGUGUUAUUUUUUAAAUUAUUUUUAAUUGUGUAUUACUGUAAUAUUAUAAUAACUUGUUUUUAAAUUAUUGAGUAAUGCAAACGGACAUUUUGGGUAUAUUUCAAGCAUAGCAUCCUCAUUUCCUGGUUAAGUUAAAAGGCUUAUAAAAAAAAGGCAUUAUUCCAAUGUCUUCCGCUAAUAUAGGAGUUGGGGAGAGCAAAGCCAAGGAAUCUUGCAGCAAAAUAACAGCCACAAUGGAGGAGCAGCAGCAGAACGCACUUAGCAAAACUUCCACCUCCCCGUUUCAGUCAAAGCCAAUCCGCUGCAUCGUCAAACUUGGUAUGCAGUCUUAGUGUCUAAUCUUUCCUGAGAUCUGUGGUUUGUGUAGAUUCUAUUUGUUUAAUUACUAGAUUUCUUGGCCAUUAUCUAUAUAAUUUGCAUCCCUUUUAACUCGAUUAGCCAAGGGUCCGCAGAAUCCAAUUCGUUAGCUGAAUUAAUCAAAAGUAGUCUCUUUUCAGUAGAUGAUUCUCCAUAAUCAUGUAAUAGCAGAGUCCAAGGUUAAUGCUCAUUCACCUUCAGAAUCUUGUUGUUUAGUUCUUGGAUUUGUAAUCUGUAGUAUUUUUGAAGGGAUAGAGUAAAAGAGUGCAGAGAAAACUGUUUCUUUUGAAGAUGAGUUCGGAUGAUAAAUAGUACACAUUUGAGGGAUUCAAGUUUUGUGAUGCUUCUGAUGCUAGGAAGCUGAUAAACCAAGGACAUGUUAAGUGAUUUGUGAGUUGUAAGCCGACGGCCAACCCCAAAUAAUGUGGAUAAAGGUCUUCUUUUGUUUGUUUGUUAAGUUUGGACGUGAUUAUCUUUUAUUGGACAUUUAGAGCUCUUUACAAUUGGGAUAACCAGGAAUGAAUGCAUGUAUAAAUUGUAAUAACCAGAAAAAUAUGCAUAUUUAUGCUAGUAGUGAACAAAUUCCUCCACAUAUUUUAACAUAAUUUGCUGGUGUGAUAUUUAUCUCACAGGAGGUGCAGCAAUUACUUGCAAGCAUGAGCUUGAAACAAUAAAUGAGAAGAAUCUUGACACUGUUUCAAAACAGCUACGGCAAGUGAUGUUAUCAUGUCCGGAUUCUGGAAAAGUUCUUGGAAUGGAUUGGAGCAAGAGGCCAGGAACAUCAGAAACGCCAAGUACCAUUGAUGGAUGCUGUGAUGAAUUUAAAGUAGACUUUGAGAAAUUUGUUGUUGUUCAUGGUGCAGGUUAGUGUACAUCUUUGUUGAAAAGGCUUAUGAUUUUUCAUUUGACUAUUUGUGAUGAUCCCAUUCUUAAUUCUCAGCAAUUGAAAUUGCAAACAGAACAAAAACUACCAUUAACUGAAGUUUAAUGGAACAGUAUUGCUGUUAUUAAAAAAGCUUGCAGAUAGCUUAAAAUUUAGAUCUUCGUUUGCAGGUUCAUUUGGACACUUCCAAGCUAGCAAAUCCGGGGUUCAUAAGGGUGGUCUUUGCAAAUCCCUUGUCAAGGCUGGUUUUGUUGCAACACGUAUUUCUGUAAGAUCUAACACUUUUCUGGGAUUUUGAUAUCCAAUCAUCAUAAAGUUAUUUGGUAAAAUGCUCAGAUUUUAGAUUUUUUGUUCCCACCUUUGAUAUGCUGAAGAUAUUGACCUUGUCUGAGUAUGCUUUCCAGUGAUACUAAAAUCCAACUUAUAGCUUGACUUUUAGAAUUGGCCCUCAGGUGACUUCGGCCUUCGACUUGCUAAGUGAUAACUAGAGGAAUUCACGAAAAGUCAGUUUAUUGUUCUUUAUAAUUAUGUGAUUGGCUGCUUUUUGUAUCCUUCUUCUCUAUUGUUGCUAUAAAAGAUCUUUUCAAUUAUGAUUCUUUAGAUAUUGGCUUUCUUUUGCAGGUUACAUCCCUGAAUCAUGAGAUUGUUAGGGCUCUAGCAAAAGGUACAACUCCAAUUUAAUAUAUCAGCUACAUCCCUUUGAUGCUUCUUCAUUAUGUAUACGCCUAGCCAUUCCAGUGGUAGUUAUUCUAGCGACUAUCUACCUGCCCAUUAAAUAUGUAUAAAGAUCUGAUAUUAACAUUGGAAGAUCUGCUGUGAAAUCUAUUUUUUUUGGAAGUUUGUUUGUUUUUUUGGGGGGGGGGGGUGUUGAGGAGGAGAAGGGGAGGGGUGGUUUGUAUUCUGUAGAUGUCAUCUUGAAGGCAAUUAACAAAAAUGGCAUCAGUAAAGGAUGCUAGACGGAGCAUGAGAACAAAACUAUUUCCUAUUGCUGCUGCUAGAUUUGCAUGAAUCAACUUAGCCAUCUAAUCUUCUGAUAAUUGGUCGUGUUUAUCAUAGGCAUUUGUUGAUGUUUCCAUUUACACAUGCAAUUUCUGUUGACCCAGUUUUCUUUUGUUUGUCUCGCAGAGGGUAUUCCUUCUAUCGGAAUGUCUCCAUUUUCAUGUGGUUGGUUGACGUGUGAAAGAAAUGUUAGAAGGCAAAACUUUAUUCUGUGAAUCUUUUGAUAUCAAAAUUAUUCUAGUUGUUACUUUCUCUUGUAUUUAGUUGAUUGUAGUGAAAACAGAUGUCUAAUUUUGACUUCAUACAUUUAUAGAUGGAAGCAGCCAAUGUGAGUAUGGUAGUUAAGGCUUUGGAUUCUGGCUUCGUACCUGUAAGUUAAACUUAAAAUCGUGUGACUUGGACUUCUUGUCAAUUACACCUUCUGAACAUAUUGCAUUACCUUUUAGAGUUAAAUAGAAUCCUCUUUGAUUUUGAGAUGUGAGAAAUACUUUGUUGUCAAAAAAUCUGUGUUUUGUUUCCCUUUUAAAUCUAGGAUAUUCCUUAAUUGUACAUGGUCUCCUCAUUUACAGUUGUGCUGUGUCUUCUGUAGACCUACAGCUAUAUUUAAAAUAAAGCAAUGCUAUUGUGACAACUAAUUUUAGUAACUCAAAAAUUGUAUCUCGAGUUCUAUUCUAAGAAUCUAAUUAUGCACUCUGUUAUAUAUAGCACACUGUAACAUAUGAAGUUCCUUAGUGGUUUUCUUUAUUGACAACUUAAAAUGCCCUUUAUUAGCGCAUAAAUUCUGUAUUUUAGUAAAUGUACAGACAUGCUUCUUUCUCCAACCCAAUGCUCUAGACCAGGUCACAGUUGAUGUAUGGGAUGAUAAUUGAGUGACAUUAUGGUGAACGGCCAAUAAGUAGUGCAUUAUGCAUUACCUCAAAAGUGUUAAAAGCAUUUGCAAUCAUGAGACAAGCUCAAACUCUACUUUAAAAAAUAAGGGAAUGAAAACAGGAGAACAUUUUUAAUGGGCUAAGCUUGUGUUUUACUAGUAAAUAAUUGUCUCGUGCAGUCAUAUUACAGUUCCUUCAUCUAUAAGAUUAUGGAUGACUCGGAUCAGAUAGCAUUUUAGUGUGUAAAAUCAAGACUACGUGUAUCUGUUCAUAUAAUAUGAAACUCAAGAAUAAUGUGAUUUUGAUUUGAUGAAUCAGGUUCUGCAUGGAGAUGCAGUGCUUGAUACUUCACAGGUUUGACGUCUCUUCCCUGUGAGUGGCAAGGUGACUUGGCUAUUCUCUGUAUUAACUCCUUCAAUGGCUUAGGAUUGCACCAUAUUAAGUGGAGACGUAAUCAUUCGGUAUUUGGCUGAAGAACUGAAGCCUGAGUUUGUUGUUUUUCUCGUAUCCUACAUACGUUGCUCAAAGGGCUUGGCAAUAGAUCAAGCUGUUCAAAUUCCUUUAGUGCCAUUUCAAAAGCAAUUCUAAUACGUGGGGCCCAUUACCCUGAUAAUAUUGUUUCCAGUUUUUUUUCUUGCUAGUUGACUUUUCAGUGUAUGCCCUAUACAAAGUUGACAUAGACAGAUGUCUUAGGAGUACAUGACCGCCCGCCAACUGAGCCUGGUGCAGUACUUCUCAGAGAAAUAGGUGAGCACAAGUCCAUGAUUGAGGAUAUAUUGCUCUCAUUCUCAUGUUAAACUAAACUCAUGGGGGACUGAUCGAUCAUUUUACAACAGCUGUCCAUGAAGAUGGAAGCUGGUCGGUCGUGAAACCAAACGUACAAGAUGCAAGCAAACAAGGUUAGAUAUAAUCAAUUUUUACUGUUAUGAGGUUUUAAGUCUUAGUUUCCUGUCUGUGGAACUGCUGGAGGAAACUUAAUUUUGUCAAGUAAUUGUUUGUUUUGUUGGAAUUUUCAUCUGGACUUUCAUUAUUAGUAAGCAUUCUAUUUCCAUCAACAGUUGUGGUAACCGUAGCAGCUCAUGAUACGACUGGAGGCAUGGUGACUAAAAUAUCAGAAGCUGCUAUGAUUGCGAAACUUGGAAUUGAUGUAUACAUUGUGAAGGUAAUAUAACACUAACAAGUAACAGCUUUUAUGCUAUUUAUAUUAAUGACAGAUUAAGGGUUUGGGAUGAUACAGGCAGCAACGGAGCACUCCAAGAUUGCUUUAAGUGGAGACCUGAAACACAAUGUUCCUGAGAGCUGGCUUGGAACAAUUGUAAGACCUUUAAGACAACAGCAAUGAACUGCUGGACGCAUGAUGGAAAUUGGCGACUUGUAGAAGGGCUUUUGUCUGAACAGCAAUGCAAGCCAAACUGGGGCUAUUGAAAGAAUUAAUCUCCGUUAGGAAUCAAGUAUCGGGAGGACCUGAAAUAUUUUUGUCGAAAUUGUUCUUCGUAGCAGUUGGCAAGGCUUCUUGUUUUGAAGCAUCUUCAAUUUCGUAAAUUUCAUUCUCGGGUUUAUUGGCUGCGUUGGGUUGAAUCAUCAGACAUGCUCCUUGGAACGUUAUUUUCAACAAGCCAAAACAUCUUGCUAUGCGGGGACGAUUUGGUCAACAUUGAGACAAAUAUCAAUUAUUUGAUUUACAUUUCAAUCAUCUUCAUCUUAUACUUUCCUUCGGUCCCGGAGAAUAGGUGGGGAUUUUUACUUCAAACCUUCUUUCCAACCCCUGCAGCUAGCUUGAGAGAAGUCCAAAUGUUUUAAUGAUGUUACGAGUGCCAAUGAUGGAGUUUAACUAGUGCAGCAACCAAGUCAAUGAUAAAGCUAACAAGUAGGGCAACGCUCAGAUGGCCAUCUGCCAGGCAAAUGGAUUGUUAGCAAGCCACAACGUCAAGUUCUCAACCUUUGUUUUUCUGUCCAACUCCAAAAUUUUGGACACGGACACGGCACCCAUUGUUCUCGUAAGGAGAUCUUCCUGCAACUAAAACUAGCUUCAGACAUUUUAAUGCACAACAGGAUCGUCCACCUACCUCGAAGUAUAUAACUCAAUAAACUCGCAAUAGGAAAUACCAGAAAACAAGUGAUCCUGUACUUCAGAAGCUAUAUACGCUCAGAAGCAUCUACCCAUGCGGCACAAAUACUCACAACCACAAAAAACUUCGAAGAAAAAGCUUCCAGAUAAAUCUGCAUAGAUAGAACACCAAGAAGUAACUAGGAGAAUCAAUUCAUUCACUUGUGAAACUAAAUUUCGCAACUUCACAACAGUUGAAGGUGCUACAAGUUUAUACACUUCCUUGCCAGAUUAAUUAUGGCCCACACAGAAUAACAGAACGGGUUCAGACAGUAAUCAAACAGAAACAAGAACUCAGAACACCUCAACAUCAAAGUGAUCUCUUAAAAACCCUGAGGCCACAUAUUAUCAAGAAUCUAGUAUAAAAUGAUUUAACGAU